GAGAACGGCUUCACUAAAUGCCCAUAUGAACAUGCUCUCUACGUCAAAGAAAAAGAUGGAGACAUUUUGAUUGUGUGCCUGUAUGUGGAUGAUCUCAUCUUCACUGGAAGUAAUCCAAGCUUGUUUGAAGAAUUCAAGAGAGUGAUGAUCAAAGAGUUCGAGAUGACUGACAUCGGACUGAUGGCAAAUUACCUCGGCAUUGAAGUCAAACAAAAGGAAGAAGACAUAUUUAUCUCCCAAGAAAGCUAUGCAAAGGAGAUUUUAAAAAAGUUCAAGAUGAAUGAUUGCAAACCUAUAAGCAUGCCAGUGGAAUACGGAGUCAAGUUAUCCAAACACGAUGAAGGCGAAGAUAUAGAUUCAACAUUUUUCAAAAGUUUGGUUGGAAGCCUAUGUUAUUUGACAUGCACAAGACCAGAUAUUCUUUAUGUUGUUGGACUUGUGAGUUGAUACAUGGAGAAUCCAAAGACCAUUCAUUUUAAAGUUGCAAAAAGAAUCCUUCGCUAUAUCAAAGGUAUAAUUAAUUUCGGCUUAUUAUACUCAUUUUCUAAUUACUACAAGCUUGUUGGAUAUAGCGAUAGUGAUUGGGGUGGAGAUGUAGAUGAUCAAAAGAGCAUCACAGGAUUUGUGUUCUUCAUGGGAGAUACUACUUUUACAUGGAUGUCAAAUAAGCAACCAAUUGUCACGCUAUCCACCUGUGAAGCUGAGUAUGUAGCUGCCACAUCAAGUGUUUGUCAUGCAAUUUGGCUCAGAAAUUUGUUGAAGGAGUUGGGUUUACCACAAGAAGAGUCAACCGAGAUUUGUGUUGAUAACAAAUUAGCAAUUGCCCUAUCCAAGAAUCCAGUCUUUCAUGAUCGAAGCAAACACAUAGACACUCGCUAUCAUUUCAUAAGAGAGUGUAUUGCAAGAAAAGAAGUGCAAAUCAAGUAUGUAAAAUCACAAGAUCAAGCAGCUGAUAUCUUCACUAAGCCGCUCAAGCAAGAAGACUUUGUAAAAUUCAGAAGUUUGCUUGGUGUCACAGGAUCAAGUUUAAGGGGGUUGUUGGAUCAUAAACUUGAUCCAAGAUGAAUAAAUUCAAACCCAACUCAUGGAAGGUUCCAUGAGCAGGUAUGGUUGGUGAGGUUUGAAUUAUUUGUGUUAGGUGUGGUAAGUGUGGUUGGUGAAGUAGGUGAGUGAUAGGUUUUAAUGGAUGAUGAGGAUUUGUGUAUUAGUUGAAUAAAUGAAUGGUUGUGAUUAGUUUGUUACAUGUAUAAAUACCUCCUCUCCCCUUUGAUUUAUGUAUCAAGUGAAGUAACAAAAUCUCUCAGUUGUAGAGAGUGAAAAAUAAGAAUUGUAAUUGGUGAGGAGUGUUGUUGAAGAAAUAAAAUAGUGUGUUUUUUGAGUGUUUUAUUUAUUAAUUCUCCAACAUUUAGUUCUCUCUACUGUUUGCAUCAUUAUCCACGGGUAAUGUUUAGAUGGUAGAAAAUAUAGUCAUGCAGGUUUGUUUUUGUUUCAGUUUAAGGUUAUGUUCUAAAAUGAAUAUUUAUUGGAUGGAUGGUCUUGAAUGGUAAAGAACAAUAGGUGAUUGAGUUGUUCCAUAAUAAGUUUCUAAGGGAAUCUAUAAAGAAGGUUGAAACAUAAGUGUGUAUACUUGUGUAUAAAACUAUAAAUGCAGAAAUUUAACCACAUACGUAGUUUUGACUUUUUUUUUUCCUUUUACCUUGUUUCGGAGUACCAUGAGGUGGAUACGGAGGACAGAGAUUUGAAGGAGGUUCAUGGAUGUGAUAAAGCAAUACCUUGUGUUCAUUAGCACGAUUUGGUCUUUGGUUUUCGACUAUUUUCUCAUCCCUUAUUCUUUUCAGGCGAUGAUAGUACCUGCAUGCAAACUUUGAAGUAAAAUAAUCAAAUCAAAUUUCUAUACAUUUUCGUCCACGAGGCCUUGGGUUAUAUUAUUUGAAUCUAAGAACAAAUUUAUUUAAAUAUACAAAUUGAAUCCGAGUUUUAGUUAAGAAAUGCUAUUUUCACUCUUAAUUAUGCUCAUGUUAACAUCAUUGGCUCAUCACAUACAGAUCUACCAUAUUUACUUUCACGAGCAUGCAUAGCAUGCAACACCUUAAAUUUUGACUGAAAACACUCUGCCGUUGGUUAAUAAAUUUAAGGGAAAGAAAAGGAGGUAGGGUUGCUACAUGCAAUUCUCUACUACCAAAAAUGUGCCUCUGAAUUGCUGCAGAAUAUUAAUGAAAAUGUGUGUGAAAUGCCGCAGACUUUCCUGGUUUAAGCUUGCACCCUGAUUGUAUACAGAAGGUUGUUGAUGAACAUGAAUUUUGGACUGAACAAGUUGCCUGCCUUCAUUUUAUAUAAUGCUUCUAUUCUUGUUCUGGAUCAUGCAAUAUAGAUUUCAGAGCAAUUCCUUUGGAUUAACCUUCAUGUAUUUGGAAGUCAUUUACUGGUCCUUCCAACUAAUUGAUUGCAAUUUUGCAAGUACAUUUGUCAAGGGUGAGGUACCUAGGUUUAGUUAUUGUUUUCUUAUGGUGUUUGCUGCAUGGACAUGGUUCGUGGCAAAACUGCUGUUACUAAUAAUUUCUAACCAGUUAAGUGUUUGUUUAAGCUGCUUAUGAGAUGUUUUGAUUUCUUUAUCUGCUAGAUCUAUUCAUACGAAACAAAUAAAAUAGGACCAUCUAGACAGAAAUUUAUCAUUCUAGACCUUCUUCAAUCUUUUUUUGUAAAGAGUUUCAUUCUGUUCUUUAAUUAUUUUGCAAUAGAGGCUACAAAAUGUACACAUAUCUUUAAAGCUUAUUGGCUAUUAUUUAUUCUAGAUGAAGCAUGCAGUUUUUAUUUUUUUUCUGAACUUGACCUUUUUUCUCUUUCUUUUAUUUUUAAUAAAUUUAAAGGAUACAUCAAGGAUUUUCAGGUGUAUGAUCCACAUAGGGUGGGCAAGAUCAAAGUUGAACUACUAGGCAGGGUAAAUGAUUGUUGAGCUCUCACUUAUAGGCAGGAUGUCAAGGCAAGGGAAAUUGAAGGGUACACGGUGCGUGCUCUUCCAACUAGACAGGUUUGUUCAAAUCUCUUUUAAGUCCUUUUAUAUAUGCUUGCCCAUUUGAAGUAAGUGGGGUUUCACUGGCAGGAAUGGUUGUGUAGUAUGUAUGUUUAUGAAUCCAACAUUUUUCACCCAAAAAAAAAAAGCAAUAAAUGACAUAAUAUUUGGAACUUAUUUUUUGUGCUUUUCAUUCUGAUUUUGCAAUGCAGUGGGGCUAUGUUGUGCUAACAACUCCGGAUGGUGUUUUGGAUCAUGAAGAGGCCCUCAGGCGGACUGUGGGUGGCCAAGUUCUCGGUUAUUUUCAUUAGAUAUCUUUGCCAUCCAAACACUUUGGAAAGGAAGGGAAGAGUUCUUUAAUGGAGUCGCAGCCUGCAAGAAUGUCAAACUUUUAAGUAGAGACCAUUUGAAUUUUGUAGUAUUUUAAUGAUAGAACAGGAGGUUGUUUCACCUCUCUUCAUGAAGUGUUUUGUAUCAUCACGGAACAGUUGUGAUUGAUUAUAAUUUAAAAGUGCAGCAUUGUUUCAACUACAAAUGCCAGUAGCAGAAACUAAUAUGCACAAUAGUUAAAUUUUCCAGAUUGUUCAAUGUAGAUGCUACAAGAGUAUAUAACCUCAAAAAGGAAGUUCCUAAGAGCUUUCUUCCAAAUAAAAAUAAUGAAAAUUGAAGGCCUAUGAAACUUUGGCAAGAAUGACGAUGAAAACUGAGAAGGGAUUUAUUAGCUCAUAGUUUUCUGUGCCAAUGACUAUGAAAUUUGAUCAUAGCACAUUGUUUAAGUAGAUACUAUCAUAUAAGAAAGUUCAUAAUGUAAAAGGCUUCAUGCUAGAACACCACUGUUAAUUUCCGAAAACAGAUAUAAGAAUGUAGCAAUCGCGAAACAAAAUUGCUGACAGCAAAACAUAGCUAUUAAAUUGAACAUCAGUUUACAAGAAUGCUUGAAAACUGAAGAUUGUUCAAUGAUCAGGGGAGAUAAUCAUCUUCAGGCAGCCUACGCCAGAGGAAAUAACAAGCAUCCAUCCACCUUGGACGUAACAGGAACUUCUACUCUGCCCAUAGACAAUCCUCAGGUUCUGUAGAGACCGAAUGAAUUUUUGUUUCUUUUCUUCAAACUUAAAACUUCUUCUUUACUGUAUACUAAUCCUGGCAGAAUAUAAUUAAAAGAUAAACCAAAGGAAUCAUCCAUGGCUUAGUUGCAAAAAAUGCACCUUCUGUCCCGAACAGUAGAGUAUGUGCAUGACAAAAGCGGGUCAAAAGAACAAGAAUCUACACCACCAGCAAACCAAUGUUUUUGAAUACCAUGGCACCUCAUCCAUUUUAAAUUUAACCAAUGUAAAUGAAAAAUUAAAUUUCAACAUCAAUCCAACACAAAUUCUUGAAUUUAAGUAUAAAAUACAAAAAUCUAUUAGAAAAAACCCACAAACUAGUAUCUAAAAAUAACAAUUAUAUUUCAUAUUAUCAUCCAACACAAGCUCCAAGAGAAGAUCUUCAUUUCAUUCACCAUCAUUAGCACCCAUCCAAUAUGAUGCCUACAAUAAUGAUUAAGAUUAAUAUUUUCUAAAGAAUAAUGCUUUUCAAAUAUUAACUAGAAGAAAAAAAUUAUAAUAAUGAAAUAAUUCAUGCAUUGAGUUAAAGAAAAAUAGACCAUACAAAAAUACUUUGGUUAUUUGGCACUUUGCAUAAUUGCAUUAUUUUCUUUAUAUAUUUUUUAGAUUUAAAUAUUUUUUCAAUUAAAAUUAAAUUAAAAAUAUUUUUAAAAAACAUUACAGGUCUAGCGGAUAUUCAUGCGAGUAUUUGCCGGAUAUUGGGCUAAUACUAAACCCACCCGCAUCCAAGUGCGGGUUUUAAAUUGUAAUACCAAACUCACCCGCAACCCACAAAAUUGUCAGCAGCAGGCAGGUUUGGGCAGAUUUGCGGACACAAUUGCUAUCCCUAUAUAAAUCCUGAAAUGUUGAAAUAGAAAACCAAUAUUGCACUGUAAUCUGAUUAAUUCAAGUGCUAUCUACACACAUACGCUAACUCUCAUCCUUCUUUGGCACCAACAAAGCUAGUACAACACAUGAACUCAUGCUCUUACGAAUAAACCCUUUCUACAAUAAUUCAUCAACCAGUCCUUGUAAAAUCGCAUGCUUAUGAGGACUCAUGCGAUUAUGAGGCAAGUUAGGUAAACUUACACUAGGGACUAAAUCUAUAUGAUGCUGGAUAUCUUGUAAAGUAGGCAGCCCAUCAAGUAUCUUUAAUGGUGUAAUGUCGGUGAACUCAGCUGCCAAUGGUGUACUUCUAAAGGAAUAGAAUUAACCUCAAACUCAUCUUCCUUUUACAACUUCUUGCAACCGUCACAGUCUUCUUCUAAAUGUCCCUUCACAAUAGCAAAAAAAAUUCUUCGUUUCAGCUUUAAGAUUCUUCUUCUUGUCUGUUAAAGACAGUAAAUGAAUCUUCUUGAUAUUCCACCAAAACUUGUACACACUAUCCCCUCGUCUAUGCACUGUAUCAACAUCAAACUGCCGAGGUCUACCUAAUAAUAGAUGGCAAACAUCUAUAUCUACUACCUCACAUACCACAUUCAACCUAAUAACAGAUGACACAUAUCUGCAUCUACUACAUCACAUGCCAUAUCACUCUUAUAAAUCUUUCUAAUGGAGAAACAAAAACGACACACUUAUGUCACUCGCGUUUCUGCCCCUUUCUUGAUAUACCCUAUUCUGUAAAGUAUGGGAUGUAUUUCUGUCGAAAGUCCUAUCACAUCAACCAGUACCUUUGAAACUAUGUUCUCAUUACCACCACUAUCAAUUAUCAUGUUACACAACUUAUUAUUGAUGGUGCCACGUGUUCUGAAAAUUUUAUUACGUUGGAUAUUCUCUUUAAAUUUCGACGCCAAUAAAAUUUUCUGCACAAUGCAGUUUAGCAACUUUGUUUCAACUGUUUCCAACUCCAAGGCCUCUUCGUCAUCCCAUCCUCAACGUCAUCCACCUCUUCUUUGCCGACUACAGCCUCUACCAAAUUUAAAUUUUUAGAACGAUAAUCACUCGAUCUAUGCCUUGGUGCUACAAAUUCAAACACUUAUUCGGCAUAGCUUUGCAUAAGGAUUAUUUUGUUGUCUUGGUGGCUUUUGCGAUCUAGGCGAUUGCUACCUCAACUAUUGCUACGCUGGUUGUUGUGCCUGGCCACUAUCAGCCCAUGUUUUUUGCUUGUUUUCAAUCCUAACAGUUCAAUGAUGAUACACAUAAGGCAUGCCAAACAAUUAGAAAGCUUAAAAUCUAGAACACGGCAGAAAAGUUUGUCAUCACCUUACAAAGUCUCAAUCCUUUUUGUGUGGUCCUUGUUGCCAUUUUGUUUUCUAUCCAGUGGCGGUCAAGGAGUCCAGUGUAAUAGAGGUUAAGUUCAAACAAUAAUAUAUAUAUAUUUUUUUAAAAUUAAUAAAUAACAAGUACCAAAAUUUAAAUUCAUUAAAACAUUUCACAAUAUGUUUACAAUUGUCUCAAUGUGUAUUUUUUUAUGUUUAUAAAGUUUAAGGAUAAACUCAUGAUCAACAAUAUGACAUGAGAGUUCAAAAUUUUUCAAAAAUAUAACGUUAAUUCUUUUAUCGAAGAGAAAUUUCAAAAAGAUAAAAGAAGUGAUAGUUAAUGAAGAGGGCUUACUAACUAAUUAGAGUAGCAAAUCAAUAGUAAACUUCUUGAGGUGGUUUACUUUUUUAGAGAUAAAAGAGGAGCGAAGUGUGAAGAAUCGUGGAAAAAAGCAACGAAGAAUUGGAAAAGAAAAACUUCAUUAGUCCAAAAUGUGUGCUAACUGUUAAGCUUGAGACAUGAAGCAUUCUUUUAAUAUACGACACUUAUAUUCUUUAAAUUUACUAAAGAGGGACUUUAAAAUUUACUAAGAGGGACUUUUUUGAUGUUUCAUAUUAAUGAUGGGGCAAUGCUGAAAAUGCACAUAAAAAUUUUCAGAAGUCCAACAGGGGCUGCUGUGGGGCACUACAAGGCCUCGCCCAUUGUAGCCAAUAUAUGUAAGCAAUCAUCAAUACGUCAUUUCUGUCUAUUUCUCCUUAUUAUUCAUUAGCAAUUAUCGUGGAAUAGUGUAAGCAAAUAAUAUGUAAAUCUUUUCAUUAAAAUAAAAUUUGUAAAUUAAGCUUUUUUUUUAAUAAAUUUAAAAUAAGGUAAAUUUUAAUUUACUCCUUACUUAGAAUGAUAAUCUUUAAUUUAUCCUCAAAAGUAUGAAAAUUCAAAUUUAUCCUCAUUUUUUUCAGAAGAAGAUGGUAAAUGGAGGAGGGGGCACAUUGAUGAUUUUUUCUUUUAUUCUUCUUGAUAGUAAUUGAGAGUAAAUUGAUGUUUUCAUACUUUUAUAAGAUAAAUUGAUGAUUGUUAUUCUAUCUAGGGGACAAAUUGAAGUUUAUCCUUUAAAUAAUGACAGCUCAAUCUUCGCUCCGGGGAGUUGAAUCCCAGACCUCUUAACUUUGUAGUUAGAAAUAUUUUGCUGUUGGGUGAGGAGGAGAUUAAGGACAUGAAUAAAAUUCGUUGCUUUUUCAUUUUAAAUAUAAGUUUAAUUGUUAGAUUCGUUGUUUUAUUAUAAGCCUAAAACAUGGCUAGAAGCAUUAUAUUGGAUGUAUUUACCAGUUUCAUAUGAAAAGGUUCGUGUAGCAUUAAAUGUUUCAUACGAAGGUAUGUUGGAAGAAAGUCUUUAGUAUCCACUAUAAAUGAUUGAAGAAAGUCUCCGUCGGAUUGUUUAACGCUGUAUUAAUUCAUGAAAGUAUUGGGAAAAUAUGCUCUUUAAAAGCAUAUGUGUUUAUUUAAUUGUAAUAAAUAAUUUUUUUGAUUAAUAAAAUAAAUGAGGUAUUUUAUUCAAGUAUCUUAAUUGCAUUAAUAUUUUGAGUAAAGUCCAUUUAAUCAUAUUAUAUGUAUUUAUCUAAUCACCAUGUGGAUUCACAGAAGACAUAAAUAUAAGUUAUCUUAUGAUUAAAUAAAUUAAGUUCGCAGUUGAUAAAUAAAGUUGGACACUUUAUUUAGGUAUAGACUGUAAUAAAUUUAUUAAAUGAUUUGUCUAAAUUAUGUAUGAAUUUAUUGAUGUAGUACGACUACAUUGAAUAAGAUCACAAAUGAGAUUUAAUUAACGUUGAAAUAUCUGUCAGACUUAUUAAAUCUUAUAGUCAUUAAUUUUACUAUAAUCUUAAUCUUGAGUUAGUUAUGAUUUCAUGAUUGUAAUUGUCAUUUCAUUUGAGUUAUCAAUAGGCAUGACACACAUUUGUAGUCAAGAUUACCGGGUAUCUUGGUGAGAGCAAUUAUGAGUAUUGGAGUUAGAGACUAACAAUAUAGAAUUUGUACAACACAUCUCUUGAUGGAUUUUCAGUACUUGAUCAUAAAAUUCUCUGGCCAAAGUGUGUCAACAUAUUUAGUAUGUUGAAAUGAUCAUUAGAGAAAACCAGUAAGUAUCAUGGAGCAAGAUGUAAUAAAAUUGAUUGGACAGUUGAGAUAUCGAUUUAAUCAACGAUGUGGUACAAAGAAUUAUGCAGUAAAGAAAUCAAUGUGUCAUGGGUCGAAUUAUUAUUCGAAAAUACUAUCCUAGAUAGCAUACAAUUAUGGAGGUAAAUUCCAAUCUUUCAGUGGAGUAAAUUUGGAAUUAAAUAAUUGGGCUAGUUUAAUUACAGACUUAAUUAUUGUAGCCACUAUUGUAUGUACCCAUAUGAUCUCCGGGUUAGCUCAUUUAAUUGACUACGCUGCUACUAGAUUAAUAAGCAAGAUAACUAGUUAUUUGGGUUAAAAGCAUAAAUAUAUUAUUUAGUGGGAGAUUUCAUUUAAUAUGCUUAUGUGUAAGGGGCCUUGUGUUAUUUUACUAGGUGGGCCCCUAUAACAUAAUAAUAAGUAAUGCCACUUUUGGUUUUGUUAUUUUUUAAUUUAAAUCAAAUUUGAUUUAAUAGAAUUAAAAAAUAUAUAAAUAUGGAGUCUAGGGUUUCCACUAAAGAGAGAAAGAAAAAGACUUGUUUUCUCAAAAGGAAAAGUAGGAGCCACAAUAUACAUAUCAGAAAAAAAGAUUUUUUCUCUCUAAUUUUGAGAGGAAUAUUUUCUCUUGCUAGUUGCUUUUAGUGGUGAUAAAGGCGUCCACACGUCAAGUGCAGAACAAACUUAAGUCAUAACCUGGAAGAUCAUUGGUGACGGAUCGUGAUCUAACAAAAUUGGUGGUGACGAAUCGUGAUCUAAUAGAAGUGGUGGUGAUAGAUCGUGAUCUAAGAGUCUAAAUUAAUUCAGCGAAAAAGAAAAAUCGGAUUGUCAAGGUAUGAUAUUCUAGAUUACGAAUUCUUGUGUAAUGUAUGAGAUCGGUACUAAAAGUUUUUAUAUAAAAAAAAAACUGAUUUUUAACCAAUAAAAAGCUCCCAUGUGGAUCUUUAUAGCAUUAUAUUCAAAAGGGCGGCAUGGACUUUGUGUUGUAGGUAGUAGGAAAAUUCUAAUUACAAAUAAUAUCUUAUGUUGACGAAACUUUUUUAGUUGAAAUAAACUCUGAUCAAUUAUUUGGAGUCCAGCUAUUGUGCACCUGGUCCAUGAUGGUAGCCUAAUUUUUUCAUAUAUAAGGUGCCCAUUUGUUUCUAUUGAAAAGGGCAGUAAGGUCAUUGAGCCGUAAGUAAGUAGGAAAAAUCUAAUUAUGAGCUCAUAUCCUAUGUUGACGAAUCGUUUCUAUUUGAAAAGAUUAUAUGAUCACAGUCAAGAUGAAGCAAACGCCGGGCUGUUGACGCCGGCCACUUAAUCAUUUCCAUAAUUUUAAUUGCUGUUGACUUCAAAGGAAAGCAUUUCCUCACUUGUCAUAAUUCGUUCGGUGACUUUUGGUGCACUGAACUAUGGCCCCUCUUUGGUGUUGAGGUACCGGCAGGACCACCUACCACUAGUCUUUGGCCAGAGGGGUUUAUUGCACAAACAUACUCGGACGCAUGCUCCCAAAGAAUGUUUCCCCCAUUUUCCUUUUUAUGCCACUCCAUUUCUAUGAAAGAAAUUGAUUGUCAGCCUUGGCAGGAUGGCCUUAGUCAAAAGGUACUCACCAAAAGAUUGAACUAUGAAAUAAAAGUAUAAAAUCAAAUCAAUUUAGUUUUCAAUUUAUGACAGUUAGUGUUUACCAAACAUUUUAGUGCUGUAACUUUUAAAUUACAGCUAUCCAAUUUUAAUUUAAACGAGGUCUAUAUUGGACUGUAUUAAAAAUUACAUUGUAUCAUAUUGUUAAUACAAUUUUAUAUUUAGUGUAAUUAUGGGUUGGCUUGUGUAUUUUAAAUAAUAUUAAAUUGUUAUUGUUUAAUUUAUUAGUAAAAAUUAAAGCAACCACUAACGACCACCUUUGACCACCACCAAUCAACUUCGAAAGAUGAUAAAUGAUGUCCGUUUAAGUCAAUUUAGUACUAUUAGAAUUCUCCUUUUGAGCUCUAUGCAAUAGAAACUAAUAUUAUCGACAUAAAGGAUCCGUUCACUGUAGAUUUUCAAUUUGUUGCAUAAUGCAAAUAGAUUUGCACUGUUCAUACCUGCCCGAACCUGAGUGCCAGAAACGUACCUAGCGAUGUCAAUGGGGCGGGGAUCAUGAUCACCUUAACCCGAUUUGGAAGUUAUCCCCCGAACCCGUUCCAUACCCAAAAAAUUGUAAUGGGGGAUAAUUUGUGUAACGUCACAAAUUCCCAUACAUAUUAAAUUAUGGAAAUUGGGCUUUCAUUGAGAAUUAUGGGUGGCCUAUAACCCUUAUUAAGAAAGGGGUACUAAUUAAAUAGAGGUUAUUUAUGAGAUAAUUUUGAAAAAGGGUUAUUUUUCCUUAUUAAAUAGGGUUUCUUAAGAUCUCCUAUAAAUGCAUACUUUUUCCCCUUCCAUAACCCUAAGUUCACAACGUUUAUUCUUCUUCUCUGCUGCUCUUUACGCUCCUACCCAAAUCUUAGGAUUCAAACCUUUGUUUAGGAGAGAAUCAAAGCGACGGGUAAGUUAUUCUCCCUGUUCUCAACAGAUUUCUAAUCACUCUAUCUAGCUAGGGUUUAUAUUGGCACGAUUCUAGAAGGUUAUAGAUCUUAAUGCAUGAUUUAGAAUAUAUUUAGGCUUUGCUUAGGGUUUUGAUUUAUUAUGAGUUUAGUUAAUCAAUCCUUGACGUAUUAAGCACAGGAUAAUUCUGGACAGCAUGAGUAUCUCGAAUUUAAAACUAUAUUUUCUGAACGAAUUUUCUUAUAAAAUUUAUAUUUCUGGAAACUAGACAUGUAGGGCUUCUUGAUUAAAUUUUAUUUCAUUAAAUUCGACUUCGUUUUCAAUUUUAUACAUAUUUUGGAAAUAGAAACCACUGCACUGGAAAACUGCGAUUCCAGUAUUGUGAUCAGAUUCAAAAGACUAUUUGUACCACCAACUGAACUCGGAAAAUUCUGAAAGUUUAUAUGUAUGUUAAUAUAUGUGUCUAGGAUUCCCAGUUUUAAUUUCAUAAUUUUCUGAUUAGUAUUGUAUUUUAUAAAAAUCACGGAACUCGUUCUGUUUAGUUUAGAUUAUGUGAAAACAGUUUCGAAUUUACUGAGAAGUAAAUAGUUUUUAAAAUGUUUUUGAUAUCGGAUCCUCUUGUAAAUUUUACAUGGGGUACUCAUGGAUGUCCAGAAUAGUUCCAUAGGAUAUUAUAUCAUUCUGAGUCUUAGAUUAAGAGUUAAAAUUCUGAGAAUCAGACCUGUACGGGUAUGAAUUAGAAAAUCAGAUUCUUAGAAUAAGUUAUUAAUUGUCAUAUCUUGUAUUUGUUUAAGGUAUUGAAGGUGAUUGAGGCUCUUAGAAGCUUAGAGGUGUGUUUAUUCAUUCAUUUUUCGAGGUAAGUAACUUCAUUCCUAAUGUACUGGAUAUGUAUAAGUAUUUUGAUAUUAUUAUUAUAAGUAUAAAUGUUUUUAUACUACUUAAAGGAUUAAUUGAUUUUGAUAACAAAAUUAAUUUUAUGUAAAUGUUUUCAAACCUAAAUUCUUUUUAACAAAGUAUUUUAUAAAUGCUUUUUAAUAUGUAAAUGAUUUUAUGACAUGACAACCUUUUAUGAUAUUAUCUUUAAAAUGUUAUGCAAGCCUAAAUUAUUGAUAUGAACUUUUAUGAAACUGAUACGAAUGUUUUGUACCUAUGUUUGAUUUCAAUUAUUGAUGAUUGUAUGGGAUUCUUAAUGUUUUGGCUCAUUGUCCAUAGUUAUUCUGAUUCUGAUUCUGAUCGUAAUAUACGAUAUAUCUGUCUGGACCAGUACUGGGUUUCUGUUUGAGUGUGCACACGAUAUUCUGAUUCUGUUUCUGGCCGGGUCACUGGGACUAUAGGUGACACUAUGUGACAUGAGCUAACCUUUUGUUUUCUGUAUACGUAUUAUAUGAUUUGCUUCGUAAGUAAAUAUGCUUUUGAAUAUUCUGAAUUAUUAAGAAUUUAUGUUAUGUUAUCGUGAUAUAUCGUUUUAUGAAAUUUAUGGAUUAUGAUAUAUGUUUUAAACAAAAGAAGGCUUGCAAUAUUUUUUUUAUAUCGAUGGGCCUAGUAUGUUAUAAAUGACUUUACUUACCGAGUUGACGGCUCACCCCUCGUCAUUACUUUUUGCAAAUUAAGUUUCUUUGAGAGGGGCGCUUAGCUUUGGAGUUAGUAAUUUUCUGUUUCCGUUGCUAUUCGAAUAAGAGGAGGAAUAGACUCGUGUUUCUAUUUAGUUAUUUCUAUUAUGAACGUGUAAUUUGGAGUUUGAGACAUUUGUUAUUAUUUUUUAUGUCCGAGAGAGAGAUUAAUUAGUAUUAGACGUUUGAAUUUGUGGAUUUAUUUGAAUAAGAAUUGGAGGUAUUUCAGUUUGAAACUUAUGAAUAAAGAUUAUGAUUUGUGAGUAACCUCCUUCACGUGCUCCGCAUGUAUUAGAUUUGUGGUGUUACAGUUUGGGUAUGUCCCCGAAAAUCCUCGAAUUGAGUGGGGAUUAAAACAGGGACCCGAUCCUCAUUUUUUUAAAUAAUAAUUUCUGAAUAUUUUAGUUUCUUUUUUAAAAAAAAAAUAAUUCUAACAACCUCCAUAUUUAGAAAUAAAAUUACAAAUGAUCAAAUUCCAUAUUAAAAAUAAAAUUAUGAGUGAUCAAAUUUUAACAACCUCCACAAAAAUAAAAACAAAAUAAUUCUAAGUUUUCAACAUAAUUACAAAUGAUCAAAUUUUAUAUCACAAAUCAAAAUAAUUUUACAUUUUCAACAUAAACUUUUCAUUAAUAAAGACUUGAUUAAGUGUUCUCACCAGCAAUAAAAAUCCAUUAUUUAUUAUUCAAAGAAAACCUCCUGAAACAAAAAAACUCAAUCUAUCUUUAUUCUCUUCUCUCUCUAGAGCUCUGCCGGUAUUUUAUAAAUGGCGGCUAAAUCUCAGCUGCAUUCAUCAAACCCAUCGUGUUUCUUAAACUGAUUAAAAAAAAAGCUUAUAAUGUAAAGUGUACAUGAUAAUAAAGCCCAUCAAAUGGCAUCACAACAAAGCUUAUCAUUCUCAUACAACUUAGGAAGGAGGCAACAGCAGCGUCGUAAAGUGUACGGAAGAAGGGAUAGAGAGAGGGAUCCUGAUAGGAGGAGGGGAAUCAAGAGAAUCAAAACAUAACUUACCCAAAGCAUGGCUGUCAGUAACUCAAAUCAUGGCUGCAACCUCUGUUUCUGUGAGCUCUCCAUGGCUGCAGUUUGUACUUCAGGCUAUGUGACUGAGAAUGAAAUCAGAAGAAGAUGAAUGAAAACACACAAAAUGUAAAAUUGACUUAAAUCAAUGAAACCAGAUGCAAUUUGAAAUAAAUAAAUAAAGAAAGAAAAAUAGAAAAAGCAAAAAGCUUGCAGCAGAAGAACCGAUAGCGUGACUGAGUGUUGGUCGGAGACGACGAAUGGUAGCGGCUGACCAGCUGUUAGCAACGGUGGUGACUGACGAGCUGUUAGGGUUUCUUUUGGGAAAUAACGAUCGAUUCAAUGCAAAGGAUGGGUGUUAGAAUUUUUAAUUUACAAAUUUAAAAUAUUAAGUAAUAUUUUUUUUCUUUUUAGAUUUUAUUUUUGGUCAGGUUAGGGGACCCGAUAAAAUCCCCAAAUCCAAACUCGAAUUUUGUUUGGGGCUAAGACCCAUACCCGAAACUGACCUGAAUUUAUUUUCACAUUUUUCUAGGGCCCCAUACCUGCCCCAAAUUAAUUGGGGCCCGCGGGUAUUGCUGCCAACUCUAAACGUACCCUUAAUUAUACUUUUUCUCUAGAGAGAGAGAGAGAAUAGAUUUGUUAUAAAAAUAAUGAAAUACAAAGUUUUAAAGACAAGCAAAAUAAUUAACAAAAUACGGGAGCAAUCUAUAAAUUUUGUGAGUUAACUCAAAUAAGAGAAAAUAAUGAAUUAAAUAAUUAUCUAAAUAUGACAAUAACAAAAUAAGAAACGCUUUCUAAGUUAAUGAAAUUCUAAUUUUAUCUUACAUGAAGCAGAUGGGAUAGCUCACGUGUUUGAACUUUUACAAAGGAAAUAAUUCAUAGGUCAAGAGUUUAAAAAUCCAAAGGAAUACAUUAAAAUUUGAGGUGGGAUAGAACGAGGUAAAUGAUAAGAAAUAGUUGUAUAUGAGCACUUUUACAUAUUUUAAUAUAUGUGCCUCCAAAAAUUUAGUUGAGUGAUUUUUAAGUAGUUUUAUUUAUUUGGCCACCAUUAUUAGAAUUCUAGGGAGUUAGGGGUUAAAAAAUUGAUUUGUGCUUUUGUCCUUCCUUUACUUAAAAGAAGAAAAAAAAAGGAACUAAGACACACUUAUAUUUAUAUUGAAACAAAAUUAAUGGCUUAGUUCUAAUGGAUUAGAUAAUAUGACACAUUAAUUUCCAUACAUUGAUACUAUAACAUUUAUUUGUUUUUAACCCUCUCUCCUCAUCAUCGUUCUUAUAAAAUUUUGAGUUAAAAUUUUGUAAGCUAACUCAAAUAAGACAAAACAAUCCUACUAAAAAAAAGAAUUAAAAAUAAUAAUCUAAAUACAACUCUAACAAAGUAAAGAAUAUGAACGCUUUCUAAGAUAAUUAAAUGCUAAUUAUAUCCUAGCUCGUAUGUGAGGACAUAAGAAUUAAGAAAUUAAUUUACCUUUUUAAAAAAAAUAACAUACACAAAAAAAAGAUUAAAAAAAAGGACUAUUAAGAUCUAAUAGAUUAGAUGAUAUCACACACUAAUUUUAAUACAUUAAAGCUAUAAUAUUUGAUUUUCACUAUCCUCUCUUCUCCUUAUCAACAUUCUUGUAAAAUUUUGAGUUAAAUUUUUUAAGUUAGCCUAAAUAGGUAAACACAAUCAUACUCAACAAAAAAUAAUAAUAAUACAAUAAAAUUGGCUUUCUAUGGCACAAUAUCGACCACAUGAUAUAAUUGUUGGAGAAUUAAUAAAUAAAACACACACAAAAAAAUACUAUUUUAUUUCUUCAACAACACUCCUCACCAAUUACAACUCUUAUUUUUCACUCUCUACACCUUAGAGAUUUUGUUACUUCACUUGAUGCUUAAACCAAAGGGGAGAGGGGGUAUUUAUACAUGAAACAAACUAAUCACAACCAUUCAUUUAUUCAACUAAUACACAAAUCCUCACCAUCCAUCAAAACCUACCACUCAACUACUUCACCAACCACACCUACCACACCUACUACAAGUAAUUCAAAUCUCACCAACCAUACCUACUCAUGGAACCUUCCAUGAGUUGGGCUUGAAUUUAUUUAUCUUGGAUCAAGUUUAUGAUCCAACACCCCCCCCUAAACUUGAUCCUAUGACACCAAGCAAACUUCUGAAUUUUACAAAGUCUUCUUUCUUGAGCGGCUUGGUGAAGAUAUCAGCUGCUUGAUCUUGAGAUUUUACAUACUUGAUUUGCACUUUUUUUUCUUGCAAUAUACUCUCUUAUGAAAUGACAGCGAGGGUCUAUGUGUUUGCUUCAAUCAUAAAAGACUGGAUUCUUGGAUAGGGCAAUUGCUGAUUUGUUAUUAACACAAAUCUCGAUUGGCUCUUCUUGUGGCAAGCCCAACUCCUUCAGUAAAUUUCUGAGCCAAAUUGCAUGACAAACACUUGAUGUGGCAGCUACAUACUUAGCUUCACAAGUGGAUAGUGUGACAAUAGGUUGCUUCUUUGACAUCCAUGUGAAAGCAGUAUCUCCCAUGAAAAACAAAAAUCUUGUGGUGCUUUUUCGAUCAUCUACAUCUCUACCCCAAUCACUAUCGCUAUAUCACACAAGCUUGUAGUCAUUAGAAAAUGAGUAUAACAAGCCGAAAUUAAUUGUACCUUUGAUGUAGCGAAGGAUUCUUUUUGCAGCUUUAAAUUGAGUGGUCUUUGGAUUCUCCAUGUAUCGACUCACAAGUCCAAUAGCAUAAAGGAUAUCUGGUCUCGUGCAUGUCAAAUAACGUAGGCUUCCAACCAAACUUUUAAAGAAUGUUGGAUCUAUAUCUUCGCCUUCAUCAUGUUUCGAUAACUUGACUCUGCAUUCCACUGGCGUGCUUAUAGGCUUGCAAUCAUUCAUCUUGAACCUUUUAAGAAUCUCUUUUGCAUAGCUUUCUUGGGAGAUAAAUAUGCCUUCUUCAUUUUGCUUGACUUCAAUGCCGAGGUAAUAUGCCAUCAGUCCAAUCUCAGUCAUCUCGAACUCUUUGAUCAUCACUCUCUUGAACUCUUCAAACAAGCUUGGAUUACUUCCAGUGAAGAUGAGAUCAUCCACAUACAAGCACACAAUUAAAAUGUCUCCAUCAUUUUCUUUGACGUAGAGAGCAUGUUCAUAUGGGCAUUUGAUGAAGCCUUUCUCUUGAAAAUACUUGUCAAUUCUUCUAUUCCAUUCCCUUGGUGCUUGCUUUAACCCGUAAAGAGCUUUCUUCAAUCUCAAAACUUUGUCUUCAUGUCCUUUCACCACAUAGUCUAAUGGUUGUUUGAUGUAAAAUUCUUCUUCAAGGAAUCCAUUCAAGAAAACAGACUUUGUUAACAUGAAUAUCUUAAUAAUAUUGAUUUUGAUGAUAACAAACUUUAAAUGGUUUUUGAUUAAAAUGUUGGAGCUAUUCCUUAAUAAACAAAAGCCUUAUAAUCAUUCCAAUCAUAUUCAUAAAAUAUGGACUUUCAAAUUAGAAAAUGAUUCUCUGCAAAAUUUGGUUUAAAAUGUGAUUCUGGAAAUAAACGGUGAACCGUUUUCUUUCAAACGGUUAACCGAUUAAAACCAGAGAGCUACAUAUUGCCUAAGCUCUAACCGAUUAAGAAAAAUGGAAAACACAAAAUGCUGGGAAGGCUACUGGAAUUUAACGGUGAACCGUUUAUUUAAAUGGUUAACCGAUAACAUCCAGAAUAGAAGGUUGUACUCCUCUGGCACCGUUUAACAAAACUGGAUAAGGCUAAAUUGUUUUGCAGGUUACUGGAAACAAACGGCGAACCGUUUAUUACAAACAGUUAACCGAUACUAUCCAGAGAGGUCACUUCAUGCAAAUCCUUAACCGUUUAAUGUAAACGGAUAAUUGAUGUUCAUCUUGCAGGUUUCUGGAAUUUAACGGUGAAAGGGUAAGCCUAAACGGCAAACCGUUUAUUUGAAACUUGGCCCAACGGUAACUUUUGACCAACCUAAAUAAUUAACCGUUAAUGGUUAACGGCGAACCGUUUUCUGGCAGACAUUUUGUAACAGCUAGUUUUUCAGCUCCAACUAUAAAUAAGCUCAUUCAAAUUCAAACAAAGGUGAUCACAACACGACUAUUGAGCUUAUACUCAAGAAUACAAUCUUCAUAGAGCUUUGAACACAUUCUUGCUUCAUCUAUUCACAUAUUGGGCAUCAUUUUGUAAUCUUAAAUAUUGUGAGAGGCAAAACAAAUUUGUAAUCUUUUGUUUUUGAGUGAUUGUAAGUGUUGGGAUACACUUGGGUUAAGAGAUUGGGAUAAUCUCUUGUUGUAAAGGUUAUUGACACCUUGGAAGUCAAGUGUAAGCAUUUGAAGCCUUGGAGGCUUGCUUAGUGGAAUCCUCAAGCUCGGAAAGCUUGGAGGCGUGGACGUAGGCGAGGUUGGCCGAACCACGUAAAAAUCUCUGUGUUUGAAUCUCUCUUCCCUUAUCUUUUUAUAUUGUGAUCAACUUAUUUAUUAUUACUUUGAAUUUGGUUUAUAUUUGCAUUAAGUUUUUCUUUAUAAAUUGAAUAAUUUUUAGAAUUCCAAUUCACCCCCCUCUUGGGUUGCAUAACUAGAAUUUCAUUUGGUAUCAGAGCUUAGUUCUCUUGUUAGGACUUAACCGUCUAGAGUAAGAGAUCCAUGGCAACCCAAAUGACUCAACCUUUAGGGAAGGACAGUCCACAACUAGACCACCGUUUUUUGACGGAAAUGACUAUCCAUAUUGGAAAACUAGGAUGAGAAUUUAUUUACAAGCACUAGAUUAUAAAAUUUGGAAAGUUGCAUGUGAUGGUCCAUUCUUGCCCCUAACUAAAAAUGAAUUCGGGGAAGAUAUUCCAAAACCUUUAAGGGAAUGGAAUGAAUUCGAAAGAGAAAAGCUUCUCUAAAUUCCAAAGCUAUGAAUGCUUUAUUUUGUGCAAUUGAUAAGAAAGAAUUUCAUCGAGUAUGUAGUUGUGAAAGUGCAAAUGAAAUUUGGCACAAACUUGAAGUAGUUUAUGAAGGCACAAAUCAAGUGAAAGAGUCGAAAAUUAGUAGGUACACUCGACAAUAUGAGUUGUUCUAAAUGGAACAAAAUGAGAGUGUGUACUCUAUGUAUACGAGAUUUACGGACAUAGUAAACACCCUAGGAGCCCUAGGAAAGACCUUCUCAAAUAGUGAAAAAAUUAAGAAAAUCAUUAGGUCACUUUCAAAAGAAUGGAGACCCAAAAGAACCGCUAUUGAAGAGGCCAAAGAUUUAAAUACUUUACCUCUUGAUGAUUUAAUUGGUUCUCUCAUUUCAUAUGAAGAAGAUUUGGCAGCAAAAAAAGGGCAUGAGGAGAAGAAGAAAAGCAUUACUCUCAAAGCUUCAAAAUAUAAGAGUGAUGGGGAGAGUGAACCGGAUGAUGAAGAGUUAGCCAUGCUAGCAAGGAAGUUCAGAAGAUUCUUUAAGAAAAUCGGAGAGCGAAGAAAUUUCAGAAACUUCAAGAACCAAAGGGAGAAGAAAGAGGUAAUCACAUGCUAUGAAUGCAAGAAGCCUGGCCAUAUAAGAUCGGAGUGCCCACUUAUCAACAAACUCAAGAAGAAAGCAAUGGUUGCAACUUGGGAUGAUAGCGAAGAAGAUUCAAGUGAUGAAGAAGGAUCGCAAGAAGUAUCAAACCUAGCACUUAUGGCAAUAGGAGGGGAUGAUGAUCUCAAUGAGGUAAGUGAUCCCACCUAUGAUGAAUUGUAUGAUGCUUUUAAAGAAUUGCAUAAUGAGUUGAUAAAGAUUGGUAAAAAGAAUGUAUGUCUUAAAAAAGAAAUGGCAAAGCUUAAAAAUGAAAAUGAAUCUGUAAAUGAAAGAAUUGCAUGCCUAGAAGUAGAUAACAAAACAUUGCAUGAUGAAAUUGCAUUAUCAAAUGAGAAACCUAGCAUCUCACAUGAGCAUUUAGAAUCACACAUAGAUGAUUUGAAAAAUGAAAACCAAAUGCUUAAGAAAAAGAGCAAUGAGUUGAAUGAGAUUGUUUUGAAAUUUACAAAUGGGCAAAAGAUGUUGGAUAAUAUGCUUAACUCACAAAAAUGUGUUUUUGAUAAAGGAGGACUUGGGUAUAAGCCUAACUUGAAGCAAAAGUAUUAUAAGAAUUAUUUUGUUAAAGCUACCUCCACAAGUGAUCAUAAGAUUGUUUGCCAUUAUUGUAAUCAAAAUAGUCACAUGAAAUAUAGAUGUCCCAUGAAAAGGAAUGCAUAUUAUGGUGUCAAAUGUAUUUGGGUUCCAAAAGGAACCGUUGCUAACUCUCAAGAACCCAAAAAGCUUUAGGUACCUAAAACUUGAGAUUUUCCUUGUAGGGCUUAAAGAAGAAGAAAAAUAAAUGGUACUUGGACAGUGGUUGUUCAAGGCACAUGACCGGAAAUUAUGCAUGGUUCUCAAGCUUCACCAAAAUUGAAAAUGGUGGAGACGUAUCUUUUAGAGACAACUCAAAAGGAAAAAUUCUUGGAAUUGGAAAUGUUGGUAAAGUUUCUUCAACUGUAAUUGAGAAUGUAUGUUUGGUUGAGAACUUGAAACACAACUUAAUUAGUAUUAGUCAACUAUGUGACAAAGGUUAUAAAGUUAUCUUUGAUAAAUUUAGUUGUGUUAUUGAGAAUUCAUGCGAUGGCAAGAUCUUAUUUGUUGGGAAUAGAUGUGGUAAUGCUUAUAUCAUUGACAUAGAAUGUGCAUCUACUCUUGAUAAAUAUUUUUCGGCAUUGCAUGAUGAUAGUUGGUUAUGGCAUAGAAGGUUAGGACAUGCAAGUAUGGAUUUGAUUUCAAAAAUUUUGAAAAAUGAUUUAGUUAAAGGUCUUCCAAAAAUUGGUUUUCAAAAAGAUAAGAUUUGUGAAGCUUGUCAAUUUGGAAAACAAAUCAAAACAUCUUUCAAAAAUAAAAAUCAUAUUUCUACUUCAAAACCACUUCAACUUCUUCACAUAGAUUUAUUUGGGCCCUCUAGAUAUGCUAGUUUAAAUGGAAAAUAUUAUGCAUUUAUGAUAGUGGAUGAUUAUUCUAGAUAUACUUGGGUAUUAUUCUUAGCCAAUAAGGAUGAUGCUCUUGAUGCCUUUAAAGUGCUUUGUAAGAAAAUACAAAAUGAAAAAGGGUAUGGUAUUGCAUGCAUUAGGAGUGAUCAUGGAGGAGAGUUUGAAAAUAAUGCAUUUGAGAUUUUUUGUAAUGAUUUUGGCAUUGAGCAUCAAUUUUCAUCACCUAGAACUCCACAACAAAAUGAAGUUGUUGAGAGAAAGAAUAGAUCCAUUCAAGAAAUGGCUAGGACUAUGUUGACUAAAAAUUCAUUGCCUAAGUAUUUUUGGGCCGAGGCCGUCAACACCGCUUGUUAUAUUUUAAAUCGUGUGUUGAUUAGACCUAACCUUAACAAAACUCCAUAUGAGCUUUGGAAACAUAGAAAACCCAACAUUGGUUAUUUCAAAGUGUUUGGAUGCAAAUGUUUUAUUUUGAACACAAAAGACAAUCUUGGCAAAUUUGAUCCAAAAUCUAAUGUUGGUAUUUUUCUUGGAUAUUCAAACUCAAGCAAAACUUAUAGAGCUUAUAACAAAAAUACAUUAGUUGUAGAAGAAUCUAUGCAUGUUACUUUUGAUGAGUCUAACCCCUCCUCUACGGAGAAAGUUGUUGUUGAUAACGAUGUAGAUGAAGACUUACAAAAAGAAUCAUCAAAAGAUAACCAAAAGGAUGCGUCUCAUGGGAAUCAAGAUGAGCAACAUGAAGAAAUGAAUGUAGAGCAAAAUGAAAGUGUAUCUCAAUCACUCCCCAAGGAGUGGAGGUAUGUUUCUUCUCACCCUAAGGAUGUAAUUUUAGGAGAUCGCUCACGAGGUGUUACAACCAGAUCAUCACUUAGAAAUACUUGUGAGCAUAAUGCAUUUAUUUCUCAAAUUGAACCCAAAUCCUUUGCGGAUGCGGAAAAUGAUGAAUCUUGGAUUAUGGCAAUGUAAGAGGAGUUAAAUCAAUUUGAAAGAAACAAUGUAUGGGAAUUAGUUCCUAAACCGGAACAUCAAUCCGUCAUAGGUACUAAAUGGAUAUUUAGAAAUAAGAUGGAUUAAUCCGGUGUGGUUGUAAGGAAUAAAGCUAGAUUAGUGGCUCAAGGUUACAACCAAGAAGAAGGAAUUGAUUUUGAUGAAACAUUUGCACCCGUAGCUAGACUAGAAUCAAUUAGAAUGUUGUUGGUAUUUGCAUGUCAUAAAGAUUUCAUUUUAUUUCAAAUGGAUGUGAAAAGUGCCUUUUUGAAUGGUUUUAUAGUGGAAGAAGUGUAUGUAAAACAACCCUCUGGUUUUGAAAAUGAAAGAUUUCCAAAUCAUGUUUAUAAGUUAUUUAAAGCUUUGUAUGGCUUAAAACAAGCACCUAGAGCAUGGUAUGAUAGACUUAAGAAUUUCUUGUUAGAAAAUGAUUUUUCAAUGGGUAAAGCGGAUACUACUCUAUUUGUCAAACAUAAGGACGAAGACAUACUUGCUGUUCAAAUUUAUGUUGAUGAUAUUAUUUUUGGUUCAACUAAUGAAUUGUUGUGUAAAGAAUUUUCAUCUUGCAUGAGUAACGAAUUUGAAAUGAAUAUGAUGGGAGAGUUGAAGUACUUCCUUGGGCUGCAAAUAAAACAAAAUGAGGAAGGAAUUUUCAUAAAUCAAGCCAAGUAUGUAAAAGAUCUACUCAAAAGAUUCGGCGUUGAUGACUCAAAGACCAAAAACACUCCAACGAGCACAACUACCAAACUUGACAAAGAUGAAAAAGGCAAGGAAGUGGAUAUCAAAAUGUAUCGAGGUAUGAUCGGAUCUUUACUUUAUUUAACUGCAGUAGACCCGAUAUCAUGUUUAGUGUUUGCUUGUGCGCAAGAUUUCAAUCUUGUCCCAAGGAAUCUCAUUUUCUUGCUGUUAAAAGAAUUUUCCGUUAUUUGAGUGGAAUCAUAAAUAUUGGCCUUUGGUUUCCUAGGGGAACUCAUAUAGAUUUAACAUGUUAUUUGGAUGCAGAUUUUGCCGGUUAUAAAGUUGAUAGGAAAAGCACUAGUGGAACAUGCUAUAUCCUAGGUCACUCACUUGUUUUAUGGUUUAGCAAGAAACAAAAUUCUGUUGCACUCUCAACUACCGAGGCCGAAUAUAUAGCUGCAGGAAGUUGUUGUGCACAAGCUUUUUGGAUGAAACAAACACUUAGAGACUACGGUAUUAACCUAGAACAAAUUCCUAUUAAGUGUGAUAAUACUAGUGCUAUAAAUCUUUCAAAGAAUCCCAUUCAACACUCUCGAACCAAGCAUAUAGAAAUAAGACAUCAUUUCUUGAGAGAUCAUGUUCAAAAGGGGGAUAUUGCAUUAGAGUUUAUUUCUAUAGAAAAGCAACUCGCCGAUAUUUUUACCAAACCUCUUGGCAAAGAACAAUUUUUAAAGAUUCGGCAUGAACUUGGAAUAAUGAAAUUUUCACAUUAACGUUACUAUUCAUGCUACUGAGUGUAUUAAAUUGAUUGACUUAUUGGUGAAUUGAUGAUUUAAAUGCUUAAGCUUGAUAUUCAAAAUGAUGUGCUUGCUUUGUUAAUUCUUGAUUGAUUAUAUGAAUUAAUUGCUUGAAUACAUGUUCAUGAAUCAUGCAUUAAAAUGGCUCAUGAAACAUUUUUAGAUCAAUUAAAUGAUCUUGGAAUGUAUUAUUUGCUGGCCAAAAAUUAAAUCAAAUGUGCGAAAUUAUUGAUAAAAUAAACGGCUAACCGUUUCCAAUAAAAGGUGUACCGUUUUAUUCCAGAAACUCGAUUAUGUUCACUGCCUUUUAACCCUUUUACCGUUUGAUGCAAUCGGUAAACCAUUUAAAAUCAGAGAGCUCGUUAGCAGUUACUCCUCAGCCGUUAAGAGUUUAACCUUUAACCGUUUCCCAUUCUUUAGCCUCUGGAAGUUACCCCUUGACUGUUUAAAUAAACGGUUAACCGUUUUCGUGAUUAUAAAAUUGUUCAAAGGUUUUUUCUUCUCCUUCUCCAGUUGCCCCUUCACUGUUUCGGCCAUUGUUGCGCAGCCGAAACCUCCUCUGCCCUCAAACCUUCAUUUUUCUUGUUUUUCUUGCCAAAUCAAACCUAUAACAUCAUUUCUUAUCACCUUUAGAAUACUUUCACCGAUCCAAAUCCUCAAAUCAAGCCCAAAAUUGAAAAAUCCCAAAUCUAAACCCUAACUGCAGCCGUUCAGGUUUCUUCAUUUUUAACCCGAUUCUUCCCCUUCUUCAACCAAAUUGAGCAUCUAAAUCACAUCUUUUACUCAUUCCUAAGAAAAUAAUCGGUUCAUCUUCUUCUCAUCACAUCUCUCCCGUAAUUUUUCAAAAUCCUUUGUUCUUCACCAUGGCUGCACCCCCUCGGAGAAAUCUCAGGCGAAAAUCUGUGCCUCCAAGGAACCCUAUACCACCACGGGAAGUCUUUGAAUUUGUAAGAAUUCAUUUCCCCAUGCCUUCCUUGGCCAAGCAGUUCGAGGAUCGCUUCAAUGGUCAAAAGGUACUUGACUCUUCUUAUGUUGAUAUAGAUGAUUUCAGUACCUUAGUUGUAUGUGGCAGAAGCAUUAGGGAUAUGCUUCAGCCUUAAGAGUCUGCCAUUGACUUUGAUGACCGAGUUUAUCCCAACUUAGUGCGAGUCUUUUAUUCGAACAUGGAAAUCUCCGCAACUCGCCUAAAUAGGAUAGUUACUCAAGUCAGCGGUGUGCUUAUUGAAUUUGAUGAUGCGGAUCUAGCUGACUUUCUUGGUAUCUCUAGUGAGGGUCAUGAUAUUUACACCUCUAGGAAAGCCCUUUUCUUUGACAGUUUUUGUCAUACUGAUGGAGUCCGUAACAUUUGUCGUCGUCGAGACUUGUCUGAUGAGAUCUGUCUUCUACCUUUUCAGUCUCAACUUUUACCUCUCCAAGUUUGCAUUCUUCACACUAUUUUACAGCACAUAGUGACACCUAGGAAGGGUCACUCGGAUGAGGUUACGAGGUUGGACGUUGGCCUAUUAGAUAGCCUCAUUUCAAGUCGUCCCAUUAACCUCGGCUAUGUUAUUGUGCGGCACAUGUUGAGUACUCCCCCGGUUAACCACCACUGGCUUCCAUAUGGUAGUAUCAUUACUAAGAUACUGCGACGCUUUGAGGUGCCUCUUCUUGAUACUAGUUAUAUGGAGACUAGACGGAUUGGUCCCGAGGCCAUGACUAGUAUCGAUUUUACUAGGAAGAAUGGUGAGUGGAUAAAGACAAACAACUCCAAAAACCGGGAUACCUUGAUUGCUCUAGAGGACGAUCGGAUGCUCAACGAUGUCUAUCCUCCCGAUAAGCUUCCAGAUUUUAGAUUAGGAGCUCAUCCUCAUCCUCUGCGUCGCCGUUUUGUCCCUCGGCCUCCAGCUGACUCUGACUCUGAGGAGCAUACGAUGGAUCCUGACAUUCCCUCCUCUUCCGAGCUGCCUCUAGCUCCCGAGCAGCCUCCUGCUCCUGAGCUAUCUGCUGUUCUUGAGCAGCCAUCUGCCCCUGAGCCACCUCCAGCUCCAGUUCAGCCCCCUGCUUCAGACGUUGUGCAGCAGUUGAUUGCUGAUGUUCACCGGAUUUCGGAGCGCCAGUAGCUGAUUCUUGAUCGGGUAGACACUUUUUCCCGUGAUUUCGGAGCGCCAGUAGCUGAUUCUUGAUCGGGUGGACACUUUUUCCCGUGACCACCAGCAGCUACGUUCUGACAACGCACUCUUCUCCGCUAUUUCGACUAUGAUCUGGGGAGCACAUCUUCUCCACCUCCAUAGUUUCUGAGUUUUAUUUUCGCACAUACAUUUCAUAUUUUGGUUGUUUGUGUGUUGCCAUUUAUAUUUUUAUAAUACAUUUCAUAUUUUGGUUGUUUGUGUGUUGCCAUUUAUAUUUUUAUAUACACUGCCACCUCUAUAUGCUCUUUAUGGAUUUUGAUUAUAUGUUUGUGUGAUGUUCUUGAUAUUGGAUGACUUGAUAUUGGUUGAUGAAAUUGUUGGUUUAUUGGUUAAUGGAGUUGUUGGUUUGUUUAUUCAUGGUGUUGUUGGUUUGUUGGAUGAUGGAGUUGUUGUUAAUAUAUUUUGGAAGUGUUUUAAUCUCAUUUUGUAUUAGUGGUUUUGCUCCAUUUUAAGGGGAAACUCUGCCAAAAUUUUCGCUAGCCAAAACCGGGUAACUUCUUUAACGGAUUUGCGGUUUUCCUUUCUCUCUUUUCUUUUUGAUGAUGAAGGGGGAGAUAAUUAUGGGGAGAUUUAAAAUGAAUUUAAAAAUAUUUUCUUGAGCAAAAAUCUUUUUAUUGGACAUUUUUUAAUUUGGCCAUACAUUUAGGGGGAGCAUAUAUUAAGGGGGAGCAAAAUAUUGAAUAAAGUUUGUCAUCAUCAAAAAGGAGGAGAUUGUUAACAUGAAUAUGUUAAUAAUAUUGAUUUUGAUGAUAACAAACUUUAAAUGGUUUUUGAUUAAAAUGUUGGAGCUAUUCCUUAAUAAACGAAAGCCUUAUAAUCAUUCCAAUCAUAUUCAUAAAAGAUGGAAUUUCAAAUUAGAAAAUGAUUCUUUGCAAAAUUUGGUUUAAAAUGUGAUUCUGGAAAUAAACGGUGAACCGUUUUCUUUCAAAUGGUUAACCGAUUAAAACCAGAGAGCUACAUAUUGCUUAAGCUCUAAUCGAUUAAGAAAAACGGAAAACACAAAAAACUGGGAAGGCUACUGGAAUUUAAUAGUGAACCGUUUAUUUAAACGGUUAACCGAUAACAUCCAGAAUAGAAGGUUGUACUCUUCUGGCACCGUUUAACAAAACCGGAUAAGGCUAAAUUGUUUUGCAGGUUACUGGAAACAAACGGCGAACCGUUUAUUACAAACGGUUAACCGAUACUAUCCAGAGAGGUCACUUCAUGCAAAUCCUUAACCGUUUAAUGUAAACGGAUAAUUGAUGUUCAUCUUGCAGGUCUCUGGAAUUUAAUGGUGAAAGGGUAAGCCUAAACGACAAACCGUUUAUUUGAAACUUAGCCCAACGGUAACUUUUGACCAGCCUAAACGGUUAAUCGUAAAUGGUUAACGGCGAACCGUUUUCUGGCAGACAUUUUGUAACGGCUAGUUUUUCAGCUCCAACUAUAAAUAAGCUCAUUCAAAUUCAAACAAAGCUGAUCACAACACGACUAUUGAGCUUAUACUCGAGAAUACAAUCUUCAUAGAGCUUUGAACACAUUCUUGCUUCAUCUAUUCACAUAUUGGACAUCAUUUUGUAAUCUUAAAUAUUGUGAGAGGCAAAACAAAUUUGUAAUCUUUUGUUUUUGAGUGAUUGUAAGUGUUGGGAUACACUUGGGUUAAGAGAUUGGGAUAAUCUCUUGUUGUAAAGGUUAUUGACACCUUGGAAGUCAAGUGUAAGCAUUUAAAGCCUUGGAGGCUUGCUUAGUGAAAUCCUCAAGCCCGGAAAGCUUGGAAGCGUGGACGUAGGCGAGGUUGGCCGAACCACGUAAAAAUCUCUGUGUUUGAAUCUCUCUUCCCUUAUCUUUUUAUAUUGUGAUCAACUUAUUUAUUAUUGCUUUGAAUUUGGUUUAUAUUUGCAUUAAGUUUUUCUUUAUAAAUUGAAUAAUUUUUAGAAUUCCAAUUCACCCCCCCUCUUGGGUUGCAAAACUAGAAUUUCAGACUUUACAUCCAUUUGAAAAAUCCUCCAUUUAUUCUGAGCAGCCAAAGAAAUAAUAAGUCUAAUAGUUUCAAGUCUGGCUACAGGAGCAAAUACCUCAUCGUAGUCUAUGCCAGCCUUUUGACUAUAGCCUUUUGCAACUAGCCUCGCCUUGUGCCUUUCAAUUUCUCUAUUCGCAUUUCUUUUUGUUUUGUACACCCAUUUGACACCAAUCGCCUUGUGACCUUUAGGAAGAGUAGUAAGCUCCCAAGUAUCAUUCUUCACAAUGACUUUGAUUUCCUCAUCCAUUGCAAUUCUCCACUUCUCAUCUAGUGCAGUUUCUUGGAAGUCGACUGGCUCACAAUCAACAAAGAGGCAAAAGAGAGUGAGAUUAUCAUGUCUCUCAGUUACCUCAUUGAGAUCUUGAAGACUCCUUGUACGUUCUUCAGUUCUUUCAUUUAAAAAAGAUGGUGGUGAAUCUCCACAUGUGUUUAAUGCUGGUGACAUAGGUGGAGUAGUUGGCUCUUGUUGUUCUUCUACUCAUUUUAUCUGUGUAUGAUAAUCUUCUUCAAUGGGAAAGAAGUUGAAGUCAUCCAUACCAGAGCCAAAAUCUCAUUCUCCUUUUUCAUCAAAAACUACAUCUCGACUGAUCAUGAUCUUCCUGUUGUUUGAAUUGUAAAGUUUGUAUCCUUUAGAGUUGUUGUCGUAGCCGAUGACGAUGAACUUCCCACUUUUUUCAUCCAGCUUGGCUCUACUCUCGUCCGGUACAUGUACAUGGGCAAUGCUUCCGAAAACUCUUAGAUGGGUGAUGCCGGGUUUUCUUCCACUCCAAGCUUCUUGUGGCAUCUUGCCCCACAUGCUUCUUGUUGGAGAUCGAUUGGAUAACUAGACUGCACAUGCAAUAGCUUCAGCCCAUAUUCUUUAGAUAGCCUCUUACUCUUGAGCAUGCUUCUUGCCAUAUUGAGGAUGGUUCUGUUUUUCCUUUCUGCAACACCAUUUUGUUGAGGGGAUCUUGGAACUGUCAAAGGGUGUCGAAUUCCAUUUGCUUCACAAAACUCUAAACAUUCUUUGGAAGUGAACUCUCCACCUCGAUUAGAUCUCAUGGCUUUAAUUAGGUAUCCACUUUCCUUUUCCAUUGCAGCUUUAAAUUUCUUGAAAGCUUCAAAGCCUUCCGAUUUCUACUUUAAAAAAUACACCCAAGUUUUUCUUGAAAAAUCAUCUAUGAAGAGAAGGAAAUAGUUACUUUUACCAAGGGAGUUUGGCUUGAAUGGACCGCACACAUCAGUAUGAAUGAGCUCGAGUGGCUUCUAAGCUCUUGAGUUUGACUCCUUUGGAAAGCUCUUUCUGUUUGGAAAGCUCUUUCUGAACUGCUUGCCAAGUAAACAUCCUUCACAAAGUUGAUCAAGGUGAUUGAUGUAUGUUAAGCCUUUCAUCAUGUUCUUCUUGAAUAGUAGAUCCAAUCCUCCAAAGUUGAGAUGCCCAUAUCGAAGAUGCCAAAUCCAGGAUGGAUCUUUGUGAAAGGCUUUGAGACAUUUUCUAACAUCAUUUUGAAUAUUUAAAGGAAACAUUCUAUUCUUCGACAUUUUCACCUUUGUAAUUAGAUUUCCUUUGUCAUCUCUUAGGAAAAGACUAUAAUCUUUUAAGUGAAUAUCAUAGCCUUUUUCUAAAAGUUGACCCAAACUAAGGAUGUUGCCUUUCAUAUUGGGCACAUAGUAAACAUUCGAAAUUAUUUGGUGACUACCAUCUUUUAUACGAAAAAGAAUGUUACCUCUACCCUUCACUGGUACUUUUGAAUCAUCUCCAAAAGCAACACUGCCAUUCACAGAUUCACUUAGUUGCACGAACAUGCUUUUGUUUCCACUCAUAUGAUUGCUAGCACCUAUGUCAAGAUACCAUGUAUUUUCUUGACCUCCACUUGUGUCAUUGCGUGCUAGUAAAAGGGUGCCAUUUUUACCAUUUUUCUCUUCAACAUAAUUCACUCUCUCAUCAACUCUGGUACUUGGAGCUCUACAUUCUGAAGCAUAAUGCCCAAACUUUUGACAAUUAUAGCAUUGUACUUGGAAUUUGUCACACCUCGAUCUUGGAUUACUUCUACCUCGUCCUCUGGUUGAGCUUUCUCUUUUGGCAUAAUUGGGGUUGUUGUUGUUAUUGAAAUUCCAACCUCGUCCAUGACCACGACUUCUACCUCGUCCUCGACCUCUACCUCGGACAUAGUGCCUUCUCUCAUUGUCGAAGCUAUCUUCUCUUUUCUUUGGAUUGACUUCUAUCUUGAGAAGUUGUUCUUCGAUUCCUUACUUCUUUUUUAGUUUUUCUUCAUAGGCUUCAACCUUCCUUGAAGUUGCUCGAUCAUCAUAUCCUUUAGAUCUCUUGUUUUCUCAAUUGUCACAACAAUAUGGUCAAACUUCGAGUCUACUGAUCGAAGUAUCUUUUCAAUGAUCCUUACCUCUUUUAACUACUUGUCAUUUCUUUUUAAUUCAUUAGAAACGGUCACAACCCGAGUGAAGUAGUCAGAAAUUGACUCCGACGCCUUCAUGUGUAAGGACUCAAAUUCUCCUCGUAAUGUUUGGAGAUGAACCUUCUUAACUUGCUCCGCUCAUUUGUAGGAGGUCUCUAGUUUCUCCCAUGCUUCUUUUGAGGAGGUUGUACUAGCAAUCUUUUCAAAAGAAUCUUCAUCUAAUGAUUGAAAGAUGAGAUACUUUGCUUUAUUCUCUUUUUUCUUCAAGUCUUUUAAAUUCUCCUUUUGUGCCGCAGUUAAAGUGGCUUCAUUUUCUGGCACAAUAAAGCCUUUCUCCACAACAUCCCAUACAUCAUGUGCACCCAAUAGAGCCUUCAUUUUAAUACUCCAAUUGUUAAACUUACUUCCUUUUAAUUGUGGAACUUGAAACGACAUCAUACCACCAUUUGCCAUAACUCACAAAUUGAGUGAGAUUUUUGAUAUUCUGAAUGCACGAAUGGAUCCAGCACGUCAAAAAACCUUGGGAAGGACCCGAGUCAACUUUCGAUCAAUGGUCAACAUCAGUAAACGGUCAAUGUCGGUCAACGAUCAACGUCGGCUUAGUAGUCUUGGUUCGGUCCAGCUUGGUUUGGAUGGAGUUGGCUCGGUUCGACUUGAUUCGGUUCAGCUCGGCUCGGCUUGGUUCGGUUCGGCUCAGCUCAGCUUGGUUCAACUCGGUGAGUCGACUCAGCUUCAAGACAGAAAAUUUCCGGUGGCGAGUGUGGGCGCAUCCAGUCUUGUAUUGGGAUGAUUUUUGCUGCGUCACGUUCCUCUCGUCGAGAUCUUCGAUUUGAUAUGAUAUAUGACAAUAUAUAGCAUCGAACACUAGCUCUGAUACCACUUUGUUGGAUAAUUAAUAAAUAAAACACACACAAAAAUACUAUUUUAUUUCUUCAACAACACUCCUCACCAAUUACAACUCUUAUUUUUCACUCUCUACACCUUAGAGAUUUUGUUACUUCACUUGAUGCUUAAACCAAAGGGGAGAGGGGGUAUUUAUACAUGAAACAAACUAAUCACAACCAUUCAUUUAUUCAACGAAUACACAAAUCCUCACCAUCCAUCAAAACCUACGGCUUACCUACUUCACCAACGACAUCUACCACACCCACUACAAGUAAUUCAAAUCUCACAAACUAUACCUACUCAUGGAACCUUCCAUGAGUUGGGCUUGAAUUUAUUUAUCUUGGAUAAAGUUUAUGAUCCAACAAUAAUUAACUGCUGUUGUAAAUAAUUAAAGAUGGUAUGUCUAUUAUAAACGUUGUUAUCAUAAAGAUAAAGAUAAUAACAUGGCAUAUAUUAAAAGCAUGCCGUAGAUAAACAUUAUUUUAUUGUUUAAUAACAACAUAUAGUUUUGGAAUGCUGUGAUAACACUUUUUGAAAGCAUAAUUUAGGUGCCAUUAAUAUUGAGUUUUAUAUGCCAUAUUUCAUAUGCCAUUAAAUCAAAAUCCUAAAAAUUAGGGAAUUAAAUAAUUUUUUGUGUUUACUCCCAAUUAGAUGAGAUCUCUCUCUCUUUGCAAGUUAAUCUCUAACGAUAGGAAAUUCCUUAUUUUUCUAUUUCACUCACAUAUAAAAAAUCUCAUCUUCCCUUUUCAAUUCUUAUGGUUCCCAUGUCAAAAUGAGCUCUUUCUCUCUACCUUGAUACGCUUGACGCUCUGUACUUCAAUCAACAACAUAUUUUUUUUAAUCAAUCAUCAAUUUGCUUAAACUUGUUUAUCAAUUACUUGAAACAUCAAUCGUCCAAAAUCCUCGAUAGGUAGUUAAUUUUUUUCUUAAUUUCAUUUGAUGAAGGUAAAUCAAUCAAUUUAACUUUUUAAUUUUUUUUAAACCCUGUAUUUUUAUUAUUUUACCAUUAAGAAUAUUAUGUAUAAUUUUUUUUAAGCACCUUGUUUUGCAAAUUUUUCUGUUUUCUAUUAUUAUAUACUACAUUUAUGGCUAAAGAACAAUUAACAAGAAGAUUAGUUGAGGGAUUUGUGUCGUCAAGUGUCCAUUGUGAAUUAAUUGAUGAAAUGAAAUCUUGAAAAAGGUAUCAUCUUACAAUAUGUACUUAUAGCAUUGGCACUAAUUUUUAUAAAAAUUUUAAGUUGAAGGUUAUAUUAUUAUCAUGUAUUAGUCUGAUUAUAUUUUUUGGUAUGUAAAGGUUUUAUUUAAUGUUAUUGCAGGUCUUUGGACAGAAAAAAAUUAAUCAUUUUCAGAGGAAAAGGAACUUCAAAUCAAGGAUGGUGAACUAUUGUUAAACAAUAAUAUGUUUUUCUAGCAUAGUGAACUUCAAGUCUUUGUAAAUAUUAUUGUAUCAAAUGUCAUAACUUUAUUAUUAUUUUUUCCCUAUGUUGACUUUAACAAGUUGAAAUAAGAGGUAUUGCGAAAUUGUCUAUUUAGAAUUCAUUGUACAAUUUUUCUUUUUUGUCAAACUAAUUGAUGAUGGAUGAGAUUAUGUGUCGUGUAAUUGUAUGUACUUUUUAAUUAUAUGUAUGUGAAGGUAAGCAAAAAAAAAAAAAAAUUAAUUGAGAGUAUAUCGCUUCAUAAAAAAAAUAAAAAAUCAGCUUCACACUACGGCCAUUUCCAAAGUAAUCAUAAAGUUUAGUAUAAUGGAAGGGUAUAAAUGUCGUUAAACUAAUUAAUAAUGACAUGUUUUUCUUGCCUUACAUCAUUUUUAACGACAACAUCAACGACACUGAAAUUAUGCCAUUGAAAGUACAUCACUUUCUAUGGGGAAAAAGGGCAGUGGGUCUCCUAACGUUUGGAGAAAAAGAUAUAAACCCAUUAACGUUUCAAAAAAGACAUAUAACCAUCUUUUUAUUAAUAAACUAAGAAAUAGAACUGCGCUUCACAUGACUUUGAACAAUUAUUAAUAAUAUUAAUUUACAUAAUUUUAUACUAGUUUUAAUAUUAUUUUUAAAAAUAUUAAUAUAAAUUAAUAGAAUAUUAAUAUUAGCCUCUCAGUAUGUUCCCUUCUUCGGCAGUGAAUCCGAGAGAGGUGAGCAUUGCAAUUUACAAAUUAAGGUGAGGCAGAGGAGAAGAGUGGUUAAAAAUGUUUAUAAAUUAUUGUUUAAUUUAUGAUCAAGAAGAUUUCAAUUAGAGAAGAUAGUAGGUCUUUUGAUGAACUGUUACAUAUUGAUUGUGUAAUAACAGACAAAUUAGUUAUGAGAAGUUGAAAAGCCAAAUCUGAAAGAAAAUUUCUCUAUUUAUUAGAUAAUAGAGAAUAUACAAAUAUGAGAAAUAGUGAUGUCACAUCACUUCUAGUAGUCCCAACUUUAUAUAAAUAUGUAGAUUCUGUUUGUUUUAAUAGUAAAUUUAUUUUUAAUUUAAAAUUAUUAUUAUGUCUCCAUAAUAACUAAAUUAAUAUAUUGGCUUAAGACAUGUCAUGUGUACAAUGAAAUCACAACUUUUUAUUUAAAACUUAAAAUUAAGAUAUAGUUACCUUUUACCCAAAUUAUUCAUUAUUUUUAGAGUGAAUUUUAAUUUUAUCCAUUACUUAUCAUUUCUUAUUGGGAAGGGUAUAUUGAUAAUUUAGAGUGGAUAAUUUGGGCAAAAGGUAAUUAUAUUUCAAUUUUAAUUUUUACAUAAAAAAGUUAAUCAUUUCAUUAUACACAUCAUCAACGACAUGUCUUAGGUCAAUAUAUUGAUUUAUUCAUUAUAGGGACAUAAAAUUAAUUUUAAAUUAAAACUAAAUUUAUAAAAUGGCCAAAAAACGGGUGGGCUAUAGCCCUGGUGGGGGGCGCGGGCAAAGUUCGUCCGCCGGACUUGGAAUGGCCCCAGACUUUGCGAGCGGCCUCCGUGUGCCAAAAAUAGGUCAAGGGCACAGCCGCGCCCAAAAAUUAGCGCCCGAAGGUCGGGGUGCCAAAACCCCCCAGCGGAAAAAUGGCCAAAAAACGGGUGGGCCAUAGCCUUGGUGGGGGGCGCAGGCGAAGUUCGUCCGCCGUACUCAGAAUGGCCCCUGACUUUGCGGGCGGCCUCCGUGUGCCAAAAAUAGGCCACAGGCACAGCCGCGCCCAAAAAUUAGCGUCCGAAGGUCGGGGUGCCAAAACCCCCCAGCGGAAAAAGGUCCAAAAAACGGGUGGGCUAUAGCCUUGGUGUGGGGCGCGGGCGAAGUUCGUCCGCCGGACUCGGAAUGACCCCAGACUUUGCGGGCGGCCUCCGUCUGCCAAAAAUAGGCCACGGGCACAGCCGUGCCCAAAAAUUAGCACCCGAAGGUCGGGGUGCCAAAACCCCCCAGCGGAAAAAUGGCCAAAAAACGGGUGGGCUAUAGCCUUGCUGGGAGGCGCAGGCGAAGUUCGUCCGCCGGACUCGGAAUGGCCCCAGACUUUGCGGGCAGCCUCCAUGUGCCCAAAAUAGGCCACGGGCACAGCCACGCCCAAAAAUUAGCGCCCGAAGGUCGGGGUGCCAAAAACCCCCAGCGGAAAAAUGGCCAAAAAACGGGUGGGCUAUAGCCUUGGUGAGGGGCGUGGGCGAAGUUCGUCCGCCGGACUCGGAAUGGCCCCAGACUUUGCGGGCGGCCUCCGUGUGCCAAAAAUAGGCCAGGAGCACAGCCGCGCCCAAAAAUUAGCGCCCGAAGGUCGGGGUGCCAAAACCCCCCAGCGGAAAAAUGGCCAAAAAACGAGUGGGCUAUAGCCUUGGUGGGGGGCGCGGGCGAAGUUCGUCCGCCGGACUCGGAAUGGCCCCAGACUUUGCGGGCGGCCUCCGUGUGCCAAAAAUAGGCCACGGGCACAGCCGUUCCCAAAAGUCGGGGUGCCAAAACCCCCCAGCGGAAAAAUGGCCAAAAAACAGGUGGACUAUAGCCUUGGUGGGGGGCGUGGGCGAAGUUCGUCCGCCGGGCUCGGAAUGGCCUGAAUUUACAAAAAAAAAUGAGGUUAUAUGUCUUUUUUGAAACAUUUAAAGACUUUAUGUCCCUUUUUCCAAACGUUAGGGGGUUCACAAUCCUUUUUUUCCUUUUUAUGGCUCAUGAAUCAAUGACAUGAUAGUUUAUUCCAUCUUAAUCAUAAAACGGCAUUUUUUAGAGGCCGUUAAAAGUCUCUUAUGUUGUAGUGUAAUGAAUUAAAUAAUCAUUUAAAUAUAACCCAAACAAAACAAAGAGUGCUUUCUCAGAAAAUUGAAUUGUAAUUUUGUCCACCAUAAGACAAUAUACAGGAUAGCUCAUAUGGUUGGGCUUUGACGGAGAAAGUAAUGAACAAAAUGGAAUAGGAUUUUAAAAUACCAGAAAAUACAUUGAAAAUUUUGAAGUUGGGAUAUGAUGAGGUGAAUGAUAUGAAAUAUUUAUAUAUGAACAAUUUUGUAUAUUUUAAUAUUUAUGUCCUCAUGAGUCUUAUUGAGUAAUUUUUAAAUAGUUUUAUUUAACUAAUAAUUGAUUGAUAUGGGUUAAAAAAUUGAUAUGCACAUUUUGCCCACCCUUCUAUUUUUUUAAAAGUAACUAAUACACAAAUAAAUUUGGAUUAAAAAAAAUUAAUGAUCGAGAUAUGAUAGAUUAUGAUGAUAUGAUACAUUAAUUUCAACCCAUUGAUGUUGUGACAUUUAUUUUUCUUUAUCCUCUCCCCUUUUCGUCAGCAUUCUUCAUUUUCUUCAUUUCCUUCAUUGUUUUCUCUCUCUAUUUACCAAGAAUCUACACUCCCUUUCAUAGUUAUUUUUUUCUAUUUCUCCUUCCACUCAAAUUUUUUCAGUUUUUCUUAUCAUCAACUAUUGAAAAGAUUUUCACUUGCGCUAUUGCGCAAAGUAAGUUAAGACCCAGUGAAGGGCCCGGCAGGGGGAGGGGGGGGGGGGGGGGGGCCGGGAAUAAAAUAAAACAUCCAAUUGAUUGUUGAAAUAUGUAACUUUCAUUUUUGAAUCAACCACGAAUUACAAAAUCAGUAAUAUUUUUAUUAUUGUUUAGUAGAAUUUUGCGUUACACUCCAAAUAGUCUUGUUGUGCAAAUUUCUCUCUAUAUCCCCAACUAAAGAAUUAUUUUUCGUCGUUUCUUCAACAUUUCUUCUACAAUUUGUCCAUCAAAGACUAAUUAAGUCAAGUUCAUGCUUUUGAGUUCCAUGGUCAAAACAAUUAAGCUUGAAAUUAAACGAUUUGAUUAAUUUUCCUCAUCGACAUGUGCGACUCAAAACCAAAAGAAAUUUAUUUUCAAUUGAAAUCAGAUGCUUAGUUUUCUUUGCCUGCAUCUACACGGCAAAGGAAAAGAUGUUAAUGGACAUGAUGAGAUAUAGAGGAGACAAAGAAUGAGACGGGAACUAGAGAAGUCGUUGGACCCAAAACGAGGAAAAAAGGAAAAAAAAGAAAAAAAUAAAUGAAAUAGAUUUCAAUACACAUAUUUUUCAUUUUAGUAGUGCAUGUUUUUAUUUACUUUUUUUAAUAAUUUAGUGAUAUUCACAGUUUGAGAAAAUGAGAAUCUACUCACUAGAGAUCUAUUUUUAUUACAAUUUAUUUAAAUACAAAUUAAAAUAAUAUAAUUGUCAAUAUAUAAAUACAAAUUUAUACAGUGAAUUCUCUUCUAAUGAGGAAGUCAUUCUCUUAUUGAAAUGAAGACCAAACUGAAAUACAGAAUCAUUUGAAAAAAAUAGUAUUGAAAUAUAAUUUGUUUUAUGUAAGUAAACUAUAAAGUUCUUUGAUAGUAGUAAGUGUGAUUUAUUCUAAAAUUUUGAUGAUAAAUGUUUAUCAUAAUUUAAGAAUUUUGUAAAACAAAAACAUUAAUCUUGUGUAUCGUAGGAAAAAAAAUAUGUCGGUAAGGGUUGUUUUGAACGUUGCAAUUAAAUAAUUUAUUGAGCAUUUAGCAUUAAGUGUUGAAUGAAACUUUUUUGCCUAAUUUUAUUCAAACAUUAAUAUUUGAUAAAUUCUUAAUGUUUAAGUUAAAACCAACGCGCAUGAAGUAGCUAAAUUACUGAAAUUAAAAUAAGUUUAAAGUAUUAGAUAAGUAAAAACAAACAGACAAACAAACAAACGGCCAUUUCAAUUCAUGUAAAAUUUAUUUCCGUAAAACACAAAAUUUUAACCUUAUUGUAGGACAAACCUAUAUUACUCCUGUUGUAUCAAUGAAAUUAUAAAGAUAAAAAUGUCAAAAUUAUUUAAUUUAUUUAAAACUUGAGAUAAUGAAUACAAGCAUGGCUCUAAAUUCAAAUCUCAGCUGAUGUAAAAUUAAUGAUUAUUAUCUUUCUAUUACUCCAACUAUGUCAAGGUAAGGGGCGGAGCCCCAUUCAGACCAAAAGGUGCCAACGCACCUGAAUAAUUUUGAAAACUUAAUCCCAAAUAAAAUAUGAUAAUAUCAAGAGUUUUUGGUGUAAAUCUUCAUUUUGGUCCUUGCAAGACUGCACAUUCUCUCAUAAAUUUUAAACUUUAAAGAAAAAUGUUGUUUAAUUUAUAUGAUCCGACAAACAUUAAUUCUGAUAAUAACUUGUACCUUUACAAUUAUUGAUAUAUUUUUUAACAAAUUCUUUUAUCUUUCCUUUGCCAAAAAAAGUGAGCUACUUUUUUUUUUUGUUGAUAUUUUAUAGACUUCUUCUUUUAUUUACAUUAGUAUUAUCAUUUUUUUUAAUAGGAAAGAAACUUUUAUACUAUGAAAAUAAAACUUUUAAGUGUUACAGCUUAUUCAAUUGAAAAAAUCAAGUAUGAAAAAUGUAUGUAUUUCCCUACGUUACUGUUAAUUGACUCGUAAAAUUACGAUUUUGCUAAUUCACUCGUAAAAUUGCCAUUUUGACCUUAUUUAAUUUUUCCACACCCGUCGGACGUAUCUUGGACGAGGAGUAAAUUACAUGUAGAUAAGGUGGGAAGUAGGAGUAGGGAUGACAAUUUAACCCGGAUCCGGACCGGACCCGGAUGAACCCGGAUAAUCCGGUCCGGGUUCAAUCCGUACCGGAUUUUUAUCCAGAUGUAAAAUUACUAACCCAGAUAUUUUCGGUUCCGGGUCCGGUUUUGACUGAACCCGUAAAUCCGAAACCCAAACCCGGAUAUAUUAUUUUAUACUAUUUCUUUAAUUAUGUUUAAUAUAAAUAGAAACAUUAAAAGAAACCCUAGUUUCAUCACUUUCACAGCUGCUGCUGCUGAAAACCGAAGCCAAAAGCGCCAAACAUUUCCUUUCUCUUCAGCUCGUGCUCGUCUCCUCAUCAUCGUGCUUCGCCUUCGCGGAUCUAUUCUUCAUCAUCAUCAUCACCAUGAAACGCCACCGUCGUCAUCAUCAGCGGCAUCAUCAAACGCCACCACCAUCAUCAUCAAACGUUGUGUUCAUCAUCAUCAGCCGUCGUUGCGACCAGCACUAGCUCCGAUACAGUCAGAAGUUUACGAUUAGAAACCAGCGGCCUUUGUCGGACGCCGAUUCUUGAAGUUGAAGUUCAUGAAUCGUGAGUUUCGGCAUUGUUAUGUGAUUUAUGCUUCGAAAUGUUUUUGAUUCUUGCUGAUAAUAGAUUCGAAAUAAUAUCUUCAACAUUUGAACUUUGAAUUGUAAACUUAUGUUAUAGAUUUAUAUUUGUGGAUGUUUUAUUGUUCAGAACCAUUAAAAUUUAGGGCAGGUAUUUGUUUUGAAUGUUCUGGAAUCUGGAUAUGCUGUUUUAAUUUUUUAAUUUUUUUAUUUACUGAUCCGGGUUCAAAACCCGUAAUUCAGAAACCCGGAUUUUACCGGGUUGAACCCGGACCGGACCCGGAUACAAAAAAUCCGGGUUUAUAUCCGGAUCCGGAUUACAAAAAUAAUAUCCGGGUCCGGAACCGGGAAGGCCGGACCCGGACCCGGACCCGAAUUUUGCCAUCCCUAAGUAGGAACAACUCCAGCUCAACUCCAAUCCAAAUCCAUUUCAUUUGACCUUGAAAUGGCAGUGAAAGCAACUUCCAGUAUCCAGCUACUAUAAAAGAAAGUGAAGGGAGGGAUGGUGUUGAGUUUCAAAUAAAGAGAAAUCAAAAUAUUAGCUUCAAUUCAAAGAUGGAUUUGGAUAUUUGCUGCGUACUAUGGCUUGUAUUCACAUUGUUUUGCGUGAUGGCUUUAAGUUUCAAUUCCGGUGGACGACGCAAGCAUCUUCCACCGGGACCAAGGCCUUAUCCGGUGAUCGGAAACCUGCUGGAACUGGGUGGUAAACCUCACAAGUCACUGGCCAAGCUUGCCAAGACUCAUGGCCCUAUAAUGAGUCUAAGACUUGGCCUGGUGACCACAGUAGUGGUUUCUUCUCCAAGCACGGCCAAAGCUAUCCUCAAAGAACAUGACUCAUUAUCCUGUGAUCGAAAGGUCCCUGAAUCAAUCUUGUCCCAGCCAUACCGGCACCAUGAAUUCAGUUUGGUCUGGCUGCCAAUCUCAACACUGUGGAGAAGUUAUCGAAAAAUGUGCAACAUGCAUAUUUUCACUAGUCAGAAACUCGAUGCCAGUCAAGACCUUCGGCGCAAGAAAAUGAAAGACCUUCUUGCCUAUGUUGAAGAAAAUUGCCUUGCGGGUAAGGCAAUAGAUUUUGGCCAAGCUGCUUUCAAUACGUCAAUUAAUUUGUUAUCCAACACAAUAUUUUCUAUUGAUUUGGUUCAUCCCAAUGAGAGGAAGUUUAAGGAUACAGUUUGGGGUAUGAUGGAAGAAGCAGGAAAGCCUAACUUGUCCGACCAUUUUCCUCUCCUCAAAAAGCUUGAUCUGCAGGGUAUAAGACGCCGCAACACACUUUAUGCUGGCAAGAUGUUCGAGGUGUUGGAUCGCUUGAUUGAUCAACGAUUGAAGAAAAGACAAGAACAUGGUUGCAGUAUUAGCACCGAAUCUAAAGAUAUGUUAGACACUGUCCUCGAUAUUAUCCAAGACAAGAGUGAAAUGAUUGACACAAAACAUAUCAAGCACUUGUUUGCGGUAAUGUUUCUUUUUCUUUUUCUUAAUUUCUCGUGAAAAUGGCAAGUGAAUUAACAGAGUUCAUAUACCGGAUUUGCUUAUUGCGGGGAAUGACACAGCUUCAAUUACAAUGGAAUGGGCAAUGGCAGAAUUACUCCACAACCCUGAGGCUCUAUCGAAAGUAAAAUUGGAGUUAGAACAAACCGUUGGUAAAGGCAACCCAAUUGAGGAAUCUGACAUCACUCGUUUACCUUAUCUACAAGCAGUUAUUAAAGAAACUUUUAGGUUGCAUCCGACAGUUCCCUUACUAGUCCCUCGUAAAGUCUCAGAAGACAUAGAAAUUGAAGGCUUCAUAGUGCCAAAAGGCGCACAAGUAUUUGUCAAUGUAUGGGCUAUUGGCAGAGAUGAAAGCAUAUGGGACAACCCUCAUUCUUUUAUGCCCGAGAGGUUCUUGGGGUCAGAUGUUGAUUUUAAAGGCCAGAAUUUUGAGCUAAUCCCCUUCGGAGCUGGGCGGCGAAUUUGUCCUGGUUUGCCAUUAGCAAUCAGAAUGUUAUAUCUAAUGUUGGGUUCACUUAUUAAUUCUUUUGAUUGGAAGCUUGAAGAUGAGAACACGGACAUGGAGGAAAAAUUUGGCCUCACCAUAAAGAAGGCUCAACCCCUUCGUACUAUCCCUAUUGCCAUUUAGUCCCAUUCUAUAGUUAGCUUUUUGUUCUGGUGGAGUGAAUUUAGUUUUAGCAAAUAAAGCACUAUGUUGUUGCUAUGUAUUCAUCGUUGUUGUUUAUCUAUUUUUCUUAUUAUUUAUUGGCAACUAUCUGAUCGAUCACCUAAAUCCGCUUUUUUGAGUGAAUCAUUAUUGUAAGCAAAUACGAUGUAGAACUUUGAAUGACAAAGGAGACAUGUUUUUGGCCACGAUUUUUUUAGCCACGUAAGCCAAGAGAGAUUGUUAUGAAAAAUGUUCAGUUUACUUAAACAAAGUUGGACAGCCAACGGGAAAAUUUCAUGACCAAUGAUUUCUUUAGGCCAAAGCUUGUUUUUCUUUAGCAGAUGCUUGUUUUAGCCACAAAAACUGUUGGUGGUAUGUACUUGUGAGGAAUGGCAAAUGUAAAGAAUUACAAUAAUAAUGGUGGAACUUUAUUGUGUAAAGUAAUGUAUUUAUAACUUUGUAUGUGGAAGAAAAUAAUAGUAAUAGGUAAACUGCAGAAAAUAAUGUGUACUUCAAGGGACGUUACAAAUGUCGCUUUCCUUAAGACGUUAUUUGCCCCCACCAAUUGAGUGAUGCACAUGGGUUAAACAAAUACACCUCUAGGAUACAGUGAAGCACUUGUUUGUUUGUUUGUAUUGUGCAUCGGCGAAAACAAACCAGAAUACUCUUAAAUGUUGCAAGCCUGCCAAGAACAAUAUAUUGUUCCUACAGAAAACAAAAUAUUGGAUUUUUUAAUGCACAAAAAAAUGAGUGUUUUGUGAUGAAACUCGUUUUUGGAAAGAGUGUUGAGAAAAAAGUGGUGUGGGAUCAUUAUUUUCAUCAUUAAAUGUCUUAAACAUGACCUCUAUUUAUAGAUAAACUUGUGCCCCUUCGUUUAGGUUGUCAUCUUUCAUGAUACCCCUUCAUUCAUGGCCAUUGGAUCAAGAUUUAAUUUUAAUCAAUGAUCCAAAUUGAACCAUAACCAUUUCAAAUGAAAUAUCACCAUGAAAUGAUGCAUCUCCAAGUGACAUGUCACCAUGAAAACUUAUAUCCUUAAGUGAAAAGAUACUUUUUCUAUAAGGCACAAUUAAUUGGAUAUGUCUUUAUAAUAAGACACCAUUUAUUUAGACAUGUUUUUAGAAUAAGAUACCAUUUAUUUUGAAAAUUUUCCAAUAAUCCCCCACCAUUUUCAAAAUAAAUGAAUUUUGAAAAAUUAUCUUGCACAAGCUUGGAAAACUUAUGUAUAGAUGAAUGUGUCUUUUGGACUUGAAACUUCACUUAGUGACAACACACCAAGUUAAUCAAGGUGGCAUGGUAGACAAGCUUUGAACCAACGACCUUAUUUGACUAACCAGAUAUAUCUCACACAUAAGUUUUCAAAUUCUCAAGUAUUGUUUAGCCGACAUGUGGAUUGGCCUUGUGUUUAUAUCCUGUUUUCAUGAGCGCUUUAGUAACUGGCCAAGUUACAUAGGAAGCGGUACCACCUCCUACACUCACAUAGGUAGACUUAUCUAAAAUAUCCAUGUAACUAAAACAUUUAUUAGUCUAUUAAAAGCUAAGUAGCUUAACAUUUCCCAUAUGUUAGAGGUAUCAAGCACUGACUUUUGGGACGCGUCUUAAAAUAUUAUAGUGCUUGUUAUCACAACAUAUGAUGUACUUUGCUCAUUGAACCCAAGAUAUUGAUGCUUCAAGUGUUGGGUUGAGUUUCCAUCAUUGGUGAUAAGAUGAUGCUGGCUUCAGUCCCAUUCCUUUAGAAGUUUUCAAUACAAUAUCCCAUGCAAGAUCUUUAGUUAAGGGGUCUGCCAAAUUUUGGUAUUAUUUCACAAAGUCAAUUGUGAUUACUCAUUUGUAAGUAAUUGUCUCACAUAACUAUGUCUUAGACCAAUGUGCCUAAACUUUCCAUUAUGGAUUUGACUGUAUGCCCUUGACAAAGUUGCCUCUAUCACAGUGAAUGGAUACAUGAGGCAUUGGUUUAGGCCAAAUAGGAAUUUCUAUAAGCAAAUUCCUUAACCAUUCUGCUUCCUUGCAACAAGAAGCCAAAGCUAUAAAUUCUGCAGCCAUGGUGGAGUCUGCUAUACAAGUUUGCUUCUUUGAGCCCCAUGAAAUAACUCCUCCACCAAGAUUAAAAAUCCAACCGCUUGUGGAUGUUGAUCAUCUCGAUCAGUAAUCCAACUACCAUCUGAUAAGCAUAUAAUAAAUACAUAUUUUACCCUUAAUUAUAUAAUUGUUAAUUAUUUAUAUUUGUUAUCUUUAAUUAAUUAAAUUAUUUUGUUGAAUAGGGAAUUAAUUGGAGAUUAUAGAUAAAAAAAAAAAGAAAUAAAGGAGCUCAAUUUCGGAAGCAUCAAUUAAUUGAUUUUGGGAGCAGUUAUGCAUAUAUGUAUGUUAAUUCAAGCCGAGGAAACCGAAUUCAACAAAUUCUUUCAUCAUGCACAUGCGGACAAAGAAGAGAAAGUGAUGUUAGCUUUAAAAGUGGCUAGCACAUGAGGAUUAAAUGAAGCUUAAUUGGGCUUUGCAUAAGUGGGCCGAUCGUUAACUUGUGUGAGGCAGUUUAUUUGCAAUCAAAAUUUGAAAGGAUUCAACUAACUAUAAAAGUCGAACUUUGGCUUUUGAAAGGAACAGCUGCCGGAGGAAGCAAAUGGAGACGCAAGGCAGAGAGAAGAAAACCGGUAGUAGCAGUUCAAUUUUCAUGGCUGAUUUUAUUUUAUUUGUUUCUCCCAAUUCAAGUAUAUCUAGCUAAUUUUCUUAUACUGAGGUAAAUGAUGAAACCCUAUUCAAUGAAAUAAUUAUCUUUUUAUUUAAUUAAUUCCCUGUAUGUGUGCUUUAAUAUUUAUGGUUCUUGAUUAAUAUUUGAUUAAAUCUAAGUUUGGAUCUAUGAAGUCUAUACAUGAUUAUAUUUGAUCCUGUGUCUUUCAUUAAACUGUUUACACAUAAUGCUUAGGGAAACUUUGACUCUUUGUUAUUCAAUAUGUUUACAUGGGAUGCUUAGAUAUCAUACUAUUAAGAAGAAAAAGCAAGAUUAAUUUUAUUUGAGUUUAAUUGUUAUAUUCAUGAGAUGACAUAGAUUGAUUUUGAGUUGUCACUCUAAAAUUUGGGAUUAAUUGAUAAUUAGGUAAUUACUAAUUGAAUAGUGGUGGAUUCUGAAACCUUGGUAACUUUUAUCUUACUGAAUUCUCAUUUGCUUUAAUUGUUCUCUUAGUUUAAUUAGUUUUAUUUCUCUUGAAAACUCGAUUUGCUCAACUAGGUUAGAAUUAAUAUUAAUUUUAGAUUUAAAUUAGACUUUUUAAUUUAUAACAAUCUCUGUGGGUUCGACCUUAUUAUCACUAUUCUAUUUUUAGAUUCGUACUCUUGCAAGUAUAUUAAAUUUUUUCAUAACAACAUCCCAAAAUCCUUCCAAAAUCGAAGGAUAUCCAGUGUAAUAUAUACCAUAAUCCAUUGUAUGUUUUAAAUAGUUUAGAAUUCUAUGGCUUGGAUUACUAGUAUAUCUACUCAGCUUUCCCACAACGAAAGCAAUGCUAGGUCUAGUGCAAGUCAUCGCAUACAUAAGACACCCAAUAACACAUGCAUAUUCUAAUUAGGAUACUGCUCUUCCAGUGUUAGGGUACAAUCUUAUGUUUGAAUCAAAAGAUGUUGACACAUGCUUACAAUUAUAAUAAUUAAAUUUCUUUAAAAUUUUCUUAAUAUAAUAUGAUUAGGUCAAUACUAGGCCAUGCUCAUUUUGUUAUAAUUUUAAUCCCCAAAAUCACAUCCGCUAGCCCCAUGUCUUCCAUAUCAAAAUUAAAUGACAAUAAUGAUUUAGUGAGUUUAAUGCUCUCACUAUCAAUAACAAAAAUUAACAUGUCAUCUACAUAUAAGUAAAUAAUCACACAUUUGUUUCCAUUGAAUAUGCUAUAUACACAUUUAUUAGAUUCAAGAAUAUUAAAUCCAUUUGAAACAAUCACUUUGUCAAACUUUUCAUGCCGUUGCUUUGGAGCCUGUUUAAGACCAUAUAAUGACUUGACUAGUUUACAAACUUUAUGUUCUUGUCCUGACAUAACAAACCCUUCUGGUUGUUUCAUGUGAAUUUCUUCAUCUAAUUCUCCAUUUAAGAAAGUUGGUUUUACAUCAAUUUGAUGGAUUUUCAAAAUGAUAAAGUGAAGCCAAAGCAAUCAAGACUCGAAUAGUAGCAAUUCUUGCAACAGGUGCAUAAGUAUCGAAAUAAUCAAGGUCUUCUUUUUGUGUAAAGCCUUUCGCUACUAGUCUUGCUUUAAAUCUUUCAAUGUUCCAUCAACUUUCUUCUUCAUUUUGAAAAUCCAUUUACAACCUAUAUGAUUAGAGCUAGGUGGUAAAUCAACUAGUUUCCAAGUCUUAUUACCCAUAAUAGAGUCAAUUUCAUCAUUAAUGACCUCUUUCCAGAAGGCAACAUCUUGAGACUCCAUUGCCUCUUCAUAGGUGAAGGGAACAAAAUCUAUAGUAGGUGUGAUCAUAUUUUGUUUAAAUUAUAUUUAAGUGAGAGAAUUGAACCUCACAGUGCAAGUAUGUCGUUUCUUCCAUCUGACUUCAAGGAGUCUUUCUCAGCCUCUUUUUUUAGCUUUUCCUAUCAUCAUCAGAAAUAAAUUAGAAAUAGCAUACAGUUGUAAUAUACUAAGGCUAAACUAAUUAAAGAAUAUUUAACUUUAUUGAAGCUCCUCACCAUUUUCAUAACAAUCUUCUCAGUUUUAGGGUAAAUCAAUCAAAAUAUAAAAAGAUAAGGGAAAAGAGAUUCAAACACGGAGAUUUUUACAUAGUUCGUCCAACCUCGCCUACGUCCACGCCUCCAAGCACACCAGGCUUGAGGAUUCCACUAGUUAAGCCUUCAAGGCUUCAAGAACACUUAUAAUUGACUUAUAAGGUGUCAAUCAACCUUUACAUGAAGAGAUUAUCCCCAAUCUCUUAACCCAAGUGUAUCCCAACACUUACAAUCACUCAAACAAAUAUUACAAAUUUAGUUUUCUCUCACACAAAGUAUAUGAUUACAAAUCAAUGCCCAAAUGUAAGAAUAAGUGGAACAUGAAUGUGUUUUUGACUCAAUGAAGAUUGUAUUCUUGAUUAUAAGCUCAAUGAUAACGUUGUGAUCAACCCUUGUUUGAAUUUGAAUGAGCCUAUUUAUAGUUGGAGUUGAAAUAUAGCCGUUGUUGACUUUCUGCGCAAAAUCGAAUCGCCGUUAACCAUUAACGGUUAACCGUUUUUACUUGUCCAAGCGACCGUUGAGCUGAAAUUUAAAUAAACAGUUGACCAUUUGCCAUUAUCGGUUUGCCGUUAAUUUCUAGAGACCUGCAAAACAAAUUUAUGCUAUUCGUUCUUACUAAAUGGUUAAAGGUUAGCAUGGAAUGACAUUCUGAAAAUUAUCGGUUAGCUGUUUGACGUUAAUGGUUCGCCGGUUAUUUCCAGCAACACGCAAAAUAGAAUAGGCUUAUCCGUUUGUCUUCAACGGUUCAAGGUUAGCACCUAUUUCCAUUUUGGAAAUUAUCGGUUCACUGUUUGAUAUAAACGGUUAGCCGUUUAAUUCCAAUAACCUUUCCUGCACACUUGUGUUGCCCAUUUUUACUAAUCAGUUCAAGUUUAAGAAAAUACUCAUCUCUAAAAUUUAUCGGUUAGCCGGUUCAUUUAGGGUGAUGCCUUUGAUGCAUUUAGGGUUUUCUGUAAAAAGAUUCAAAAUGAAAAGGGAAUGACUUUUUUGAAAAUCAUGCAUUUAAGAAUUUUGGUAAUAUUUUAGCAUUAAGCGUCAAUUUUCAUCACCUAGGACUCCACAACAAAAUGGAGUUGUUGAGAGAAAGAAUAUGUCUAUUCAAGAAAUGGCUAGGAUUAUGUUGAAUGAAAUGCUUUGCCUAAGUAUUUUUGGGCCGAAGUCGUCAACACCACUUGUUAUGUUUUAAAUCGUGUGUUGAUUAAGCUUUAUCUCAAUAAGACUCCCUAUGAGUUUUGGAAAGAUAGAAAACCCAACAUUGGAUAUUUUAAAGUUUUUGGAUGAAAAUAUUUUAUUUUGAACACAAAAUAUAAUCUUGGUAAAAUUUGAUCCAAAAUCUGAUGUUGGCAUCUUUCUUGGGUAUUCAAACUCAAGCAAAGCUUAUAGAGUUUAUAACAAAAUAACUUUAGUUGUGGAAGAAUCUAUGCAUGUUACGUUUGAUGAAUCUAACUCCUCUUUUGUGAAGAAAGUUGUUGUUGAUGAUGAUGCAGAUGAAGAAUGACAAGAAGAUUCAUCAAAUGAUAACCAAAAUGAUACACCACCUGGAAAUCAAGAGGAGCAACAUGAAGAAACAAAUGUGGAGCCAAAUAAAGAUACUUCUCAAGCACUCCCCAAGGAGUGGAGGUAUGUUUCUUCUCACCCUAAAGAUUUAAUCUUAGGAGAUCCUUCGCGAGGUGUAAUCACUACAUCAUCACUUAGGAAUACAUGUGAGCAUGCUGCAUUCAUAUCUCAAAUUGAACUGAAAGCCUUUGCUGAUGUUGAAAACGAUGAAUCUUAGAUCAUGGCAAUGUAAGAGGAGUUAAAUCAAUUUGAGAGAAAUAAUGUGCAGGAAUUAGUUCCCCAAUCGGAACAUCAAUCUGUUAUAGGUACUAAAUGGGUAUUUAGAAAUAAAAUGGAUGAAUCCGGUGUGAUUAUGAGAAAUAAAGUUAGAUUAGUGGCUCAAGGAUACAACCAAGAAGAAGGAAUUGAUUUUGAUGAAACAUUUGCACCUGUAGCUAGAUUAGAAUCCAUGAUGUUGUUAGCAUUUUCAUGUUAUAAAGAUUUUUAUUGUAUUUCAAAUGGAUGUCAAAAAUACUUUCUUAAAUGAUUAUAUUAUGGAGGAAGUUUAUGUAAAACAACCCCCUGGUUUUGAAAAUGAAAAAUUUAUGUUUAUAAGUUUUCAAAAGCAUUGUAUAGAUUGAAGCAAACACCUAGAGCAUGGUAUGAUAGGCUUAAAAAUUUCUUGUUGGAUAAUGGUUUUUCAAUGGGAAAUUCAUAUACUACUCUCUUUGUUAAGCACAAGAACCAAGAUAUACUUGCUGUUCAAAUUUAUGUUGAUGGUAUUAUCUUUAGUUCUACUAAUGAGUCUAUGUGCAAGGAGUUUUCAUUUUUGUAUGAGUAAGGAAUUUGAAGUGAGCAUGAUGGGAGAAUUAAAGUAUUUCCUUGGACUUCAAAUCAAACAAAACAAUGAGGGAAUCUUUAUCAACCAAGCUAAAUAUGUCAAAGAUCUACUCACGAAAUUUGGCAUUGAUGACACAAAGACCAAGAGCACUCUAAUGAGCACAAUAAUUAAGCUUAACAAAGAUGAGAAAGGUAAAGAAGUUGACAUCAAAAUAUAUCGAGGUAUGAUCAGAUCUUUACUUUAUUUAACUGCAAGUAGACCCGAUAUCAUGUUUAGUGUAUAUUUGUGUGCAAGAUUUCAAUCAUGUCCCAAAGAAUCUCAUUUGCUUGCUAUCAAAGAAUUUUUCGUUAUUUGAGUGGAACCAUAGAUCUUGGUCUUUAGUAUCCUAGAGGAACUUAUAUAGAUUUAACUUGUUAUUCGGAUGCCAAUUUUGCCGGUCACAAGGUCAAUAAGAAGAGUACUAGUGGAACUUGUCAUUUCCAAGGUCAUCCACUUGUUUCAUAGUUUAGUAAGAAAUAAAAUUUGGUUGCACUCUCAACCAUCGAGGCAGAAUAUAUUGCCGUAGGUAGUUGUUGUGCAUAAGCUCUUUGGAUGAAACAAAUACUUAGAGAUUAUGGCAUUAAUCUUGAACAAAUUCCUAUCAUGUGUGAUACUACUAGUGCUAUAAACCUAUCAAAGAAUCUCAUUCAGUGCUCUAGAACAAAGCAUAUAGAGAUUAGACAUCACUUCUUAAAAGAUUAUGUUUAAAAGGGAGAUAUUGCAUUAGAAUUUAUCUCUACGGAAAAAUAACUUACCGAUAUUUAUACAAAACCCCUUUGUGAAGAACAAUUUUAAAAAAUUCAGCAUGAAUUUGGGAUGAUGAAAUUUUUCGCAUUAACAUCUCUAAUUAUGUUAUGGAGGCUAUUAAAAUUGAUUGAUUGAUGAUUGUUGAUGACUUUGUAUUGCCUAUGCAUGAUAAAUGAGUGAUAUGCUUGAAUUAUUAAUCUUUGAAUGCUUACAUGUUUUAUGACUGUGUGAUGUAUAUGCAUGAUAAAUGUAUUAUAUAUUUGAAUUUAUAAUCGUUGAAUGUUUAUUAUCAUGAUUCAUGCAUUAAAAUGGCUUUUCAAAGUGUUCGGGAUCAUAAAAUGGUCUUGGAAUCGAUCAAAAUUAAAUUUUCACAUUGACGGUCCCUUUCUCAUAUCUAAAUCAAUUUCUCUUUGUAAAUAUAUAUUCUUGGUCUGGUUUCGAUAUUCGUUAGGUGAAUAUGUGGAUUCAAACAUGAUUCUGGGACUGUACAAUUAAAUGGGUUUUUGGAAUUAAGUUUUUAGUGAUUAAAAUCUAAACAUUGUUGAGUUUUGAGCUUUCGCGGUUGAUUUGAGAAGUGGGAUUUUGCUUCUGUUGAGUUCUUAAUGCAUAUUGAGCACAUAGUUCUAAUUUGAGUAAUAGAAAUUGUUGUAUUAUAAUUUUUGGUAGAAGUUACAGCAAUGAAAGUUUAAUUGAGGAGUCAGGUAUUGUAAGUUCUUUUGGGAUUUGGUUUGCUUUUUGAUUCUGUCCGUUACUUCCUUUCUUGUUAUAGGUUGGAUUAAUGGAGAGCUUUUGCUUAUGAGAAUUGUGUUUGUAAGGUUCACGAGAAUUGUUUAUGUGAUGAUAACUGUGUGAUUGAUAAGAGAUUGUGUGUUUUGGAUUUUAUCUCAUGGAUUUAGAGUUGGACUGUGUUUGGAAUUCGAAUAAUGUGUUCAUGCACAUAUGAUAUUUGAUGAAAUUCCAUAAGAUUAAUUCAAUUAUUUAUGUUUUUUAGUCUGAAUUAAGUAGAGCAAAAAUUUUAUUAUGAGUUGAUUUCUUGAGUUACUAGCUAGACUAGGUAAAGCAAAGAAAUUGUCUUCGUGCACUUUAACUCUUCCUCCUCCUCCAUCUAAAAUAAAACGAUUAUUGAAGCUUUUGGAAGUGAUUUGUUCUUUUUGUUUGUGCUCUUAUUGAGAUGAUUUACAUUUGGUUAAGUAUGCUUUUGCUGCUAUGCAACAGCACAACAGGCUGUUUUAUUGCUGUUUAGCUGCUAUUAUGCAGCAAAACAGUACCUAGAAGUUCUGGGUGUUGUUUUUACUGUUUACUGUUGUUAAUGCAGAAACACAACACCUGAAAGUGUUCAGGUGCUCUUUAGUUGUUAUGCAGCAAAAACAGCACCUGGAACUGCUUUUAUGUGGUAAAACACUUUCAGGUGCUGUUUAACUGCUGUCAUCCAGUAAAAAGAGUAUCUGGAAGUUUUCAAAUACUGUUUAGCUGCUGUUUAUGUAGAAAAAACGCACUUGGAAGUUUCCUUAGGACAUAUUUAAAGAAUUGAAUUCAUAUGCGGGCUGUGAAGAUAAAAUUUUUUUGGCGCUGGCUGUGAAGAUCAAGAAUUUUUGGCUAAGUAUUGAAGGCAAAUUGAAGAUACAGUACUAGAUUUUUUUUCUUUUUCUAAUUUUUUAUUAUUAGAAAAUAUACAAGCAUGACACAUGCAUACUUAUCAUUUUGUAUACAUUUUUAGGUAAUCGGAUUUUCAUAUAUGUUAAAGGUUUUGGGUAAAGCUAUCUUUUGUAUAUGAGACAUUUAAAUGAAAUUAAUAAGAAAUUGCAAUGGAACCAUAGGCUUGAAUUGCAACUUAUUAUUUAUUAUUUUUUGGUAAUGAAUGACAAAAAAACGACGGUUAUUAUGUAAACACUGUUGUCAAAAAUAUACAUUUAAUGACGGUUAUAAACAAAAAUUCUUAUAAAUUUUUUUUAAAGAAAUGUAAUAAAUGAGCAUUAAUAAAUGACCUUUUUUAAAAAACAAAAUUGAAAGAUCCCUUUAAAGAUACCUUUAAGGACACUUUAAUGAUAAUUUUUGUAAAAAAAGUCAUUAAAAUUUAUGUAAAUACAAAUAAUGACCUUGUAAUAAAUAACCGUAAUUAUAAAUACACAUCUAAUGACGGUUAAUGAACCGCCAUGAAAAGUAUAUCUCUUUCAAUGUUUACCUAAGAUGUUGGUUUUAAAAUCCUCAUCUUAUGCCAUUGAAAACCAUCAUUGUUAAUUAAUUUUGUAUUAGUGUCACCUUGAUGUAAGACAAAAUUAAAUUUAGUUAUCUUGGAAAGCAUUCUUUAUUUUGUUAGAGUCAUAUUUAGACUAUUUUUUAGCUCAUCAUUUUUUUUUUUGUUGAGUACAAUUGUUUUCUCUUAUUUGGGUUAACCUAUAAAAUUUAAUUCAAAAUUUGAUAGGAACGUUGAUCAGGAUAGAGAAUAAAGAAGCAUAAAUAUUAUAGCAUCAAUGUCAUAUCAUCCAAUCCAUUAGUUCUCAACCAUUAUUUUUAUUUUAAUCUAAAUUUAUGCGUGUUAGUUAUUUAAAAAAAAAAAAAGGUAGAGGAGGAGGCAAUAAAGCAAAAAUCAAAUCUGGAACCCUUAUCUCCCCAAUAUUCAAAUCAUAACAGCCAAUUAAAAAAACUACUUAAAAAUCACUCAAGUAGGCUUUUGGGGGCACCUAUUUUAAAAAAUGCAAGUGUGCUCAUAUAAAUAUAUUACUUAUCCCUUACCUUAUUCAAAAUUCAAGUUCAUAUUCAAUAAUAAUAAACUAAUAAUAGUAAGAAAAUAUAAUAUUAAUUAUUAAGUUUGACUUUAUAGUAUUAGAAUUUCUUUUAAUUCUUAACAACAACAAUAAUAAUAAUUUUUUCUUAAGGGUUAACAUAAUGUUAGCUUAGACUUACAUAAAGUCAUAGAUCAUAGUUCACAAUAAUAUCAAUGUGUAUUUAUAAAAUCAUGAUAUUUAUAAUUUUAUUCAUUAAAAUCAUGAUAUUAACUAUUUAUUUAAUAAAUUAUAAAUAUAAAUCAAUUAUAGUACUUUUUUAAACUAAGAAUUAAAUGAAUUUAAAAAACUCGGGCUAAUAAAAUAUAUUAAAAGAUUCAAUUUCAGGUUAUUUGUAAAAUCAUUUUGGAAUUUGUAAUAUAUACUAAUAAUAAGAAAACAUUCUUAUUGCGGUCUUUUUCACGUGUCGUGCCUUAACCCAUCUUUAAUUGUGCCAUGCUUUUAAGGUCCACGUGCCUAAAAUUCUAAGUUUGGCCUAACCCUUGUGCGUGUCGUGCUAGGCUGGGCAUCGAAUUGUAUUAGAUAUGUAUCCCAAUUACAUACAAAAAAUAUGUCACACAUUAAAACUUCGUGAUAAAUAAUGCUAGGAAGUUUUGGUUCCCACCCAAAUUCUCUACAAAAUAUGUCAAAUAAGCAUAUAAACAAAAUAAAGGAGGAGAAUAAUAUCAAUCACAUAACAUAGAUUUUAUGUGGAAAACUUCACUAUCAAAGAAAAAAUGCAGCCAUCAAGAAUGACUAAAUAAUAUCCAUCACGUGUAAAAUUGUUAUAAUUAAACUACAUUCUCCUAAUGGGUUUUUUUCUUAGAUCAUCCCAAUUACAUACAAAAAAUUUCUCAAUCAUACAACAUAUACUCCACAAUCUCACAAAUUCUUUCUUCAAAUUUUUAACUAAAUUGAGAGAUGGGAUGGGAUUUACCAACCCCAGUCUCAUCCCGUAUAUGCAAGUGAGAUGAAAAAAUGUCUCACUCCCGUCCUUAUAUUUUUUUUUUUGGAAAAAAAUAUGUCUCAAUCUCGUCCCAAAAAAGAUGGGAUCCUAGGGGAUCCUAUCCCAAUUAGAAAAAUUAUCAUUCUUAGUUGGCAAUGAAACGGAAUCGGAUGAGAUUUGCCAAUCCCAGACCCGUCCCGUAUAUACAAGUGAGAUAAAUAAUGUCUCACUCCCAUCCCUAUAUUUGUAAUAUUUAGUUAUGUCUCACUUUAGCUCCUUUUCUUUCGAACAUAUUUUUGUUAUUAAAGUUUUGGAAUUUGUAAUAUAUACUAAUAAUAAGAAAACAUUCUUAUUGCGGUCUUUUUCACGUGUCGUGCCUUAACCCAUCUUUAAUUGUGCCAUGCUUUUAAGGUCCACGUGCCUAAAAUUCUAAGUUUGGCCUAACCCUUGUGCGUGUCGUGCUAGGCUGGGCAUCGAAUUGUAUUAGAUAUGUAUCCCAAUUACAUACAAAAAAUAUGUCACACAUUAAAACUUCGUGAUAAAUAAUGCUAGGAAGUUUUGGUUCCCACCCAAAUUCUCUACAAAAUAUGUCAAAUAAGCAUAUAAACAAAAUAAAGGAGGAGAAUAAUAUCAAUCACAUAACAUAGAUUUUAUGUGGAAAACUUCACUAUCAAAGAAAAAAUGCAGCCAUCAAGAAUGACUAAAUAAUAUCCAUCACGUGUAAAAUUGUUAUAAUUAAACUACAUUCUCCUAAUGGUUUUUUUUCUUAGAUCAUCCCAAUUACAUACAAAAAAUUUCUCAAUCAUACAACAUAUACUCCACAAUCUCACAAAUUCUUUCUUCAAAUUUUUAACUAAAUUGAGAGAUGGGAUGGGAUUUACCAACCCCAGUCUCAUCCCGUAUAUGCAAGUGAGAUGAAAAAAUGUCUCACUCCCGUCCUUAUAUUUUUUUUUUUGGAAAAAAAUAUGUCUCAAUCUCGUCCCAAAAGAGAUGGGAUCCUAGGGGAUCCUAUCCCAAUUAGAAAAAUUAUCAUUCUUAGUUGGCAAUGAAACGGAAUCGGAUGAGAUUUGCCAAUCCCAGACCCGUCCCGUAUAUACAAGUGAGAUAAAUAAUGUCUCACUCCCAUCCCUAUAUUUGUAAUAUUUAGUUAUGUCUCACUUUAGCUCCUUUUCUUUCGAACAUAUUUUUGUUAUUAAAGUUUUGGAAUUUGUAAUAUAUACUAAUAAUAUUAAAAUGUGAAAUAAAAGAUUUUGUGAUAUAAAUCAAUUUCUUUUUGUUAUGUUUUGGUGCCUUUUAAUUUUACCAAUAAAUCAAUAGGCAAUGAUCCAAUUCAAUUUUUUAUUUUUUAAAAAUAAAUUAACUAGUGAUACCAUGGUAACAAUAAUCAUAGACACUAAUAAAAUAUCAAUAACUACUAACACUAUGGUGUCAUAAUAUCGGUGAUACUGUAGUAAUAGUAAUCACUGACACCACUUACAAGUGUCACUAUUUUCUGACUCCCAGAUUACUUACACAAUUAACAAGUGUCAGUGAAAGCAAUUUCUGACACUAUUCUAAAGUCAGUAAAGACCAUUUUUCUAGUAGUGAUAAUAUCAAUCACAUAACAAAAAUUUUACGUGGAAGACUUCUCUAUCAAAGAAAAAAAAUAGCCAUCAAGAAUGACUAAAUAAUAUCCACCAUGUGUAAAAUUAUUAUAACUAAACUACAUUCUCCUAAUGGUUUUUUGCCUUACUCUAUCCCAAUUACAUACAAAAAAAUUCUCAAUCAUACAACAAUAUUACACAGUCUCCCAAAUUAUUUAUUUAAUUUUUUGACUAAAUUGAACAACUUUAUAAUUUGUGCAUGUUAAGACUUGUCUUAAAUAUUGUUAUUGGGCACUUAUCUAUCAGCUUCUGGGCCACGCCGUUUAUCCAAUACAAUUGGAAGUCAAAGUCUAAAGUUUGAUUUCCUCAAUGUUCUGGUCCGACGAUUCUAUUAUUAGGCUCUUACUUUGAGAAUGUUCUAGUUACACAAUACUGUUAUUAGGAUCUUACUUUAUGCUUGUGAGACAAGCAGUUUCUCUAUCUGUGCACAACUUUAGUUGCCAAUCUCAUAUUAAGCUAUUAGGCUCUUACUCUAGGACUCUUACACCUUGAGAAAGUUUUAGUAAAACAAUACUAUUAUUACGCUCUCACUUUAGCCUUUUUAGAUAAACAAUUUCUCUAUCCGUACGUAACUUCGCUAGCUAAUUUAAUCUGACAAAUUACAUUUGACAAUUACAUUUUGACAAUUACAUUUCUGCAAUAUAUCUUGCUUCCAUUUCUAGUAAUUCAUUAUUUAAAGAUGUCGGUGGUACGGACAAAAUCAUACAAUUGCCAAAUUAGCUAGCUUGAUGACUUGGACUGAUAUUGUAUAUACCAUGCAAAAAACUCAAUAUGACCCUGCAUGCAUAUUUUUUUACGCAAGAAAGAGACAAAAACAUCGCGCAAACAUUUAAUGGAUAAUCGCAUAAUUUCAACUGCUGAGAUAGGGAAAAAAUCAUCCUCACUUGCAAAACUAGUACUGAUUAAAUAAGAUUUAUUAAAAGAUAUAUAUAACGAUCCUUUGUUAUAUUCAAAGUUUUACAUAUUUUGCUUAAAAUAUUAAUCCACUCAAAAAUGAUUAAACAAGCUGAAUAAUUAGAUAGAUGCUGAUAAAUUAUAAGAGAUAAUAUAGUGCGGGAACUCUCAUUUUUUUUCAUGUGAACAAACUUUUAAGCCGUGCAAUUUAAUAGAGUCAGCUUUCAAUGCUAUUAAAUCGCAUGACUUUAUAGUUUAUUAAAGAUUAACUCUGUUAAGUUACGUGUCUACAUAAAAAAAAAAUGAAAGCGCCCGCACUUAAGAAUGAUUACACACAUAUAACUAACCACCAAGCGCUUUAUAUAGUGGCUACCACCAAGCGCUUUAUAUAUUGGCUACGAACUAUAGUAUAGAACUAGAUGGCAACAGGGACAGCAUGAAGGGGUUCAGCCUUUUGUACGGUGAGGCCAAAUUUAUCUUCCAUGUCCAUGUUGUGGUUAUCAAGCUUCCAAUCAAAAGAGUUAAUAAGUGAACCCAACAUUAGAUGUAACAUUCUGAUUGCCAAUGGUAAACCAGGACAAAUUCGUCGUCCAGCUCCGAAGGGAAUUAGCUCAAAAUUCUGGCCUUUGAAAUCAGCAUUUGACCCUAAGAACCUUUCGGGAAUAAAAGUGUGUGGGUUGUCCCAUGUGCUUUCAUCUCUGCCAAUAGCCCAUACAUUGACAAAAACUUGUGCACCUUUUGGCACUGUGAAGCCUGCAAUUGCAACAUCUUUUGUGGCUUUGCGGGGAAGUAAUAAGGGAACUGCAGGGUGCAAUCUCAAAGUUUCUUUAACAACAGCUUGUAGAUAAGGUAGCCGAGUGAUGUCAGAUUCCUCAAUUGGUUUACACUUGCCAACUGUUUGUUCUAGCUCCAAUUUUGCUUUCAAUAAAGCCUCAGGGUUGUGGAGUAGUUCUGCCAUUGCCCAUUCCAUUGUACUUGAAGUUGUGUCAUUCCCCGCAAUAAACAAAUCCUGGUAUACGAACACUGUUAUUUAACUUGUAAUUUGUACUAGAAAUUAAGAAAAAGGAAAAGAAAUAUUACCGCAAAAAAGUGCUUGAGAUGUUUUGUUUCAAUCUCAACACUCUUGUCUUGGAUAAUAUUGAGAAGAGUAUCUAAUAUAUCUUUACAUUCGGUGCUAAUACUGCAACCAUGUUCUUGUCUAUGCUUCAAUCGUUGAUCAACCAAGCGAUCAAACACCUCGAGCAUCUUGGCACUAUAAACUGUGAUGCGGCGCUUUAUCCCCUGCAGAUCAAACUUUUUGAGAAGAGGAAAAUGGUCGGACAAGUUAGGCUUUCCUACUUCUUCCAAGAUACCAGAAACUGUAUCCUUAAACUCUCGCUCAUUGGGAUUAACCAAAUCAAUAGAAAAAAUUGUGUUGGAUAAUAAAUUAAGUGAAGUAUUGAAAGCAGCUUGGCCAACAUCUAUUGCUUUACCCGCACGGAAAUUGUCUUCAACAUGAGCAAGAAGGUCUUUGAUUUUCUUGCGCCGGAGCUCUUGAUUGGCAUCGAGUUUCUGACUAGUGAAAAUAUGCAUGUUGCUUAUUUUUCGAAGAUUUUUCCACAUUGUUGAAACUGGAAGCCAGGCCAAACUGAAUUCAUGGUGCGGGAAGGGCAGUGACAAGAUUGCUUCAGGGACCAUUCGAUCACAGAAUGAUAAAUCAUUAUUUUGAAGGAUGGCUUUGGCCAUGCUUGGAGAAGAAACCACUACUGUGGUCACCUGGCCAAGUCUUAGACUCAUUAUGGGCCCAUGAAUCUUGGCAAGCUUGGCCAGUGACUUGUGAGGUUUAGCACCUAGCUCCAGAAGGUUUCCGAUCACUGGAUAAGGCCUCGGUCCCGGUGGAAGCUGUUUGUGUCGUCCUCUGGAAACGAAACUUAAAGCCAUCACCCAAACCAAUGUGAAUACAAGCCACAGUAUGCAGUUAAUUAACAAAUCCAUCUUUGAAUUGAAGUUGAUAUUUUGAUUUCUCUUUAUUUGAAAGUCUCUUCAAUACCGUCCCUUCACUUUCUUUUAUAGUAGUACCUGGACUCUGGAAGUUGCUUUCUGUCAAAGUUAUGGUUGGGAGGUGCCGGCCAAGGAAAGAAAAAAAAGGGAAACUUUGACAAAGAAGAAAGAGGAAGAAAAAUGGGUGCCGCCCAAAGAAAAUAAGGAAAAAGAAGAGUGAAGAAGAUAAUGGCGGUGAGAAGAAAAAAAAAAUUUAAUAGCCAAAACUUUGGCUAUAAAUAGAGAGGCUCCCUCCUCAUUUUAUUCAUUCCAUUUUUUCUUAAGUUUCUCUUCUCUGUUUUGUAAAAGAGAAAGAGUUGUGUGAGAGAUUAAGAGUUUUAAUACUCUUAUGUAAUUAGUGAGUGAGAGAUUGGGUGUAUUAGAGUUUUGAGUUGUAAGCUAAAAUAUUACAAUACUUGUAAUCCUUAUUUCACUAGUGAAAUAUUUUUCUUCUGUCUUCGCCCGUGGACGUAGUCUAAAAGUCGAACCACGUAAUUUUUAGUGUCCUCUUUUGUGUUUUUUCUUUAUUUUCUUAUUUUAGCUGUAUGUCUACUUCACCCACCAAUUUCCUAACACUUGCACUAUUGUUUCACAACUAUUUCAAACACAUAACUAAAUAAAGUUUUUCGAGUCAUGUCACUUUCAUAUUGCUGGUUCCUUGGGUAAUUUGGUCUUCUUAAGACGAGCAUUUAUUUUGAGUAGAAAGGUCCAAUGAGCUUUGAUCGCAUGAGAUUUGAGUUGGAGUUGUUUCCGAUCCCCAGGAUGUAAAAAAUAUCCAUCCUACAAUGCGGGUUCAGUAAUAACCAGCCUACGGAUGAGGCAUACUUCGACUGGGCUUCACUUUGACAAGCUUAGAUUUGGUUUGGAAUUCAAAUUUUAUAAAAAAAAUAUAUAAAAUAUACAUUAUUUAAAAUAAUUAUAUAUAUUUGGUGAAACCAAUUACAUAUAUUUAAAAGUUUAUUCAUAUUUUGAAAUCUAAUUUUAUUAAAAUUAAAAUUUAAAAAUUAUAAAUAAAAUAAUUAGAAUAUUUUUAAUUGGAAUUGUUCCCAGUUCCCACUUACCAUUGACUUUAACCGUUGACCAGACUUUAACCCAAAUUUUUUUAUUUUUGGUAAUUUUUUAUGCAAUCUUAAAUUCAAAUAUUCGUAUGUUUAUAUAUUUUUUUAGAAUAAUUAAUUGAAGGUCCAUAUUUAAUAUAAUUACAUGUGUACCAGUGGUAAUAAAUACGUGAUGAUUAUUUGGUUUUACAUGUGAACAACAAAUUGGCCCAAAAGAAGAUUUAUUAUUUGACAUGUUCUUAUUAUUAGUAUUUGAUUACUAUAUCAAGAUAUCACUUACAAGUUAAUAGUUUGUCCAAAUGUGAAAUAUUAAUGGAGUGUCCAUAAUCUUGAGAUGAAGUUUACCUUUAUUUGAAUUUAAUUUUGUUUUAAGACUAAUAUGAGAUUGUUUUGUUUGUUUGUUGUUCUCUGUUCAGUUAUGUCUGUUGUUAGUAUUACUGCCAACAUUAAUUCUAUUCCUAUGCUAAAUGACUCUAAUUUCAAGUCAUGGCAAGAGAACCUCUUAAUAGUUCUCACAGGCAUGGAUCUUGACAUUGUGUUAAGGGUUGAUUCUCCCCCACCACUUGCGGAUGAAAGUACCCUUGAUAACAAGAAGGAUAUUGAAAGGUAGGAGAGAUCAAAUCGCAUGUGUGAUGAUUAUAAAAAAGAAUAUUCUGGAAGCAUUCUGGGGUUUAAUGUUUGAAAAGAAACUACAACUAAGGAGUUCCUUGCAAAACUUGAACAGAGGUUUAUUAAGAACAAAAAGACUAAAAUUGAUAUACUCUUAACAAGCCUAAUUUCAAUAAGGUGUAAAAGAAAAGACAAAAGUAAGAAAAAGAAUAAGAAAGUUGCAUAUACAACACCUCAAAAGAAACAGCAAAAGAAAUCGGAUGAUCCAAAAGCUGUUAAUUACUUUUUUUAUGGAGCUGAAGGUUAUGGUUUGGUUUGUUCUGAGAUUAAUUUAACUUUAGUACUUAGACACAUAUGGUGGAUAGAUUCUAGUGCAACAACUCACAUCAGUAUGUCUAUGCAGGAUUGCUUGAAUUGUCGAAAGCCUGGUGAUGGUGAAAGAUACAUCUAUGUGGGCAAUGCAAGACUGUUGAAGUUGAAGCAAAUGAAAAAUUCAGAUUAUUAUUGAAGACCGGAUUUUAUUUGGAUCUCGAUUAAACCUUUUUUGUUCUAUCUGUUAGAUGAAAUUUGAUUUACAUUUCCGCUUUGGACAAAUCUGGUUAUUCUUGUUUAUUCGGAAAUAGAAAAUUGAGUUUCUUUCAUGAUUCAAAACUAGUUGGUUCUGGUUCUUUGUCAAGUAAUGAUAAUCUUUAUUUGGUUGAUACAAUUACUUCAUUUAAUGAAUCCUUACAAUUUAGUACAUUAAGUUUAAAGAGACAAUUAACCAAUGAGAAUUCAGUUGUGUUAUGGCACAGGAGUUUGGGUCAUAUAUCUAGACGGAGAAUAGAGAGACUUGUGUCAAACGAAAUUCCUGAACCCUUAGAUUUCACAGAGUUUGAUAUUUGUGUUAACUGUAUCAAGGAAAAAAAACCAAUAAAAGGAGAUUUGAUGCCGAUAGGACUUUGGAUGUCUUAGAACUCAUACAUACGGACAUUUGUGGGCCAUUCCCUGUGGUUGCUUGGAAUGGUCAACAAUAUUUAAUAACGGUCAUAGAUAAUUUUUCUAGAUAUGGCUACAAAUGUCUCUUUUAUGGAAAGUCACAGUCCUUGGAUAUGUUCCAAAAUUUUAAGGUUGAAGUUAAGAAUCAACUUAGCCAAAGAAUUAAAGGCAUCAGUUCUGAUCGUGGUGGUGAAUAUUAUGGCAGAUAUGAUGGUUCAAGUGAACAACGUUUAGGACCGUUUGCUAAAUUCAUAGAGGAAUGCAGUAUCAUCCUACAGUACAAUAUGUUAAGUUCACCUAGUAUGAAUGGUGUUAUUGAAAGACAAAACAUGAUGCUUAAGGAUACGGUGAGGAGUAUAAUAAGGUGUUGUUGGAAGACAAAAGAUGAAAUAGGACGCUUAAGGAUAUAGUGAGGAUUAUGAUUUGUCAUUCUACCUUACUAGAAUCACCAUGGGGAGAAGUGCUUAAGACGCAAGUGUAUAUCUUUAAUAGGGUUCAAACUAAAGCAACUGCCAAAAUCUCUCAUGAGUUUUGGACAAGUAAGAAGCCUAGUCUAAAGCACUUGCAUGUUUGGGGAUGUCUAGCUGAGGCAUGUUGAGUGUUAGAAAAUGCAUAUUUAUAAAGGAGAAAACCGUCAUUUUACAUUUUAAGUCUUACUAACAACCCUUACUUUUAUAUAUUUAACCUUCUUGUGAUUUAAUUACAUGUGUUUUAUUUUAAUUAAGUAUUUUAUGUAUUUUAGGGGCAUUAUAGUCAUUUCACAAUAAAGGAGAGAUCAGACGGCGGAACGGACAUCACUGUAUACGUUACUGUUCACGACACUGUUCACAUAGACGGAUGAUGACGUGGCAUUGACCGAUGAUGUGGCAUUGACUGAUGAGGUGUCACGAUCCUGUUGGACUAAAAUUCUUAUGUACUGUUGAUGGUGACGUGGCAGCAUAUCAGUGGACGAAAAAUCCCGCGUACGGUGCAUGCAUCACACAGGAUUAUUUUCAACCAAACUGCGUUACUGUUCAAAGUCGGGUCAAACCGUGUUACUGUUCAUCCGCGUGGUCAAACCGUGGACUGUUGACUGAUGACGUGGCGCAAUCCUGAGCGUCCAAACUGUUUUUAAUCCGAUGGCCAUGAUUUACUCCAUGUAUCUAUAAAAAGGGGGCCUCCCCCCCUAAUUUGAUAUCUCUGAAUCCAUUUUUGGGAUCCAUUUUCUGUAAUUCCUUCUCCAUCUUGUAUUUUCUUCGUAUUUUAAUAAAUUCCCAUUUUGCCCCUAGUUCAAUUAUGAGUGGCUAAUUUUCUUUCAAGCUUGGGUUGAAGGUGAAGUCUCAACAUGUGUCAUGGGCUUAAUUUGGUAAAUUUAUUUUCUCUUCCCCUCUAGUUUUUGUGGAUGUUUUGACUUCUCGUCGACAAAUAAUACUAAUCUUGUCUAGUACCGCCUUGGUUUCACCGGCCCUCUGGUACAAGGUUAUUAUUAUUUGGCACGAUAAGCCCUUAGCACCAUAUUGAUUAGAGCGUGGUUCAUGAGGUGUGGAUUCCCCCCUCAUGAUUUAAUUGGCAUUAAUACGGAUUAUUUAGCCCAUGAUGCAUGUUGAUACGGAUCCAGAUACCCAAGUACGUUAUUUCAAUAGAAUUCUCUUCAAUUUCUUCUCGCCAUUUCAAUACCAAUUUUAGAAUUUAUUCUCGCCAUUUUAAUUUAAGUUGUAGCAUAUUCCAAACCAUUUCCACCACAAAUCCAAUCACCCAUUCACAAAAUUAAUUCUACACAAUUAAAAUCCACCUCCUCGUGGGAUCGACACUCGUCACCAUUGAUCUAUACUAUAAUAGAUUCGUGCGCUUGCGAGUACAUUAAAAUUUGCACAAUAAGUUUUUGGCGCCAUUGCCAGGGAGGUAAGUAAUUUUAAUUCAUAGAAUUAAUUUUUGUGAAUAAUUUCUUUUAUUUGUUUUCUUGUAUUUUUUAUUAUUAAAAAAAAGAGUGAAUCUACAUUUAAAGGUUAGUAUUUCUUUUCUUUUUCUCUUCUUUAAAAUUCUGUUAUUUAAUUUUCAAGUUAUUUUUUUCUUUGUAAUUUUUGUUUAUUUUAUUAAUUUAAUUUUUAUUUAAUUUAUUUAAUGUAUUUUUUUUGUGUAUUUUUAUAGAAAGGUUUUAAUAGCGCAAUAAGGUUAGUAUUGUAAUUUCUCCCUCUUCUUUAUUUUUAUUUGUUUUGUUCCCAUCUUUAUUUUUUAUUUUAUUUGUUUUGCAUGCAUGGUCGUAGGUCAUUAUUACCUAAUCUUGAACCUAUCGACCUUGAAUUAGAAAAAACACUUCGCACACAAAAGCACAUUAAAAAUAAAUUUGAAAUGGAUUUGCAACCACAAGAGAGGCCAUUUAAGGACUACUUCAGUCCCUUAGCUAAUUUGAGUACAUCAUGCAUAAGAUACCCAAAUGUAGCUGCUAGGAGUUUCGAAUUAAAACCUAGUGUGCUAAAUUGUCUCCCCACAUUUUAUGGCCUAGAAAAUGAGGAUCCAUAUAAUCAUCUGAAUGAUUUUCAUGCCAUUUGUCAAACUUUUAAAUAUGAAAAUUUUUCAGACGAUGAUGUUAAACUUAGACUAUUCCCAUUUUCUUUAAAGGAUAGAGCUCGUUCAUGGCUUAAUACAUUGCCUGCUAAUAGCAUUGCAUCAUGGGAACAAAUGGUUACAAAAUUUUUAAAUAAAUAUUUCCCAGUGCAUAAAACCAAUGCUAUUCGCAGGGAAAUCUCGGAGUUUACCCAGAAAGAUGACGAGCAAUUUUUCGAAACAUGGGAGCGAUUCAAUGGGCUACUCUUGAAGUGUCCACAUCAUGGGUACGAGAAAUGGCACCAAUGCCAAUACUUUUUGGAGGGAUUAUUGCCAAAUAUGCAAGAAUGGCUAAUGGCAACAAGUGGAGGAGAGCUAAUGUCAAAAAGUGCAUCCGAGAUUUGGGAAUUCUUCCAGCGACAAGCGGAUAAUUCCCAACAACAGAGUCGAUCACUUAGGAAUACUAGAAGAAUUAAAGGAGUAAAUGAGGUUCAAAUUGGCGAGUCAACUUCGGGAAUCAAAGAAGUCAAGGAGAUGGUUGAAGGUCUUGCUCGACAAAUAGCAUCGUUAUCGACUGUUAAAUCAACAGAGCCACAUGACCAUGACUCAUACUCAGAUCAAGCCAAUGCCAUAGGUGUAAUGAGAAAACCAUCGAAUUACAACCCAUACUCCAACACAUAUAACCCUGGAUGGAGAGACCACCCCAAUUUUUCAUGGUCUCAAGGAUUCCAACAGAAUGGACCAGCAGCUCCAGCUCCACCAAUGCAACAAAUUUCUCAAAAUCCUCAAGCCUCUCAGCCCCCAUUUGGACCAUACAAUCAGAACCAGAACUACUCUCAACUCAGACCAUGGGAGGAUUCAUUCCAAAAUCUCAAGAAUCUUACUCACUCUACGAUUGAGCAACAGAACCGCACCAUUGAUGGACUACGAAAUGAGUUGAGAGCAGGCUUCAACUCACAAGCUCAAUCAGUUUCAAGCCUCGAGAAGAUGGUGGGACAACUUGCUUCUUCAGUUCAGACAUUGGCAAUGACUGUUGAGAAAGGCAAAUUUCCAAGUCAACCAGUGCCUAAUCCUAAAGGAGUACGUGAAGCAAGUACCAGUUCACUACAGCAGCAUGGAGAGGUCAAAGCAGUCAUGACCUUGAGAAAAGGAAAAGAAGUCGACAACAAAGUGGAGAUGCCGGUGACAAAAGAAAAUCAAAUCGUACCUGUGAAUGUUGAGGACUCACCACCGGAGGAAAAAGAAGAAACCAACCCACGAGAAUAUAUUCCUAAAGCUCCAUUUCCUCAGAGGUUAGCGAAAGGAAAGAAGGGAAAAUCCACAGGUGAGAUUCUUGAAAUCUUCAAACAGGUAAGUGUUAACAUUCCUUUGCUAGAUGCUAUUAAACAAGUUCCAUCUUAUGCCAAGUUUCUUAAAGACCUUUGUACUAAAAAGAGAAAUAUGCAUGUUCAAAAGAAGGCAUUUUUAACAGAAAACGUUAGUUCUAUACUCCAACAUAAAAUUCCUUUAAAAUGCAAAGACCCAGGCUCCCCCACUAUCUCAUGUAGUAUAGGGAACCACACAAUUGAGAAUGCUUUGUUGGAUUUAGGAGCUAGUGUAAAUCUUUUGCCUUACUCUGUAUUCGUGAAACUUGGACUUGGAGAAUUACACCCAACUCCAGUGGUGUUACAACUUGCAGAUCGGUCUACAAAAAUACCUCGUGGUAUUGUGGAGGACGUGCUUAUCCAGGUAGACAAGUUUUAUUUUCCUGUUGAUUUCAUUGUAAUUGACACUCAACCAAUACAGGAUUCAAGGAAGCACAUCCCCAUUAUUCUAGGCCGAUCUUUCUUGGCAACUGCGGAUGCUCACAUUCAAUGUAGGACUGGAAAUAUGCAGUUGUCCUUCGGCAACAUGACUAUGGAGCUAAACAUUUUCAACAUUGCCAAACAACCUCACAGUGCAGAUGAUGGAAUUGUUGAUGUGGAUUUAAUUGAAGCAUUAGUUGAUGAUACUUUUCUUUCAAACCUUAGUGAUGAUCCUUUACAAACAUGUUUAACUCACUUUGGUUUGGAUUUUGAUAUUGACAGAUCAGUCGAUGAGGUCAACGCCUUGCUUGACUCAGCACCAUCUAUGGAUACUAAUAAAUGGAAGUCAAGAGUUGAACAACUAGCACCAUCAGAGAAGAAACUCAUCCCAUCAUCAGAAUCACCACCGAAACUCGAGCUCAAACCAUUGCCCAACACUUUGGAAUAUGCAUUUUUGGGAAAAGAAAGUACUCUGCCGGUAAUCAUCUCAUCAUCUCUCAAUGAUGAACAAAAAGGUAAGUUGUUGGAUGUUUUGAAAGAGCACAAAGGGGCAUUAGGAUGGACCAUAGCAGACAUUAAAGGUAUAAACCCAGUAGACUGCAUGCAUUACAUUCACCUUGAUGAAAAUGCUAAAACUACUAGGGAGAUGCAACGUCGGUUAAAUCCUAACAUGAAAGAAGUUGUUAGAACAGAAGUCUUUAAGCUAUUAGACGCAGGUAUCAUUUACCCCAUUUCUGAUAGUUCAUGGGUCAGUCCUGUACAAGUUGUCCCCAAAAAGUCAGGAGUCACAGUAGUUACGAAUGCUGAUAAUGAAUUGAUACCCACUAGAGUAACUACAGGAUGGCGUGUAUGCAUUGAUUAUAGAAAGUUGAAUUCUGUCACAAGUAAAGACCAUUUUCCUUUACCAUUUAUCGAUCAAAUGCUUGAUAGAUUAGCAGGCCAUGAAUUUUAUUGCUUUCUAGAUGGCUACUCAGGAUAUAAUCAGAUUCCCAUAGCACCAAAAGAUCAAGAGAAAACUACUUUCACUUGCCCUUUUGGCACAUUUGCAUAUAGGAGAAUGCCAUUUGGAUUAUGUAAUGCACCUACUACAUUUCAACGAUGCAUGUUAAGCAUUUUUUCUGAUAUGGUUGAACGAUUCCUUGAAGUCUUUAUGGAUGACUUUUGUGUCUUUGGUGAUUCGUUUGAUCAAUGUUUACAUCAUCUAACACUAGUUCUGCAGAGAUGUAUCGAGAAGAACUUGGUCUUAAAUUGGGAGAAAUGCCAUUUUAUGGUAAAACAAGGUAUUGUUCUCGGUCACAUCAUUUCGAGCAAAUGUAUUGAGGUUGACAAAGCCAAGGUGGAUCUCAUUUCUAAUCUUCCUCCACCCAAAACAGUCAGAGAAGUAAGAUCUUUCCUUGGGCAUGCUGGUUUCUAUAGACGUUUCAUUAAAGAUUUUAGCAAAGUUUCUAGACCCUUAUGCAAUUUACUUGCUAAGGAUGCACCUUUUGUCUUUAAUGAUUCAUGUCUUGUGGCAUUUGAAAAAUUAAAGCAUUUGUUGACAUCAUCACCCAUCAUUCAGCCCCCAAACUGGAGCUUACCAUUUGAGCUCAUGUGUGAUGCAUCUGACUAUGCAGUAGGAGCAGUAUUAGGACAAAGAGUUGAUCGAAUUCUCCACGUUAUUUACUAUGCUAGUAUGACAUUAAAUGAUGCACAGUUGAACUAUUCAACUACUGAAAAAGAAAUGCUAGCAGUAGUGUUUGCAUUGGAAAAAUUUCGAUCAUAUCUCAUUGGUUGUAAAAUAAUUAUAUUCACGGAUCAUGCUGCUCUUAAAUAUCUUCUCACAAAGAAAGAUGCAAAAGCUAGACUAAUUCGUUAGGUGUUACUUUUGCAGGAAUUUGACUUGGAAUUCAAAGAUAAGAAAGGGACAGAAAAUGUUGUGGCGGACCAUCUCUCUCGUCUCCAUCUUGACACAAUUACAGAGCCAUUAAUAUUGAAUGAGUCAUUUCCAGAUGAAAAAUUAAUGAGUGUGGAAGUAUUACCUUGGUAUGCUGAUAUAGUUAAUUAUCUUGUUACAGGUAAACUUCCUGAGCAUUGGACCAAGCAAGACAAGGCAAAAUUCUUUGCAGAGAUAAAGAAUUUCUUUUGGGAUGACCCGUAUUUGUUCAAGUAUUGUGCGGAUCAAAUUGUUAGACGAUCUGUCCCAGAAAGUGAAAUUCAAAAUAUCCUUUCAUUCUGCCAUGAACAAGCUUGUGGAGGCCAUUUCAGUGCUAAGAAAACAGCGACUAAAGUUUUACAAUGUGGUUUCUAUUGGCCAUCUAUAUUUCGAGACGCUUACACUUUCUGUUCUUCAUGUGAUAGGUUUCAACGAAUGGGAAGCAUUACGUGAAGGAAUAUGAUGCCACUAAAUCCAAUUUUAGUGGUUGAGAUUUUUGACGUAUGGGGUAUCGACUUCAUGGGACCCUUUCCCCCGUCUUUUGGUCAUCAAUACAUAUUGGUUGCUGUUGACUACGUAUCCAAAUGGGUAGAAGCAAUUUCAUGCAGAACUAAUGAUCACAAAGUGGUGAUAGCAUUUUUGAAAAGCAACAUUGUUUCACGCUUUGGAUUCCCUCGAGCAAUAAUCAGUGAUGGUGGUGCCCACUUUUGUAACAAAGCAUUCAAAGCACUUUUGACAAAGUAUUCAAUCACACACAAAGUGGCGACCCCGUAUCAUCCGCAAACCAGUGGCCAAGUUGAGAUAUCCAAUCGAGAAAUAAAGCACAUAUUAGAAAAAACGGUGAGGCCAGACAGGAAAGAUUGGUCAUUAAGACUUGAUGAUGCAUUAUGGGCAUAUAGAACGACUUUCAAGACCCCGAUUGGGAUGUCACCCUACAGGCUAGUGUAUGGAAAAGCUUGCCACCUACCUGUGGAACUCGAGCAUCGUGCGUAUUGGGCCAUCAAGAAAUUCAAUUUUGACAUGCAGCAAGCCAGCUCAGAAAGAAGAUUACAGUUGGCAGAACUUGAAGAAAUUCGCAAUGAUACAUAUGAAAAUGCCAAGAUUUACAAGCAACGAAUGAAAGUCUUCCAUGAUAAGCAAAUUAUGAGAAAAUCGUUCACUCCAGGUUAGAAAGUGCUUUUAUUCAAUUCUCGCUUGCACCUAUUCCCAGGUAAGUUACGCUCUCGUUGGUCUGGCCCAUUUAUUGUUCAUACUAUUUUUCCACAUGGGGCAAUUGAAAUUAAAGACCCAAAGAACGGUGUCACGUUUAAAGUUAAUGGUCAAAGAUUAAAGCCAUAUCUAGAGUACCAACCACAUGAAGAAGACACCGAAAUAAAUUUGAGUGACCCACCAAAUUUGAAUUGAUUUUUUUUUCUUUUCGUUGAUUUGAUUUUUCUUUCUUUCUUUUUAUUAUUAUUCUUUUGCUAAUUGAAAUUGUUUUUGCAUAAGUGUGUUUAUUUUACCAUUAAGUUUUCUCUUAUCAUUUUUAAUCAUGAGUCUCAUACUUAGACCGUUCCUCCUGAACAUUCUUAAACCACUUCAACGUGUCAAAACUCAUCUCAAAAGGCAGAUUCAAUUUUGUAAAACACAACGCAUUUGGGCUCUACAACCACCAGAGUUAGUAGCCUAUGUUGAGGGUUUAGAACGCCAACUCAGAGACAUUGAGAGAAGUGUUUACGACAUCCAGUUGGAGCUUGAGGUAAAUUCAAUAAGAGGACGAUUUUAAUUUUCUUUGUGUGUUUUAAUUUGUUUUUCUGUUUGAGUGCUUUAGUUUGUUACCCCGGUGAAGUGGCGGAUAACGGUACUCCGUGACAAUCAAGUCGGUUACUUCAGUUUCCCAUAAUAACUGAUAUUCUGAGGCAAAGGUAUGGACAGAAACGAGAUUCUAGCGAAACUUCACAAGCGAUUCCCUUCACUUCCUCAGAAUGCCCUCCUUACAAUCUAUAAAGCUCGGUCCGAACGCAUGCGAUUACUCAUGAGGAAUAACAUACCUGCUGACAUCCGUUGGUUAAUCGAGGCUAAAGUACGAUCGGCAGGUGAGUUACCUCCAAAAUUUAUUGCAUACAUGCCUGGUUGUGGUAAAGGAAAUUAUGCAAGAAAACGACGAGCUCGAAGAAUUUCUGUUGCUUGUCAUAAGUGUGCCAGAAUGAGUUGCAAUAAAAACCCAUGUUCUUUAGGAAUGAUGUCUGAUAACAGGGAAGAUAAGAUUCAAUUCAUUAGGGAUGGCUUGAAUAAGGAGUCAUUGGAUGAUAUCCUUUUGUCUCUUGAAACGCAUCCCAGUGGAUAUGUGCAAGGAGCGAUUCUCCAGUUAUGGCCAUUAUUCCAGAAAGAGCAUGCACGAUAUAGUUUCGGGAAUCUGACAAUAAACGACCCUGUUUGCCAGUUUAUAAGAAAACUGGACAGGAAGCAUAUCCUCGACCCAUAGAGGGCGUUCAAGCCGUUUCUGGACGUAAAACCAGAGGAAGAUGUGAGCCACAGUCGCAACUACCUGUAAAUAUCCUUUUACUUUAUUGUUAUUUUAUUUCACUAUUGUCUUAUUGUUUGCAUUAUUGUCUUUAAUAAUUUUAUUACUGUUUACUUUUUCCUUUUUAAUGUUUUCUUUUUGACUUGCGAGCCACGUGCUUUACGCGUUAUUUGACACUGACAUAUUACCUCAUACACAACCAUGACCCACUAUCACCGAGACUCUUAAAUGUGAUUUCUUUUUUGUCAAGCACUCACAAAUUAUUUUUGAGAAGUAUCACAAUGUCAGCUACUCCCAAUAGACAAUUCAAGAACAUUUGUGUGCUUUCUGGAUUUACAUAUGGCAAACAUAAAGAGUUCGUUGAGGCAGCCAUAGAUCUUGGUCGAAGCAUAGCAGCGAGAAAAUUACACUUGGUAUAUGGAGGAGGCAAUCGAGGGUUAUCAAAAAUGGUCUCAGAAGCAGCUUUUAUCAGAGGAAGUCAAGUGUUAGGCAUCAUCCCAAGAGUCUUAAAACCAUUGGGCAGUUCGUCUGACUCAUCAACUGGAGAAGAGUUAGUCAUCUCAGGUAUGCAGGAAAGAAUAACUGAAAUGCUUAAUCAUGCUUAUGCUUUUAUUUUCCUUCCAGGAGAUCUUGCAACACUAGAGGCACUUAUCACGCUAGCAUCUUGGGCCCAUCUCCACAUCCACCAAAAACCCAUCGGUUUGUUAAAUGUCAAUAACUUUUAUGAUGGCUUUAUCGCAUUUCUUAACCAUGCAAUAAAAAACUAUUUCAUUCCCGCUAAUGUGAAAAAACUUUUUAUUUGUGCUCACACUGCUAAUGAGCUAUUUGAUCUGUUACAAGCUUAUAGACUGGAGCCAGACCCCUGGACCUUCGUGUUGGAGCGUCCAAAUAAUGAUGGUAACAGUAGCAGCAGUAAGAAGUACAAAUUAGAUUUAACUCUCCGCCUAUAAAUAUUUUCUUCUGUGUUGCACCACCCAGGUGAUGUCUUCUAAACUCUACUUCUUUCCUUUCAAACAUUGAGGACAAUGUUUCGUUCUGGUUGGGGGGAGGGAAUAGUCGACAAUUGUGGAAUUUGGGUUAAGUUUUUACUAAUUUUUUGUUGUAGAAACUAACUGUUGCUAACUUUUUGUGUUGAAGAUGGUUGAAUAUGGAGUGUAGUGACUCUAGAAACGCAUCUUCAUCGUUUAUAAAAAAAAAAAUUCAGACAUUUUCUUUUUCUUUAUUAUGUGUUUAUGUUUAUUUUUCUUCUUUUUAAUUUCUCCUCUAUAAAUAUACAUUUUCCAACUUUUGAGUCGAAGAUGGCUGAAUAUGGAGUGUAGUUCCUCUAGAAACGCAUCUUCUUUUAAAAAAAAAAAAUCAUUUUCGUUUUCUAUCAUUUUACGUGUAACUUUUCUAAUUAGUUUUUAUGCAUCAUUUUCACAUUUCUGCAUGCAUAUUUUCCUUUCAUGUUUAGAAUAGGUUGGGGGGUAGAAUGAUGUUUAAAAAAAAAAUGUGUGAUUUGUUUUAACAUUGGAUGACAUGAUUAAUUUCAAAUUUUAGUAUUUGUAUUAUCUUUGGUCUUAAGUGAUGUUACGCUAUGUUUGCUACUUUAUAUGUUGAUGUCGGAGACAAAUGUGAGUUGCUUGAAGGAAUGAACAUGUCAUAAUAAGUACCAAGUGAGUUUUUGAGCCUAUUAUUUUUCUUGGAGAAUAACCCUUUUGCCCACUCUUUAUACAGCUUAGCAGUUUAUUAUUUUAUACACGAUCUCUAAAUUACUUUUGAGUUAACCCUUAAAAAAAAAUUACAAAAUAAAAAAAAAAGAAAAAAGAAAAAGAAAAAAGAGUGUGUUGCUACAUUUGGAGGCCCAUCUAACUAGUAGAUAUGGAAGAUUAUUUAGAGCCCUAAAAGACGAUGGAGAGGCCAUCUUUGAUCCGUUUGAGCCUUUCAAGCCAUCCCUUUUAUUAAAUAUCCAUAGUUAACCCUUUUGAGCCUUUAAAAAAAAAAAAAAACCUUUUCUUUGUCAACUUAUCAUCUUGACCCACUCCGAUUUGGAGUAUUACCCGAUAUCUUAUAAGUUCCAUCACCUAUUUAUGUUUAAGAAAAUGUAAAUAAUUAUUUUGUUCAGUGAAGUUAUGUCAAAUAAAAGCAAAAAAAAAAACAAAAACAAAAACAAAAGUUGUUGUUUCAAAAGAAUAAAAAUAGGUGAAAUCCACCUUGCAACUUCCAAAAAAAAAAAAAAUUCUCUGCAUUUUUCUCAAACAUACACUUUGUUUUCCUUAUUUUCCUUCUUUGUUAGCCAUGUCCCUAGCCUACGUUUCGUCCUAAUAAAAGUCCUUCUUGAUUUUAGGGAACUAUAGUUUGAAGUAGAAGCUAGUUAUAUGGGCUAAAAAGAUGUAGUGAUGCGUAAUAAAAAAAAAAGAUAAAUAAAGUGGGUUGACUAACAUUUUAUUUGACUUGAGAUCGUAUUAUUUCUAAGCUGAGGGCAUAUUUAUUUCAUCUUGGUGAGAGCAUGUGAUAUCACUUCUUUAUUAUUUUCUCUCUCAAUUACCAUUCAUUAGAAUGACUAUUUUUAUUGGGAUUAAUUUAUUUGUGAGAGUGUCACUACUUCCAGUGAGAUUUUGGGGUUUGACAUGUCAUUCUUGAGAGUAGCUAAAACAAAGUCUACUGGGCUAAUUCAUGUGGAUGGUUGAUGUGGGUGUGAUGUUGCUUUAGACUAGAGAUAAUGCUUAUACUUUUAUUUGAUUGCUAUCAUUAAUCUGAUGGAAUAAAUACGAGUGUUUCUAUUAAAACAAAAAGAAAAAUUAUUUUGAAUUUGAAUUUUGUUUUCGCUUUAUUUGCUAGGGACUAGCAAUAAGCUGGUUGGGGGGUGUGUUGAGUGUUAGAAAAUGCAUAUUUAUAAAGGAGAAAACCGUCAUUUUACAUUUUAAGUCUUACUAACAACCCUUACUUUUAUAUAUUUAACCUUCUUGUGAUUUAAUUACAUGUGUUUUAUUUUAAUUAAGUAUUUUAUGUAUUUUAGGGGCAUUAUAGUCAUUUCACAAUAAAGGAGAGAUCAGACGGCAAAACGGACAUCACUUUUGAACUCAGGACGGUCGAAAACCUUAGGAGGAGCAUAAAAGGAACAAUGGCACUAUUCACAUGUACGGCACUAUUCACGUGUACGGUAUUGUAUACGUUACUGUUCACGACACUGUUCACAUAGACGGAUGAUGACGUGGCAUUGACCGAUGAUGUGGCAUUGACUGAUGAGGUGUCACGAUCCUGUUGGACUAAAAUUCUUAUGUACUGUUGAUGGUGACGUGGCAGCAUAUCAGUGGACGAAAAAUCUCGCGUACGGUGCAUGCAUCACACAAGAUUAUUUUCAACCAAACUGCGUUACUGUUCAAAGUCGGGUCAAACCGUGUUACUGUUCAUCCGCGUGGUCAAACCGUGGACUGUUGACUGAUGACGUGGCGCAAUCCUGAGCGUCCAAACUGUUUUUAAUCCGAUGGCCAUGAUUUACUCCAUGUAUCUAUAAAAAGGGGGCCUCUCCCCCCUAAUUUGAUAUCUCUGAAUCCAUUUUUGGGAUCCAUUUUCUGUAAUUCCUUCUCCAUCUUGUAUUUUCUUCGUAUUUUAAUAAAUUCCCAUUUUGCCCCUAGUUCAAUUAUGAGUGGCUAAUUUUCUUUCAAGCUUGGGUUGAAGGUGAAGUCUCAACAUGUGUCAUGGGCUUAAUUUGGUAAAUUUAUUUUCUCUUCCCCUCUAGUUUUUAUGGAUGUUUUGACUUCUCGUCGACAAAUAAUACUAAUCUUGUCUAGUACCGCCUUGGUUUCACCGGCCCUCUGGUACAAGGUUAUUAUUAUUUGGCACGAUAAGCCCUUAGCACCAUAUUGAUUAGAGCGUGGUUCAUGAGGUGUGGAUUCCCCCCUCAUGAUUUAAUUGGCAUUAAUACAGAUUAUUUAGCCCAUGAUGCAUGUUGAUACGGAUCCAGAUACCCAAGUACGUUAUUUCAAUAGAAUUCUCUUCAAUUUCUUCUCGCCAUUUCAAUACCAAUUUUAAAAUUUAUUCUCGCCAUUUUAAUUUAAGUUGUAGCAUAUUCCAAAUCAUUUCCACCACAAAUCCAAUCACCUAUUCACAAAAUUAAUUCUACACAAUUAAAAUCCACCUCCUCAUGGGAUCGACACUCGUCACCAUUGAUCUAUACUAUAAUAGAUUCGUGCGCUUGCGAGUACAUUAAAAUUUGCACAACAAGGCAAGCCUUAUAGGCUUAAUGAGAAGAAACUAGACUCAAGGACGAUAAGUUGUUAUUUUAUUGGAUACUCUAAAUGAUUUAGGGGGUACAAGUUUUAUGAUGCCAGGACAAAGUUGAUUUUCGAGUCAGGAAAUGCAUCGUUCUUUAAGGAUGUAGAGCUUGUAGGGAGGAGAUAUGGUUAAGGACUUUGUCUUUGAAGAGAAAUAUGUUGAUAUUCCUAUAGGUGUUAUUGGCAUUGAUUAGGGUCUCAUUCCUGACUUUAUUGAAGACACAACAAAUCAAGACAAUGUUAAGAAACCCCAUACAAGAAGUUGUUUUGGAAGAACAAACUCUAACACCUUAAAAACCUAUACAAUUAAGGAGAUCCAUUAGAGAAAAGAGAAGUGUAGUGCUAUAAGGCUACAUUGUAUUUCUCCAAGAACAUGAGGUAGACAUCAAUGUGAUGGAAGAUGAUUCGAUUAAUUUUCGUCAAGGCAUAGAAAGUUCUAACUCUCAUAAAUGAAUUGAUGCCAUGAAUGAUGAAAUGAAGUCCAUGGAAGACAAUGACGUAUGGGAUCUCGUCCCAUUGCCAAAAGGUACGAAACUUAUUAAUUGCAAAUGGAUAUUUAAGACCAAGAGGGAUUCAAAAGGCAAUGUAGAUAGGUACAAGGCGCAGUUUGUCGCAAAGGGCUUUACGUAGAGAGAAGACAUCGACUAUAAAGAGACUUUUUAUCCGGUUUCUUUGAAAGACUCUUUUAGGACAAAUGCUAUUGAUGCCAAUGUGUAAGUGUACACAAGUAAUAAAGUGAUGAAUAUUCAAGAUCGUCUCCAUAGGGAUUAAUGUUACUAGAAAUGCUACAUUAAUCACAAUAGUGCAAUCUAACUUUAUUCUGAGAUGAACAAAUGUAAAGUUUGUUACUAUUGAAAUUGAUAAUUGUGAGAGAAUAAAAUAAAACAAUGCAGUGAUGAAAUAAAUUAAAUAAAAUGCGUCGAAGAAUCAAAUGAGAAUAAGGUAGUUGAAUGAUCAAACUCCCUUUAUGGGCUGACUGCUUUUCAUCAAGUUAACACCAGUUGCUACAGUAAUUUCUAUAGCAUUGGGCAGAAUUAUUUUGCAUCAUCAGCUAUCGCAUAUUGGAAUUUUCAUACUCUUAAUUAUCUUAGCAAUGACCAGUUGCUAUUCUACCUACAACAUGAUACUAUGAACAUCCAUUCUCUCCACCCUAUAAGGUGAGUACCUAUGUCUAGUUUAUGACAAAUCUUAACUUCAAGUAUGACCCUUAUGGGAUUCAAGAUAAACUUGAUCCAGUAAACUUAAAUUAAGAUCAAGUAUUACUCUAAUAAUAUCCACAACGGCAUGCCAUUUUACGGCUCUAUCUUAACUUGAACCAUUAAAUGGGUGGUCAACCAAAAUAACAGUUAUAAUAAUAGCUACUAGAGUAAAAUGCUGCAAAAAUUAUAUAGCAACUCAUAAGAACAGUCAAGAACCCAUUAGAUUGUUUGUCACUCAACUACAAGCAAGUUUAGUUCAUGUUCUGAAAGAGAAAAACAAACAGCAACAUAUUGGUCACGAAAUACAUUAUUUCAGUCAAAGAGUGAAGAAAGGUAUAAGUUGAGAAUGGAAAAAAGUGAAUCCAAAUAACUCUGCUGGAUUCUUCAAUGAUGCUGUAUCCGUUCUCUUGAAUUCUAAUCUUCUUCUACUUUUUCUCUUCAAUUUCCCCAAGGAUAAUUCCUUGCCGCCGUUUUAUGUGAUGCGCGCCUAUUUUUAUAAUUAAAAACUAGGGCAAACAAAACCCUCAGGCGUACAUGAGUCAAAUUAGGAAACUAUAGAUUGCAAUUCUGCAGCUAAUCCGCGCUAAGUUUUCUCCCUCGGUGUCCAGCAAUGGUCGCUCCAGCAACGGCUAUAACACUGUAUUAUUUUCGGUUGUGUUUCAUUUCUUUUACGGCCAUAUUUUUUCUUCUUCUUGCUAGCCUAAUAUCUCAGCAUCCCUUCAUGGAUUAUAAACUUCUGAAAACCUACAAUUAUGCACAUGUUUUGAGCAGAAAUUACUUUAAAUCAAGCAAAACUUAUUAAGACUAAACUAAAAUGGAUGUUUAUGCAAAACAUAACCAAAAUAUAAUAAAAACGCAUCAUUUACUCUCUAAGUGGUCUUGAUUUAAGUCUAGAAUUGCCGUAAUAACUCUCAUUUUAUAGAGUUAUCACGCCCCUAAACUUAAACCGUUACUUGUCCUCAAGUAAUGACAAUAUACUAACACUUCACGCACACAAUCAUGCAACACACAACUUAGCACUGUUAUCAAAUUUGCAACGAUUCUUCCACCUUCAGAUCACAAUCUCAAUCAUGCAAAAUGACCAUAGUAAAUCAGUUCUAGACUUAAGCUUCCUUUUGUCCAAAGUGUGUGUGUGCUACUUUGAUUGAAUUCUAGAAAUGCUACAACAUUACCAAAAAAUUGCAUGUAAUUCAACGGUAGCACAAUUUUAUUCACAUAUGGGGUAGCAUAAAUCUCACAUACUCAAACUGUGCUCUCGUUAAGAAUGAAAAUUUAAGAGUACUCAACCCUCUUUACUGCAAUAUUUAUUUUUCAUGUGAAUGCCAAUCAAUUGUAAUGAUGACACCCAAUUACUCAAGCCAUGCACAGAUCAGAGUUGUUGUAGCAAUAUCUGUAACAUAAUUUUAUCUAGAGAUAUCUUUUAACUCAAGGCUGAACAUGUGGCUCAUGAACAGAUCUAGCUACUCAAUAUCCGAGACAGAGGACUUCAUCUUAUUAUUGUCUCACUUUUUUUUCUUUUUUUAUACAGCAAUCAAUAUAGCAGAUGCUACAACACUGCUCAUAACUCUUGUUGCCUUUGGACGCAAAUCUGUAUAUGGGGUACAUACUUAAGAUAAUUUCUAUUCUUUUGGCUCUUGUUACUUAGCAACUUGAGCCAUUGGAGCAGAAUUUAUUUCAUAGCAAGCACAGUCCAGCAAAAUUUUCACCCAAACUUAAGAUAAUUUCUAUUCUUUUGGCUCUGCUACAGUAUUCUCAUAAAACUCCACCAAAGUUUAGGUGUCAGGAUAGAAUUUCACUAUCUAUCUAUAACUAUCUCUACUCGGCAUUCUUAUAAUCACUAAUUAACACUCAAUUUAUCUUCAUUAGGUUUUCAAAUCCAUACACAAAUAUUAGAUAGUAGAGCUUCACACAACACAUACAUAAACACAUAUCCAAAAUACCCAGAAACAUCUAUUCCCCCCAAACUUUAAAUGGUGCUGUGUCCUCACAAGCACACAACAACAAAUUCACACAACCCGACAAGGACAUGGAAGAGGAAUUUAGAAAAUAAACCACACAAAAUGAAAACAUAAUGAAAGAAAAAUUUUCAGAAUUGAAUAAAAUGACUAGCAAGAAGGGGAUACUCCUCUGUUGUUUGGGCACUACUGCAACAUGGUGUAAUGACAUCAGCGCUUUUUGGAUGCACUUCGCAGCUUAUCCUUUGGGGAUUCUUGUGGGGAGGUGGUUGGCAACGUCUUUUUCUUUUUCUUCAAUGGGCUGGUGGGAGGGGUUGCAGUUGGGGCAGCUUCCUUGGUUGACACCGAUCUGGUCUUUUUUUGUUCUGGUGAGGUUGUUGCAGCAGUGCCUCCAGAAGUGCUGCCCUUUCUUUUGCUGGAUCCUUUAGGACUAGCAUGGACAGGUUUGCUAGGAGUUUGUUGUGGAGGAGCUGGAGCUGGUGCAUCAGCUGCAUGUCCCUCAACUGUAAUGGCAGCAAUGAUGUCAAGCAGCUGCUUAGCUUCUGUGGGUGUACGAGUGACUCUGGUUGCUGCAGCUUCCAGCUCUGCAUCAACUUGCUCGGCUUCAUCUUCAGAGGCAAGAUGGGUAGCUAUUUUUUCCUUGCCUUUUCUCGAAAGGACUGGAAUGAGGGGCUCCUCUUCAGGUUCAUCUUUUUCCUCUUCUUGGAUAAUGUGCUUUUUCCUGAGCUUGGAAAAGGUCCUAACUGGGGGUUCCUUACGUUCUUUCUCAGACUCUUCCUCUGCCUCUGUUGGUGAAGUGUUAGUUGCAGACUUGUCACUUUCUUCCUCAGAUUGGUCAGAUGGUUCAGCAUCUUCUGAGUCAGCCUCUGCUUGUGGGUCUACUACAGCUUCUUCUUCUGGUUCAUCUGUGUCAGUGGCUUCUUCACUGACCUCUGUUGGAGCAUCGGUAGUGUUGGUGUCAAAAUUGUACUACUGGAGUAAUGAAUCAGGGAAAUUCCUGUGGGUGCUUUUCAUUUAAAGAGCAAAUUGGUGUAGGUGGCUUUCCAGGUGCUGUAAGUAGCUCCAAAACUGAUCGUUUUCCCUCUGCUGAGCCUCAGCACAUUGAGUGAUGCUGGUGCUCAGUGCUUGUAUUCUCUGUUCUAGCCCAAUAGUGCGUCUCGCCCCUGUUAUAGCAGUUGGUUCAGUUGUUGCUCCAGCAAUUUCACCAGAAAUUCUCUCAAUGGUGCGUUGAUGUAGAGCAAGAAAUUGAAGAAAUCCUAAUUAGAUUUAAAUGUAUAAUAUUUAUGAAUAUUUUAAUUAAUUUAUAUUCUAUUUUAAUUUGGUUUCCUAUUUAGAGUCUUAUUAUUUAAGCAUUGCUUAUUUGGGUAAUAUUCCUAAUUUAGGUAUAAGUCUCAUUAAAAUAGAUUUUCUAAUUAUAUUAGGAUAAGUCUUAGUUAGUAUAAAUAAGUGUCUUUUGUAGCUUUUACAGGCAGAUGUUCGAUUUCAAUAAUAUUUUCAAUUUUCAAAUCUCUUUGUGAGUAUUUGAGUUCGGCUAAUUCUCGGUAUUCUACGGAAUCAACGAGUCUUAACCCCUAAAUUAACGGCAUUCUUUUGAAUCAAAGUGAGUUUAGUUGUUCUUUUAUUCUGGCAUUCUCUAGAAUCAACGAAAUAUUUGAAUUUUAAACUUACGCUACAUCAUGCAUGUAGUAAGGGCAUCAUCAUUCUUGACAUGUUCAUCAUGUGUAUUAAGACGAACGCCUGAUACAACACAAAUGCUGGUGAUGAGUGAAGGAAAUAGCAAGGCAGCAACUUUGUGGUUUCUCAUGGCACAAUCUCGAAUUUCUUUUUUGAUAAUGCUUCCCACAUCUAUGGGAAGCCCUCUAACAAUAUCGUAUAACAGUACCAACCUUUCUUGUGUAAUAGUGGUGGUGUGGGUGGUGGGCAUUGUUGUGCAAAUUUUAUUGAACUCGCAAGUGCACGAAUCUAUUGUAGAAUAGAUUAAUGGUGUGUGUCGAUCCCACGAGGAGGUGGAUUUUAAUUAUAUGUAGAAUUAAUUUUAUAUGAGGGUGGUUGGAUUUGUGGUGAAAGUGACUUAGAUUAUCUUAAAAUUGGAAUUGAAAUGGCGAGAAUAAAUUGAAGAGAAAUCUAUUGAAAUGAAACACUCGGGUAUCUGGAUCCGUAUCAACAUGCAUCAUGGGCUAAAUAUUCCUUAUUAGUGCAAUUUAAAUCAUGAGGGGGAAAUCCACACCUCAUGAACCACACUCUAAUCAAUAUGGUGCUAAGGGCUUAUUGUGCCAAACAAUAAUAACCUUGUACUAGGGAGCCGGUGAAACCAGGGCGGUAUCUAGACAAGAUUAUUAUUAUUUGUCGACGAGAAGUCAAAACAUCCACAAAAACUAGAGGGGAAGCGAAAAUAAAUUUACCAAAUAAAGCCCAUGACACACGUUGAGAGUUCACCUUCAACCCAAGCUUGAAAGAAAAUUAGCUACUCAUAAUUGAACUAGGGGCAAAAUGAGAAUUUAUUAAAAUACGUAGAAAAUACAAGAUGGAGAAGGAAUUACAGAAAAUGGAGCCCAAAAAUGGAUUCAUAGAUAUCAAAUUAGGGGGGGAGAGCCCCCUUUUUAUAAAUACAUUAGUAAAUCAUGGCCAUCGGAUCAAAAACAUUUCGGACGCUCAGGAUUGCGCCACGUCAUCGGUCAACAGUACGCGGUUUGAACAGUAAUAUGGUUUGAUCCGGCUUGAACAGUGAUGCGGUUUGGUUGAAAAUAAUCAUGUGUAAUGCAUGUACCGUAUGCGAGAUUUUUGGUCCACUGAUAUGCUGCCACGUCAUCGAUCAACAGUACAUAAGAAUUUGAGUCCAACAGGAUCGUGACACCUCAUCAAUAAAUGCCAUAUCAUCGGUCAAUGCCACAUCAUCAAUCCAUCUAUGUGAACAAUGUCGUGAACAGUAACGUAGACAAAACCGUACAUGUGAACAUUGCCAUUUUUCCUUUUAUGCUCCUCCUAAGGUUUUCGAUCGUCCUGAGUUUAAAAGUGAUGUCCGUUUUUUCGUUUGAUCUCUCGUUCAUUGUGAAAUGACUAUGAUGCCCCUAAAAUACAUAAAAUACUUAAUUAAAAUAAAACACUCUUAAUUAAAUCAUAAGAAGGUUAAAUACAUAAAAGUAAGGGAGUUAGUAAAACUUGAAGUGUAAAAUGACGAUUUUCUCCUUUAUAAAUAUACAUUGUCUAACACUCAACACACCCCCCAACCAGAUUAUUGCUAGUCCCUAGCAAAUAAAGCGAAAACAAAUUUUAAAUCCAAAAUAAUUUUUGUUUAACAAUCAUGUUUAUUCAAUUAGACUAAUGAUAGUAAUCAAAUAAAAGUAUAAGCAUUAUCUCCAGUCUAAAGCAACAUCACAUCCACAUGAAUCAGCCCAGUAGACUUUGUCAUAGCUACUUUCAAGAACGACAUGUUAAACCCCAAAAUCUCACUGGAAGUAGUGACACUCUCACAAAGAAAUUAAACCCAAAAAAUAGUCACUCCAAUGAAUGGUAAUUGAGAGAAAAUAAUAAAGAAGUGAUAUCUCCUGCUCUCACUAAGAUGAAAGAAAUAUGCCCUCAGCUUAGAAAUAAUACGAUCUCAAGUCAAAUAAAAAUGCUAGUCAACCCAAUUUAUUUUAUUUAUUUUUUUAAUUUUUUUUAAUUUCUUUUAUGCACCACUAUAUCUUUUUAGCCCAUAUAACUAGCUUCUACUUCAUAUUAUAAUUCUCUAAAAUCAAGAAGGACUUUUAUUAGGACGUAAUGUAAGUUAGGGACAUGGCUAACAAAGGAGGGGAAAUAAGGAAAAUAAAGUGUAUUUUUGAGAAAAAAAAUGCAGAGAUUUUUUUUUUUGAGAAGUUGCAAGGUGGAUUUCACCUAUUAUUGUUAUUAUUAUUUUUUUUAACAACAAUACUUUUUGUCUUUCGUUGUUGUUUUUUUUUUUUUUUUUGCUUUUGUUUGGCACAACUUCACUGAACAAAAUAAUUAUUUACAUUUUUCUCAAACAUAAAUAGGUGAUGGAACUUGUGAGAUAUCGAGUAAUACUCCAAAUUAGAGUGGGUCAAGAUGAUAAGUGUGACAAAGAAAUUUUUUUUUUAAAGGCUCAAAAGGGUUAACUAUGGAUAUUUCACAAAAGGGAUGGCUAUAAAGGCUAAAACAGAUCAAAGAUGGCCUUUCCAUCGUCUUUUAGGGCUCUAAAUAAUCUUCCAUAUCUACUAGUUAGAUGGGCCUCCAAAUGUAGCAACACACAUUUUUUUCUUUUUCUUUUUUUUUAAUUUUACAACUUUUUUUAAGGGUUAACUCAAAAGAAAUCUAGAGAUCCUGUAUAAAAUAAUAAACUGCUAAACUGUAUAAAGAAUGGGCAAAAUGGUUACUUUCCAAGAAAAAUGAUAAGCUCAAGACCUCAUUUGGUACUUAUUAUGACAUGUUCAUUCCUUCAAGCAACUCAUAUUGUCUCCGACAUCAACAUGUAGAGUAGCAAACAUAGCAUUACAUCACUUAAGACCAAAGAUAAUACAUAUACUAAAAUUUGAAAUUCAUCAUGUCAUCAAAUGUUAAAACAAAUCACACAAUUUUUUUUUAAACAACAUCCUACCCCCCAACCUAUUCUAAACAUGAAAGGAAAAUAUGCAUGCAGAAAUGUGAAAAUGAUGCAGAAAAACUAAUUAGAAAAGUUACACUUAAAAUGAUAGAAAAAGAAAAUGAUUUUUUUUUUAACUAAGAAGAUGCGUUUCUAGAGGCACUACACUCUAUAUUCAGCCAUCUUCGACUCAAAAAUUUAAAAAUAUAUAUUUAUAAAGGAGAAAUUAAAAAGAGGAAGAAAAAUGAAUUUCAAAGCUUAAUAAAGAAAAAGAAAAAGAAAAUGUCUAAUUUUUUUUUUCAAACGAUGAAGAUUUGUUUCUAGAGUCACUACACUCCAUAUUCAGCCAUCUUCAACACAAAAAGUUAGCAACAGUUAGUUUCUACAACAAAAAAUCAGUAAAAACUUAACCAAGAUUUCACAAUUGUCGACUAUUCCCUCCCCCCAAUCAGAACGAAACAUUGUCCUCAAUGUUUUAAAGGAAAUAAGUAGAGGUUUGAAGACAUCACCUGGGUGGUGCAACACAGAAGAAAAUAUUUACAGGUAGAGAGUUAAAUCUAAUUUGUACUUCUUACUGCGGCUACUGUUACCAUUAUUAUUUGGACGCUGCAACACAAAGGUCCAGGGGUUUGGCUCCGGUCCAUAAGCUUGUAACAGAUCAAGUAGCUCAUUAGCAGUGUGAGCACAAAUAAAAAGCUUUUUCGCAUUGGAAGGAAUGAAAUAGUUUUUUAUUGCAUGGUUAAGAAAUGCGAUGAAGCCAUCAUAAAAGUUAUUGACAUUUAACAAACCAAUGGGUUUUUGGUGAAUGUGCAGAUGGGCCUAAGAUGCUAGUGUGAUAAGUGCCUCUAGUGUUGCAAGAUCUCCUGGAAGGAAAAUAAAAGCACCAGCAUGAUUAAGCAUUUCAGUUAUUCUUUCUUGCAUACCUGAGAUGACUAACUCUUCUCCGGUCGAUGAGUCAGACAAAUUGCCCAAAGGUUUUAGGGCUCUUGGGAUAAUGCCUAAUACUUGACUUCCUCUGACAAAAGCAGCUUCUGAGACCAAUUUUGAUAAUCUUCGAUUACCUCCUCCAUACACCAAGUGUAAUUUUCUCUCUACUAUGCUUCGACCAAGAUCUACGGCUGCCUUAACGAACUCUUUAUGUUUGCCAUAGUUAAAUCCAGAAAGCACACAAAUGUUCUUAAAUUGUCUAUUGGGAGUAGCUGCCAUUGGGAUACUUCUCAAAAAUAAUUUGUGAGUGCUUGAAAAAAAAAAUCACAUUUAAGAAUCUUGGUGACAAUAGGUCACAGUUGUGUAUGGGGUAGCAUGUUAGUGUCAAAUAACGCGUAAAGUACAUGGCUCGCGAGUCAAAAAGGAAAUAGUAAAAAAAGAAAAAAGAAACAAUGAUAAAAUAAAAUUAUUAAAGACAAUAAUGCAAAUGAUAAUACAACAGUGAAAUAAAAUAAAAGUGAAGUAAAAGGAUAUUUACAGGUAGUUGCGACUGUGGCUCACAUCUUCCUCUAGUUUUACGUCCAGAAACGGCUUAAAUGCCCUCUAUGGGUUGAUAUAUGCUUCCCAUCCAGUUUUCUUAUAAACUGGCAAACAGGGUUGUUUAUAUUCAGAUUCCGGAGACUAUAUCGUGCAUGCUCUUUCUGGAAUAAUGGCCAUAACUGGAGAAUUACUCCUUGCACAUAUUCACUGGGAUGCGUUUCAAGAGACAAAAGGAUAUCAUCCAAUGACUCCUUAUUCAAGCCAUCCCUAAUGAAUUGAAUCUUAUCUUCUCUAUUAUCAGACACCAUUCCUAAAGAACAUGGGUUUUUAUUGCAUCUCAUUCUAGCACACUUAUGACAAGCAACAGAAAUCCUUCGAGCUCUUCGUUUUCUUGCAUAAUUUCCUUUACCACAACCAGGCAUGUAUGCAAUAAAUUUUGGAGGUAACUCACUUGCCAAUCGUACUUUAGCCUCGAUUAACCAAUGGAUGUUAGUAGGUAUGUUAUUUCUCAUGAGCAAUCGUAUGCAUUCAUACCGAGCUUUAAAGAUUGUAUAGACGGCAAUCUGAGGAAGUGAAGGGAAUCGAUUGUGAAGCUUUUCUAGAAUCUUAUUUCUGUCCAUACCUUCACCUUAGAAUAUCAGUUAUUAUGGGAAACUGAAGUAACCGACUUGAUUGUCACGGAGUACCGUUAUCUGCCACUUCACCGGGGUAACAAACUAAAGCACACAAAUAAAAAAACAAAUUAAAACACACAAAGAAAAUUAAAAUCGUCCUCUUAUUGAAUUUACCUCAAACUCCAACUGGAUGUUGUAGACACUUCUCUCAAUGUCUCUGAGUUGACUUUCUAAAUCUUCAACAUAGGAUACUAACUCUAGUGGUUGCAGAGCCCAAAUACGAUGUGUUUUACAAAAUCGAAUCUGUCUUUUGAGAUGAGAUUUUACACAUUGAAGUGGUUUAAGAAUGUUCGGGAGGAACUGUUUAUCUAUGGUACUCAUGAUUAAUAAUGAUAGGAGAGAACUUAAUGGUUAAACAAACACACUUAUGCAAAAAUAAUUUCAAUUAGCAAAAGAAUAAUAAAAAGAAAGAAAAAAAAUCAAACCAUCAAAAGAAAGAAAAAAAACUCAAUUCAAAUCUGGUGGGUUACUCAAAUUUAUUUCGGUGUCUUCUCCAUGUGGUUGGUACUCUAGAUAUGGUUUUAAUAUUUGACCAUUAACUUUAAACGUGACACCAUUCUUUGGGUCCUUAAUUUCAAUUGCCCUAUGUGGAAAAACAGUAUGAACAAUAAAGGGACCAGACCAUCGAGAGCGUAACUUACCUGGGAAUAAGUGCAAGCGAGAAUUGAAUAAAAGCACUUUCUGACCUGGAGUGAACGAUUUUCUCAUAAUUUGCUUGUCAUGAAAGACUUUCAUUCAUUGCUUGUAAAUCUUGGCAUUUUCGUAUGCAUCAUUGCGAAUUUCUUCAAGUUCUGCCAGCUGUAAUAUUCUUUCUGAGCUGGCUUGCUGCAUGUCAAAGUUGAAUUUCUUGAUGGCCCAAUAUGCACGAUGCUCGAGUUCUACAGGUAGGUGGCAAGCUUUUCCAUACACUAGCCUGUAGGGUGACAUCUCAAUCGGAGUCUUGAAAGCCGUUCUAUAUGCCCAUAAUGCAUCAUCAAGUCUUAAUGACCAAUCUUUUCUGUCCGGCUUCACCGUCUUUUCUAAUAUGUGCUUGAUUACUCGAUUGAAGAUCUCAACUUGGCCACUGGUUUGCGGAUGAUAUGGGGUCACCACUUUGUGAGUGAUGGAAUACUUUGUCAAAAGAGCUUUGAAUGCUUUGUUACAAAAGUGGACACCACCAUCACUGAUUAUUGCUCGAGGGAAUCCAAAGUGCGAAACAAUGUUGCUUUUCAAAAAUCCUAUCACCACCUUAUGAUCAUUGGUUCUGCAUGGAAUUGCUUCUACCCAUUUCGAUACGUAGUCAAUAGCAACCAAUAUGUAUUGAUGGCCAAAAGAAUGGGGAAAGGGUCCCAUGAAGUCGAUACCCCAUACAUCAAAAAUCUCAACCACUAAAAUUGAAUUUAGUGGCAUCAUAUUCCUUCGUGUAAUGCUCCCCAUUCGUUGACACCUAUCACAUGAAGAACAGAAAAUGUAAGUGUCUCGAAAUAUAGUUGGCCAAUAGAAAUCACAUUGUAAAACUUUAGUCGUUGUUUUCUUAGCACUGAAAUGACCUCCACAAGCUUGUUCAUGGCAGAAUGAAAGAAUAUUCUGAAUUUCAUUUUCUAGGACACAUCGUCUAACAAUUUGAUAUGCACAAUACUUGAACAAAUAAAGGUCAUCUAAAAAGAAAUUCUUUAUUUCUGCAAAAAAUUUGGCUUUGUUUUCCUUGGUCCAAUGAUAUGGAAGUUGACCUGUAACAAGAUAAUUCACGAUGUCAGCAUACCAUUGUAAUACUUCCACACUCAUCAAUUGUUCAUCUGGAAAUGACUCAUUCAAUGUUAAUGGUUCUAUAAUUGUGUCAAAAUAGAGACGAGAGAGAUGGUCAGCCACAACAUUCUCUAUGCCUUUCUUAUCUUUAAAUUCCAAGUCGAAUUCCUGCAAAAGUAACACCCAAUGAAUUAGUCUAACUUUUGCAUAUUUUUUUGUGAGAAGAUAUUUAAGAGUAGCAUGAUCUGUGAACACAAUUAUUUUACAACCAAUGAGAUAAGAUCGAAAUUUUUCUAAUGCAAACACUACUGCUAACAUUUCUUUUUCAGUAAUUGAAUAGUUCAACUGUGCAUCAUUCAAUGUCAUACUAGCAUAGUAAAUAACAUGGGGAAUUCGAUCAACUCUUUAUCCUAAAACUGCUCCUACUGCAUAAUCAGAUGCAUCACACAUGAGCUCAAAUGGUAAGCUCCAAUUUGGGGGCUGAAUGAUGGGUGAUGAUGUCAACAACUGCUUUAAUUUUUCAAAUACCACAAGACAUGAAUUAUUAAAGAUAAAAGGUACAUCCUUAGCAAGUAGAUUGCAUAAGGGUCUAGAAACUUUGCUAAAAUCUUUAAUAAAACGUCUAUAAAAACCAGCAUGCCCAAGGGAAGAUCUUACUUCUCUGACUGUUUUCGGUGGAGGAAGAUUGGAAAUGAGAUCCACCUUGACUUUGUCAACCUCAAUACCUUUGCUCGAAAUGAUGUGACCGAGAACAAUACCUUGUUUUACCAUAAAAUGACACUUCUCCCAAUUUAAGACUAAGUUCUUCUCGAUACAUCUCUGCAGAACUAAUGUUAGAUGAUGUAAACAUUGAUCAAAUGAAUCACCAGAGACAGAAAAUUCAUCUAUAAAGACUUUAAGGAAUCGUCCAACCAUAUCAGAAAAAAUGCUCAACAUGCAUCGUUGAAAUGUAGCAGGUGCAUUACAUAAUCCAAAUGGCAUCCUCCUAUAUGCAAAAGUGCCAAAAGGGCAAGUGAAAAUAGUUUUCUCUUGAUCUUUUGGUGCUAUGGGAAUCUGAUUAUAUCUUGAGUAACCAUCUAGAAAGCAAUAAAAUUCAUGGCCUGACCAUCUAGAAAGCAAUAAAAUUCAUGGCCUGCUAAUCUAUCAAGCAUUUGAUCGAUAAAUGGUAAAGGAAAAUGGUCUUUACGUGUGAUAGAAUUCAACUUUCUAUAAUCAAUGCAUACAUGUCAUCUUGUAGUCACUCUAGUGGGUAUCAAUUCAUUAUCGGCAUUCGUAACUACUAUGACUCCUGACUUUUUGGGGACAACUUGUACAUGACUGACCCAUGAACUAUCAGAAAUAAGGUAAAUGAUACAUGCAUCUAAUAGCUUAAGACUUCAGUUCUAACAACUUCUUUCAUGUUAGGAUUUAACCGACAUUGCAUUUUCCUAGUAGGUUUAGCAUUUUCAUCAAGGUGAAUGUAAUGCAUGCAGUCUACUGGGUUUAUACCUCUUAUGUCCGCUAUGGUCUAUCCUAAUACUGCUUUGUGCUCUUUUAAGACAUCCAACAACUUACCUUUUUGUUCGUCAUUUAGGGAUGAUGAGAUGAUUACCAGCAGAGUACUUUCUUCUCCCAAAAAUGCAUAUUCCAGAGUGUUGGGCAAUGGUUUGAGCUCGAGUUUCGGUAGUGAUUCUAAUGAUGGGAUGAGUUUCUUCUCUGAUGGUGUGAGUUGUUCAACUCUUGACUUCCAUUUAUUAGUGUCCAUGGAUGGUGCUGAGUCAAGUAGGGCGUUGACCUCAUUGACUGAUAUGUCAAUAUCAAAAUCCAAAUCAAAGUGAGUUAAACAUAUUUGUAAAGGAUCAUCACUAAGGUUUGAAAAAAAAGUAUUAUCAACUAUUGUUUCUAUUAAAUCCACAUCAACAAUUCCAUCAUCUGCAUUGUGAGGUUGUUUGGCAAUGUUGAAGAUGUUUAGCUCCAUAGUCAUGUUGCCAAAGGACAACUGCAUAUUUCCAGUUCUGCAUUGAAUGUGAGCAUCCGCAGUUGCCAAGAAAGGUCGGCCUAGAAUAAUGAGGAUGUGCUUCCUUGAAUCCUGUAUUGGUUGAGUGUCAAUUACAAUGAAAUCAAUAAGAAAAUAAAAUUUGUCUACCUGGAUAAGCACGUCCUCCACAAUACCACGAGGUAUUUUUAUGGACAGAUCUGUAACUUGUAACACCACUGGAGUUGGGUGUAAUUCUCCCAGUCCAAGUUUUACGAAUACAGAGUAAGGCAACAAAUUUACACUAGCUCCUAAAUCCAACAAAGCAUUCUCAAUUGUGUGGUUCCCUAUACUACAUGAGAUAGUGGGGGAGCCUGGGUCUUUGCAUUUUAGAGGAAUUUUAUGUUUGAGGAUAGAACUAACGUUUUCUGUUAAAAAUGUCUUCUUUUGAACAUGAAUAUUUCUAUUUUUAGUAUAAAGGUCUUUAAGAAACUUGGCAUAAGAUGGAAAUUGCUUUAUAGCAUUAAGUAAAGGGAUGUUAACACUUAUCUGUUUGAAGAUUUCAAGAAUCUCACCUGUGGAUUUUCCCUUCUUUCCUUUAGCUAACCUCUGAGGAAAUGGAGCUUUGGGAACAUAUUCUCGUGAGUUGGUUUCUUCUUUCUCUUCUGAUGGUGAGUCCUCAACAUUCACAGGUAUAAUUUGAUUUUCUUUUGUCAUCGUCAUCUCCACUUUGUUGUCUACUUCUUUUCCUUUUCGCAAGGUCAUGACUGCUUUGACCUCUCCAUACUGCUGUGGCGAACUGGUACUUGCUUCAUGUACUCCUUUAGGAUUAGACACUGGUUGACUUGGAAAUUUACCUUUUUUAACAGUCAUUGCCAAGGUUUUAACAGUCAUUGCCAAGGUCUAAACUGAAGAAGCAAGCUGUCCUACCAUCUUCUCGAGGCUUGAAACUGAUUGGGCUUAUGAGUUGAAGCCUGCUCUCAUCUCAUUUCGUAGUCCAUCAAUGGUGCGGUUCUGUUGCUCAAUCGUAGAGUGAGUAACAUUCUUGAGAUUCUAGAAUGAAUCAUCCCAUGGCCUAGGUUGAGAGUAGUUCUGGUUCUGAUUGUAUGGUCUAAAUGGUGGCUGAGAGGCUUGAGGAAUUGGUUGCAUUGGUGGAGCUGGAGCUACUAGUCCAUUCUGUUGGAAUCCUUGAGACCAUGAAAAAUUAGGGUGGUCUCUCCAUCCAGGGUUAAAUGUGUUGGAUUAUAAGUUGUAAUUUGAUGGUUUUCUCAUUACACCUAUGGCAUUGGCUUGAUCUGGAUAUGAGUCAGGGUCAUGUGGUUCUGUUGAUUUAGCAGUCAUUAACGAUGCUAUUUGUCGAUAAAGACCUUCAACUUCUUUGAUUCCCGAAGUUGACUCGCCAAUGUGAACCUCAUUCACUCCUUUAAUUCUUUUAGUAUUCAUGAGUGAUCGACUUUGUUGUUGGGAAUUAUCCGCUUGUCGCUGGAAGAAUUCCCAAAUCUCUGAUGCACUUUUUGACAUUAGCUCUCCUCCACUUGUUGCCAUUAGCCAUUCCCAAAUCUCUGAUGCACUUUUUGACAUUAGCUCUCCUCCACUUGUUGCCAUUAGCCAUUCCUGCACAUUCAGCAAUAAUCCCUCCAAAAACUAUUGGCAUUGGUGCCAUUUCUCGUACCCAUGAUGUGGACACUUCAAGAGUAGCCCAUUGAAUCGCUCAUAUGUUUCGAAAAACUGCUCGUCUUCUCUCUGGAUAAACUUUGAAAUUUCCCUGCGAAUAGCAUUGGUUUUAUGCACUGGAAAAUAUUUAUUCAAAAAUUUCGUUACCAUUUGUUCCCAUGAUAUAAUGCUAUUAGCAGGCAAUGUAUUAAGCCAUGAACGAGCUCGAUCCUUUAAAGAAAAUGAGAAUAAUCUAAGUUUAACAUCAUCAUUUAAAAAAUUCUCAUAUUUAAAUGUUUGACACACAGCAUCAAAAUCAUUCAAAUGAUUAUAUGGGUCCUCGUUUUCUAGGCCAUAGAAUGUUGGGAGACAAUUUAGCACACUAGGUUUUAAUUCAAAACUCCUAGUAGCUACAUUUGGGUAUCUAAUACAUGAUGUGCUCAAAUUAGCUAAGGGACUAAAGUAGUCCUUAAAUGGCCUCUCCUGUGGUGCUGCUUGUUGUUGCAAAUCCAUUUUAUUUUUAACGUGUUUGUGUGUGCGCAGUGUUUUUUCUAAUUCAAGGUCUAUAGGCUCAAGAUUAUGUAAUAAUGACCUUCGACCAUACAUGCAAAGAACAAAAAAAAAUAAAAAAAAUAAAUAAAUGGGAACAAAAGAAAUAAAAAUAAAGAAGGAGAAAUUACGAUACUAAUCUUAUCACGUUGUUACAACCUUUCUAAAAAAACCACACUAAAACAAAUACGUGAAAUAAAUUAACUAAAAAUAAAUUAAUAAAAUAAAAUAAAAAAAUACAAAGAAAAAUAAAUUGAAAAUUAAAUUACAGAAUUUUAAAGAAAAGAAAAAAAUUCUUACCUCAAAAUGUAAAUUCACUUUUUUUUUUUAUUUCUUUUUUUUAAUAAGAGAAAAAAAUACAAGAAAACAAAUAAAAGAAAUUAUUCACAAAAAUUAAUUCUACGAAUUAAAAUAACUUACCUCCCCGGCAACGGCGCCAAAAACUUGUUGUGCAAAUUUUAUUAAACUCGCAAGUGCACGAAUCUAUUGUAGAAUAGAUUAAUGGUGACGAGUGUCGAUCCCAUGAGGAGGUGGAUUUUAAUUAUAUGUAGAAUUAAUUUUGUGUGAGGGUGGUUGGAUUUGUGAUGAAAGUGACUUAGAUUAUCUUAAAAUUGGAAUUGAAAUGGUGAGUAUAAAUUGAAGAGAAAUCUAUUGAAAUGAAACACUUGGGUAUCUGGAUCCGUAUAAACAUGCACCAUGGGCUAAAUAUUCCUUAUUAGUGCCAAUUAAAUCAUGAGGGGGAAAUCCACACCUCAUGAACCACACUCUAAUCAAUAUGGUGCUAAGGGCUUAUUGUCCCAAAUAAUAAUAACCUUGUACUAGGGAGCCGGUGAAAUCAGGGCGGUAUCUAGACAAGAUUAUUAUUAUUUGUCGACGAGAAGUCAAAACAUCCACAAAAACUAGAGGGGAAGAGAAAAUAAAUUUACCAAAUAAAGCUCAUGACACAUGUUGAGACUUCACCUUCAACCCAAGCUUGAAAGAAAAUUAGCUACUCAUAAUUAAACUAGGGGUAAAAUGGGAAUUUAUUAAAAUACAUAGAAAAUACAAGAUGGAUAAGGAAUUAUAGAAAAUGGAGUCCAAAAAUGGAUUCAGAGAUAUCAAAUUAGGGGGGGGGAGAGCCCCCUUUUUAUAGAUACAUUGAGUAAAUCAUGGCCAUCGGAUUAAAAACAUUUCGGACGCUCAGGAUUGAGCCACGUCAUCAGUCAACAGUACGCGGUUUGAACAGUAAUACGGUUUGACCCGGCUUGAACAGUGAUGCGGUUUGGUUGAAAAUAAUCUUGUGUAAUGCAUGUACUGUACGCGAGAUUUUUGGUCCACUGAUAUGCUGCCACGUCAUCGAUCAACAGUACAUAAGAAUUUGAGUCCAACAGGAUCGUGACAUCUCAUCAGUCAGUGCCACAUCAUCGGUCAAUGCCACGUCAUCGAUCCGUCUAUGUGAACAAUGUCGUGAAUAGUAACAUAGACAGAACCGUACAUGUGAAUAGUACCAUACAUGUGAACAGUGCCAUUUUUCCUUUUAUGCUCCUCCUAAGGUUUUCGAUCGUCCUGAGUUCAAAAGUGAUGUCCGUUUUACCGUUUGAUCUCUCGUUCAUUGUGAAAUGACUAUGAUGCCCCUAAAAUACAUAAAAUACUUAAUUAAAAUAAAACACAUGUAAUUAAAUCACAAGAAGGUUAAAUACAUAAAAGUAAGGGUGUUAAUAAAACUUGAAGUGUAAAAUGACGAUUUUCUCCUUUAUAAAUAUACAUUUUCUAACACUCAACAGGCAUAAGCCUAGAUUUCAGAAAUUUCACCCACACCUUAGCAAUGGGUUUUAAAUCUAUCCUGUUAAUUACAUGCCCUUCCUCAUUAGCCCACGAUGCAUCCUCUGCUGUAAGUGUCGUGAAAAUUGUGUUCCAUCUUUGCGGGGUCAAUUUGUCAAGCAACUUGGCAUACUCACAAUUAAUUUCAGCGGUAAAUUAUAAAAAGUAUUUAUAACUCGAGAGUCUAAUGGAACAAGUGAGUUUCUUACCCAAAUGUUAUGCUGACCAGGGCUUACCAAAUUGGCGUAAAAUUCUUUUACUACUGGCAGCACAGGAUCUCGAGGGUGGUUGCAAAAUUCUAGCCACCCACGCUUUGCUGUAGCAUUGUGUACUGUUUGCACAAUUCCUGUUGGUUGAGGUGGGAAUUAAAACCCUUUUUCUUCCGGAAUCUUGCGUGCUUCAAUGAAUUCUUCAUAUUUUUCUUCCUCGUGGUAACUUUGGAAGCGUGAAGGAUCUUUGAGUCGGUUGGCUGUUCUUUUAUACCUUGGCAUUGCUAUAGCAGUAAGAAUUUGAUGGUAAUAUGCCUGAGAGUAAAAUGAGAAGAAGUUAAGAAUUAUUGGAGUCGUGAUUGUGAAGGAGAGGGGAAAUAGUGUCGUAGGUCACUGAGCACAGUAACUCCCUUUUAUAGUUGAAUUUAAAUAAAAAUAAAUCCGGUAAAGAGAGAUAAAUUAGGAAAGAAUAUACUUUAAAUUCAUUAAGCAUAUCCCACAAAAAUAGCGAAGAGAAAUUAGUGCAUUAAUUUCGAAGAUUUUUCUUCCUCAAUUUCUAUCCAAAUCCAUUCAUCCAUCUGUCAUAUUUUAUCUCCAAUGGUAAGUGAGAGGCUCCAUCUUUAAGUUACUGUAACGGUAAUAUUGGUUGCUGCAGCACCUAAUUGUUUGCUCUAGCAACGAUUACAUACUCUUCUCCAAUAGCUGCUGACACGUGGCUUGCCUCUGUACUCUGUCAACAAUACAACCCUAAUUGUCAGUAUGGAAUGCAUUUGUCACACAUAUUUCCCUCGAGAAAUUUAAAAAUAAAUAAAACCAAUCCUAAGAAAUUAAAAAUAAAGACAUAAAACGACAACAAAAAUAAAGGUUCAAUAUCCGAAAUAAUGAAAAUAAAAAUAAAUAACCAUAAGUGAAUAACAAAAUUAAAAUGAAAUAAAAGGAAGAGUCUUCAACAAAACCAAAGAGGGUCAAACUUAGUUGAAGUGAUUGCCCCCGCAAUGGGUUGCCUCCUAUUGAGCGCUUGAUUUAAGGUCCUUCAGCCUGACCUUCUUUGACUGCUCAAUAGCUUGGUUCUUUAAGGAGUAAGACCUCCUUUGAACAAUCUGUAGCUGGGUGUAUGUAAUGCUUAACUUUGUGCCCAUUGACUUUAAAUUCUUGGCCUGUCUUUUCAUCUAGGAGAUCAACAGCUACAUGAGGAUAAAUUCUGAGCAGCUUGAAAGGUCCAGACCAUCGAGAUUUUAGUUUUCCUGGAAAUAGUCUUAACCUUGUAUUAUGGAGCAACACUAGUUGACCAGGGCUUAAUUUCCUGUGUUGGAUAUGCUUGUCAUGCCAGUGUUUUGUCCUAUCUUUAUAGAUCCUUGCAUUUUCGUAUGAGAACAGCCAUAAUUCAUCAAGCUCACAUAGUUGAAGCUUCCUUUGCUCUGCUGCAGCAUGUAUAUCCCAAUUUAAUUGCUUCAGUGCUCAGUAUGUUUUAUGCUCUAGCUCAAGUGCCAAGUGACAAGCCUUCCCAUAAACAAUUCGGUAGGGAGACAUGGCAAGUGGUGUUUUAUAUGCUGUUCUGUAGGCCCAUAGGGAGUCAUGUAAACGCAAGGACCAAUCCUUCCUUGAUGGGUUCACCACUUUUUCUAAGAUCUUCUUAAUCUCUCUAUUGGACACUUCUGCAUGGUCAUUGGAUUAUGGGUGAUAUACUGUUGUUACUUUAUGCCUGACUCCAUACGUUACCAUAGCUACAACAAAUACUUUGUUGCAAAAAUGAGUACCAUAAUCACUAAUAAUUGCUCUUGUAGUGUCAAACCUGGAAAACAUAUUUUUCUGAAGAACGUCCACCACUGCUUUAGCAUCAUUGGUAGGUAAUGUUGCAGCUUCUACCCAUUUGGAGACAUAAUCCAUAGUAACCAGGAUAUAUAAGUUCCCAAAGGAUGGUGGAAAAGGACCCAUGAAAUCUAUUCCCCAUACAUAAAAAACUUCCACUUCCAGAAUAUUUGUCAAUGGUAUUUCAUGUCUUUGAGUUAUGUUCCUUGCCCUUUGACACCUGUCACAACAUUUAGCAAAUUCAUAAGCAUCUUUAAAAAUAGAAGGCCUGUCACAACAUGCAGCAUCUGUGCUUAUUGUACUACUAACAGUUGUUCAUCAGGAAAAGUUUUAGUGAUGUCCUUUCUUAUCAAUGUGCUUGUGUUUGCUCCAACCUCGACAGGUGGUCUGCUACUUGAUUCUCAGUCUCCUUUCUAUCUUUAAUUUCCAGAUCAAACUCCUGAAGCAAUAAGAUCCAUCUUAUUAAUCUUGGUUUAGCAUCCUUCUUUGAGAUUAAGUACUUGAUGGCUUCAUGGUCUGUGUACACUGUCACUUUAGUACCCACCAAGUAAGCUCUGAAUUCAUCAAAAGCAAAUACUACUGCUAGCAACUCUUUCUCUGUAUUGGUGUAAUUAAUUUAAGUUUGAGUAAGAGUUUUGCUUGCAUAGUAUAUAGAGUGAAAAAUCUUAUCAUUUCUCUGCUCUAACACUGCUCCAACAGAAUGGUCACUGGCAUCACACAUCAGUUCAAAUGGUAGAGUCCAAUCUGGUGAUAUAACCACUGGUGCAGUGAUCAAAGCUUUCUUUAACUCUCCAAAGGCUUGAAGACAAUCUUUAUCAAAAUGAAAAGGCUUAUCAUGUUCCAGCAAUGAGCAUAAUGGUUUAGCUACCUUGGAAAAGUCCUUAAUGAAUUUUCUGUAAAAUCCAGCAUGACCCAAAAAACUCCUAAUACCCUUGAUUGAAGUGGGAGGUGGCAGUUUAUCUAUUACUUCUAUCUUUGCUUUAUCUACCUCAAUGCCAUUUUUGGACACCUUAUGACCCAACACUAUACCGUCUUGCACUAUGAAAUGGCAUUUUUCCUAAUUAAGUACUAAGUUAGUCAUCUCACAUAUUUUAAUAACUUCUUCUAAGUUGUGUAAAGAAUCAUUAUAUGUCUCUCCAAAAACUGAGAAGUCAUCCAUGAAGACUUUUAAUGUUUACUCCACCAUAUCAGAAAAAAUAGACAUCAUUUAUCUCUGAAAAGUUGCGGAACCAUUGCACAGACCAAAGGGCAUUCUUUUGAAGGCAAAAGUUCCAUAAGGAUAGGUAAAUGUAGUAUUUUCCUGAUCCUCUGGAGUUAUAGCAAUUUAGUUGUAACCUGAAUACCCAUCUAGGAAACAAUAAUAUUAUUUUCCAGUAAGUUUAUCUAACAUUUUAUCUAUGUAUGGGAGUGGGAAGUGAUCCUUACUUGUGGCUUUGUUGAGAUUCCUGUAAUCCAUAUAUACUCUCCAUCCGGUCACUGUCCUUGUAGGAAUAAGUUCAUUCUUCUCAUUUGCUAUCAAUGUUAUUCCUCCCUUCUUUGGAACACAUUGGACUGGGCUCACCUACAAGCUGCCUGAUAUCAGGUAUAUGAUUCCAGCAUCCAAACAUUUGAUGAUUUCCUUCUUCAUCACUUCCUUUGUAAUAGGGUUUAACCUUCUCUGUUGCUCCACUGAAUUGCUGUAACAGUCUUCUAACAGAAUUUUAUGCAUGCAUAUGGAUGAGCUUAUCCUUUUGAUGUCUGCCAUGGUCCAUCCAAUUGCUCUUCUGUAUUUUCCAAGCACAUCUACUAGGCUCUGUUCUUGACCUGCAUCUAAAGUAGAGGAAAUGAUUACAGGGAGUGUGUUGUUUUGACCAAGAUAAGCAUAUUUCAAAUGUGAGGGUAAAAAUUUUAAUUCAAGACUAGGAGGUGAUUCAAUAGAUGGUAAAUUUGUUUUUACUUCCCUGUCUGAAAGAUUCAGAUGCUCAAUAAAUCUGUUAUGUCUAUCAGAUUACUUUCCUUCCAUCCAAUCUAUCUGAUUUACUGCAACAUUUUCUUCUUCAAAGCCUUCAAAGGUGGUAACUUUAAUGAUCUCAUUACUGCAGCAUCUGUCAAUUCUAUCUGCUACAACAAAAUCCACAACACUUAGGAAAUUGCAACAUUCUACCUCAUCAGGGUUCUUCAUAGCCUCUAAUACAUUAAAUGUGACUUGCUGAUCAUUCACUCUCAUUGUUAGGUCUCCUUUUUGCACAUCUAUUAGAGUCUUCCCAGUUGCUAGAAAAGGUCUUCCAAGUAUAAUAAGUACCUCUUUAUCAACCUCAAAGUCUAGUACAAUGAAGUCCACUGGAAAUAUGAAUUUUUCAACCUUCACCAGUACAUCCUUAAUUUUUCCUUCAGGAUAUGCAUGAGAUCUGCCAGCCAAUUGCGGAGUGACUGUUGUUGGCCUGUAUUCCCCUGCUCCCUACUGCUUAAAUACAGAUAAUGGUAUCAGAUAAAUACUGGCUCCCAAAUCAUAAAGUACUCUGCCAUUGUAAAGCUUCCUGGAUCCUUCAAUUUUUUAGGAAUCUUACUUUGGAGCAUAUGACUGCUUUCUUGUGUUAAAGCAACAGUUUCAAAUUCUCCCAACUUUCUUUUUCUUGCUAAGAUGUCUUUUAGAAAUUUCACAUAAUCAGUCAUUUGCUCUAAAGCUUCCACAAAAAGUAUGUUGAUGUGUAAUUACUUCAGCACUUCCAUGAAAUUGUUAACUACUUGUCUUGUCUUCUCUUCUGAAAUCUCUGUGGAAAAGGAGGUGGGUGCCUAAACUGUUGGGUAGCCUCAGGAGGUACCAAACUCUGUUCGUUUGGUCUGUUAUAGGUUGUUACCACUGGUGUUACGACUUCUUUUUCAGCAUGUACUUGUUGAUUUCCUUCCAUUGUUGUUGCAGCUUAACCCCUAACACCAGUGUCUUGAUGGUUGGGUUGUUGUAACAUACUUUCAUAGGUGGUUUUUGUGAGGAAUUAAGUUUCAGCCCCUUUUUAGUCAUAUUAACAGGGAUAUCAACAUUUUUUCCAAAUCUUAAGUUGGUUACUUUGUAGUGUUCAUUUCCAUCUCUUCUUGGAUCUUCUGUGUUUAUGGGUAAAGCUUCUUUGAGUUUUGCUACUCAUUGCUGUGGCAAGUUGUCCCAUUUGGUUCUCUAAGUUUCUCAAGGAUACAGCUUGACUCUGCACAAUUGCUUCAUUCUUUGCAAUGUAUUCGUUAAUUAGUGCUUCCAAUGAAGUGAUUGGAUCUUGACUGGUGUGUUUUUGCCCUUGACACUGCUGAUGAAAAAUAAGUGGUUGAGUGUUCCGAUUCUGCCCAUUCAAUGCUGGAGCAUUUCGAUUUUGACUGCUCUAUAAGACAUUUGGGUGUUGCUUCCAUCCAGGGUUGUAAGUGUUUGAAUAUGUGUUGUUUUGAAGCUGUCGGUUAAAAUUACCCACAUAGUUCACUGAUGCUGGAUUUCCAGGAUAGUUAUCGAAGUCAUGUUCUUCACCACAGUAUACACAAGACAGUUCAGCAACUUACUUUACUACUGCUGGAGCAUAUGUCAUGGCUUUUACCAUGUUAGUCAAUGAGGUUACUUGUGCUGAUAAAGUUGUAAUUGCAUCUAUAUUAUGUACCCCUGCUUCUCCUCUUGUUGUUGGCAUUCUAGUUGAUGGCCAUUGAUAAUUAUUGUUGGCAAUUCUCUCCAAAAUUUCAUAAGCUUCAGUGUAAGAUUUAGAUAACAAAGCUCCAUUUGCUGAAGCAUUCACCAUCAAUCUCGUACUAGGAUUCAACCCAUUAUAGAAAGUCUCUAAUUGUAUGCAACAAGGAAUGCCAUGAUAAGGACACCUUCUGAGCAGUUCUUUGAAUCUUUCCCAAGUCUCAUACAAACUCUCAUUUUCAAGUUGAUGGAAAGAAGUAAUCUCAUUCCGCAAUUUUGUAUUUUUUGUCAGUGGGAAAUACUUCAUUAAGAAUUUAUCAGCCAACUCAUUCCAUGUAGUGAUGGAAUUAGAUGGUAAUGAGUUUUACCAUGCUCUUGCUCGAUCUUUUAAGGAGUAAGGAAAAAGCCUUAGUCUUAAAGCAUCUUGUGUUGCUCCAGCAAUUUUAAAAGUAUCACUCACUUCUAAAAACAACUUAAAAUGGAGGUGAGGAUCUUCAUUUGGCAGUCCAUUAAAUUGACCCAUUGUUUGCAACAUUUGAAACAUUACUGGCUUACGUUCAAAGUUUACGGCUUCCACUUCAGGUCUGAUUAUCUCAGGGUGUACAACUUGAGGAGUAACACAUCAUAAUCUCUAAUAGCUCUGUCCCUGUCAUUUGCCAUGUAAAUAAUAUUGUUGUUGCCUGGCUGUCUUUGGUUAGCAUGCUCAUUCUGCUCUUCUUGAAUGUUGACAGGUUGUAAUGGCCCGUGACGGUCCAAAUUUCUCACAUCCUGCAAAUUAUCCAUGUCUGAAAUAAUUUUUGAAUUCUUUUGUUCUCUUCGCAGUCUUCUUACAGUCAUUUCAAUCUCAAGAUAAAAUUGGAAUACAACAGAUCUAUCUUUGUGCAUGCAAGUGUUAAUCUAUCAAUAAAUAGCACAAGUCAAAUCAAAUUGGCACUAUCAAGACUUACUUCACACUUCGAAAAUAAACAAUUAAUCCCCGGCAACGGUGCCAAAAACUUGUUAGUAAAUUUUUUAAUCAAAUGCUAUUGAGGCCAAUGUGCAAGUGUACACAACAAGUAAUAAAAUGAUGAAUAUUCAAGAUCGUCUCCACAGGGAUUGAUGUUACUAGAAAUGCUACAUCAAUCACAAUAGUGUAAUAUACCUUUAUUCCGAGAUGAACAAAUGUAAAGUUGGUUACUAUUGAAAUUGAUAAUUGUGAGAGAAUAAAAUAAAACAAUGCAGUGAUAAAAUAAAUUAAAUAAAAUGCGUCGAAGAAUCAAAUGAGAACAAAGUAGUUGAAUGAUCAAACUCUCUUUAUGGGCUGACUGCUUUUCAUCAAGUUAACACCAGUUGCUACAGCAAUUUUUAUAGCACUAGGCAGAAUUAUUUUGCAUCCUCAGCUGUCGCAUAUUGGAAUUCUCACACCCUUAAUUAUUUUAGCAAUGACCAGUUGCUAUUCUACCUACAGCAUGGCACUAUGAACAUCCAUUCUCUCCACCCUACAAGGUGAGUACCUAUGUCUAGUUUAUCACAAACCUUAACUUAAAGUAUGGCUCUUAUGGGAUUCAAGAUAAACUUAAUGCAAGAAACUUAAAUUAUGAUCAAGUAUUACUCUAAUAAUAUCCACUAAGACAUGCCCUUUUGCGGCUCUAUUUUAACUUGAACCAUUAAAUGGGUGGUCAACUGAAAUAACAUUUAUAAUAAUAGCUAUUAAAGUAAAAUGCUACAGUAAUUAUAUAGCAACUCAUAAGAACAGCCAAGAACCCAUUAGAUUGUUUGUCACUCAACUACAAGCAAGUUUAGUUCAUAUUCUAAAAGAGAAAAACAAACAGCAACAUAUUGGUCACGAAAUACAUUAGUUCAGUCAAAGAGUGAAGAAAGGUAUAAGUCAAGAACGGCAAAAAGUGAAUCCAAAUAACUCUGCUGUAUUCUUCAAUAAUGCUGCAUCCGUUCCCUUGAAUUCUGAUUUUCUUCUUCUUUUUCUCUCCAAUUUGCCCAAGGAUAAUUCCUUGCCGCUGUUUUAUGUGAUGCACGCCUCUUUUUAUAAUUGAAAACUAGGUAAACAAAAGUCUCGGGCGUACAUGAGUCAAAUUAGGAAACUGCAGAUCGCAAUUCUGCAGCUAAUCCGCACUAAGUGUUCUCCCUCGGUGCUCCAGGAUUGCUACAGCAAUGGUCACUCCAGCAACGGCUAUAACAUUGUAUUGUUCCCGGUUGUGUAUCACUUCUUUUGCGGCCAUAUUCUUUCUUCUUCUUGCUAGCCUAAUAUCUCAGCAUCCCUUCAUGGAUUAUAAACUUCUGAAAACCUAUAAUUAUGCACAUGUUUGGAGUACAAAUUACUUUAAAUCAAGCAAAAAUUAUUAAGACUAAACAAAAAUGGAUGUUUAUGCAAAAAAUAACCAAAAUAUAAUAAAAACACAUCAUUUACUCUCUAAGUGAUCUUGAUUUAAGUCUAGAAUUGCCGUAAUAACUCUCAUUUUAUAAAGUUAUCAAUAUGGUUUGUAAAUUUAAAAAAUCCAUCUAUGCGCUCAAGCAAGCAUUCGACACUGGUAUUUCAAGUUUAAUCAAGUGAUCAUCUUAUUCGGUUUUGAAAUGAAUUUGGUCGAUGAUUACAUAUGCCAUAAGUUUUGUGCAAGUAUAUUUUUUUAGUUUUAUGUGUCGAUAACAUUUUGCUUGCCAGCAGUGAUUUAGGAUUAUUGCACGAAACCUAAAGAUUUCUAACUAAGAACUUUGAUAUGAAAGAUCUUAGUGAUGCAUCUUUUGUAUUAGGCAUACAGAUACAUCAGAAUUGCUCUGGAGGUAUUCUUGGAUUAUCACAAAAGAGGUAUAUCAAAACGGUUCUCAAGAGAUAUGGCAUACAACUUUACAAAUCAGGUGAUACCCCUUUGGCUAAGGGAAACAAGUUUAGUUUUAAUCAGUGCUCUAAGAAUAAUUUUAAGGAAAAAAAUACAGAAGAUUCCUUAUGCGUCAACAGUAGGAAGUUUGAUAUUUGCUCAAUUUUGUACGCAACCAGAUAUUACGUACGUUACAGGGAUGUUAAGCAAAUAUCUAAGUAAUCCAAGAGUAAACCCUUGGAAAUCAGCAAAAUGGGUCUUGCGAUGUGUAUAGAGAACAAAAGACUACAUGGUCACAUAUCGGAGGUCAGAUUAGCUUGAGAUCGUUAGGUAUACUAACUUCGAUUUUUUUGGGUGCCAAGAUAGUAUGAAAUCCACUUCGAGCUACAUCUAUCUACGGGCUGGGGUGUUGUCCUGGAAGAGUGUUAAACAGUUUCUUACAACCUCUUCUACAAUGGUAGCAGAGUUCAUAACAUGUUAUGAGGCAUCCAAUCAUGAAAUAUGACUUCAGAAUUUUGUCACAGGAGUUCGUGUAGUAGUUGGUGUUGAUAGACCACUCGGAUUAUUUUGUGACAAUAAGUCAACAAUGCUUUAUUCCAAUAACAAUAAGAGAUCUACAAAGAUGAAGUAUAUAGACAUCAGGUUUCUAGUUAUUAAAGAAAGAGUUCAGAGUAAACAAUUGUCUAUUGAGCAUAUCGACACAAACUCCAUGAUUGCGAAUCUACUUACUAAAGGAUCGCAACCCAAAAUGUUUCUUGAGCAUGUUGCUCAUAUGGGUGUCAUGUCAUUAAAAGAUAUUCAAUUUUAGUGGGAGUUUAUGAUUUUAGAUGCUCUUAUAAUAUAGACAUUUUUUAGUUAUUUUAGUAUAUAGAUGUUUCAGGUUAUUUUCUGCAUAAAUAAAGUUUUGGUUUAUUCAUACUUUGAUUUUCAUUUGGUUUAAUCUCACUAAGAUUUAAAGGUGGACCAAUUGGAAAGAGGCAUGUGAAGAUCAUAAUGCAUGAAAUUUUCAUGCUACAGAUCCACAUCAUGAUCCAUGUCAUUAAAUGGUAUUGGCAUAGUGGUCAUUGAUGGGUCGAGUUACGAUAAUUAUAACAAAGGUCAUUUUGAUCCUAUAUUAGUAUGAUUGAUGGACCGAAUUGGUUGUAGAUACAUUUCAGUACUGAUAAUAAGGUUGAGCUCAUACGGUUAUUUUUUGCAAAGCAUCAUUAUAAAGUUACAUAUAGAGUCCAAGUGGGAGAUUGUUGGAUUUUUAAAUCUAGCAUUAUUCGAUUCUUAAUCCAAUGUUGGGCUUAUAUGUGAAUAAUUAUGUGUUGUAGACUAUCAUAUAAGGUUAAGCCUAAUUAAAAGUUAACUAUUAAGGUUUUCGAUAUUAUGGGUUUUAAUGUAUCUAAUAGGGUGUGGGCCUUUAAUGUAUAAAACCUAAUGAUAUUAUAAUUCUAUGAUGGACAGAAUUAGGAAUACCUAAGGACACCAGGAAAAAGUUGUCUAUAUAAGUGGUUAUGGUCCCCAAGUGAUAACUCCAUAAAAUGAGAGUUAUCAUAACAUUUCUAGACCUAAAUUAAUAUUACUUCGAGAGUUAAUGAUGAAUUUUUAUCCCAUUCUUAGUAAAUUUUGCAUGAGUAUAAUAAUUUGAUGUGUUUUAGGUCAUUUUUAGCUCUAAUUAAAUGUGAUAUUGUAGGUGACCCAAAAACUCAUGCUUUGUUGAUGAAUGUUGUAGAAGAACAACUACAUUAUUGCAACAAUGAGCUUGUAGAAAACGACAAAAGAAUUAUCUCCAUAUGAGCAAAAACAAGCCUAAGCCAGAGAAAAUGUUACAGCACAUGCUGCAACAAUCCAAGACUGAGUACAAACAAAACUGUCCAGGCUAUUCACGCGCUAUCUGACAAAUUUUGUUGCAGCCAUUACUGCACUACCACUGUCAAGUGCAACCAAAACAGUGGUAGGCGUGACAGGUGUUGAGUGUUAGAAAAUGCAUAUUUAUAAAGGAGAAAACUAUCAUUUUACAUUUUAAGUCUUACUAACAACCCUUACUUUUAUAUAUUUAACCUUCUUAUGAUUUAAUUACAUGUGUUUUAUUUUAAUUAAGUAUUUUAUGUAUUUUAGGGGCAUUAUAGUCAUUUCACAAUAAAGGAGAGAUCAGACGGCAAAACGGCCAUCACUUUUGAACUCAGGACGGUCGAAAACCUUAGGAGGAGCAUAAAAGGAAAAAUGGCACUAUUCACAUGUACGGUACUAUUCACGUUACUGUUCACGACACUGUUCACAUAGACGGAUGAUGACGUGGAAUUGACCGAUGAUGUGGCAUUGACUGAUGAGGUGUCACGAUCCUGUUGGACUAAAAUUCUUAUGUACUGUUGAUGGUGACGUGGCAGCAUAUCAGUGGACGAAAAAUCUCGCGUACGGUGCAUGCAUCACACAGGAUUAUUUUCAACCAAACUGCGUUACUGUUCAUCCGGGUCAAACCGCGUUACUGUUCAAAGUCGGGUCAAACCGUGUUACUGUUCAUCCACGUGGUCAAACCGUGGACUGUUGACUGAUGACGUGGCGCAAUCCUGAGCGUCCAAACUGUUUUUAAUCCGAUGGCCAUGAUUUACUCCAUGUAUCUAUAAAAAGGGGGCCUCUCCCCCCUAAUUUGAUAUCUCUGAAUCCAUUUUCUGUAAUUCCCUCUCCAUCUUGUAUUUUCUUCGUAUUUUAAUAAAUUUCCAUUUUGCCCCUAGUUCAACUAUGAGCGGCUAAUUUUCUUUCAAGCUUGGGUUGAAGGUGAAGUCUCAACAUGUGUCAUGAGCUUAAUUUGGUAAAUUUAUUUUCUCUUCCCCUCUAGUUUUUGUGGAUGUUUUGACUUCUCGUCGACAAAUAAUAAUAAUCUUGUCUAGAUACCGCCUUGGUUACACCGGCUCUCUAGUAUAAGGUUAUUAUUAUUUGGCACUAUAAGCCCUUAGCACCAUAUUGAUUAGAGCGUGGUUCAUGAGGUGUGGAUUCCCCCCUCAUGAUUUAAUUGGCAUUAAUACGGAUUAUUUAGCCCAUGAUGCAUGUUGAUACGGAUCCAGAUACCCAAGUACGUCAAUUUAAUCGAUUUUCUCUACAAUUUAUUCUCGCCAUUGCAAUUCCAAUUUUAGCAUAUUUUAAAUCACUUCCACCACAAUUCCAACCACCCAUUUACAAAAUUAAUUCUAUAUAUAAUUAAAAAUCCACCUCCUCGUGGGAUCGACACUCGUCACCAUUGAUCUAUACUAUAAUAGAUUCGUGCACUUGCGAGUACAUUAAAAUUUGCACAACAAGUUUUUGGCGCCGUUGCCGGGGAGGUAAGUAAUUUUAAUUCAUAGAAUUAAUUGUUUUGAAUAAUUUCUUUUAUUUGUUUUCUUGUAUUUUUUUUAUUAAAUUAAAAAAAAGAAAAAAAAAGUGAAUCUACAUUUAAAGGUUAGUAUUUCUUUUCUUUUUCUCUUCUUUAAAAUUCUGUAAUUUAAUUUUCCAUUUAUUUUUCUUUGUAAUUUUUUUUUGUUUAUCUUAUUAAUUUAAUUUUUAGUUAAUUUCUUUCACGUAUUUAUUUUUGUGUAUUUUUAUAGAAAGGUUGUAAUAGCGCAAUAAGGUUAGUAUCGUAAUUUCUCCCUCUUCUUUAUUUUUAUUUGUUUUGUUCCCAUCUUUAUUUUUUGUUUUGUUUGCAUCUUUAUUUUUAUUUUAUUUAUUUUGCAUGCAUGGUCGUAGGUCAUUAUUACCUAAUCUUGAACCUAUAGACCUUGAAUUAGAAAAAACACUUCGCACACACAAACACGUUAAAAAUAAAAUGGAUUUACAAGCACCACAGGAGAGCCCAUUUAAGGACUAUUUUAGUCCCUUAGCUAAUUUGAGCACGUCAUGCAUAAGAUACCCAAAUGUAGCUGCUAGGAGUUUUGAAUUAAAACCUAGUGUGUUAAAUUAUCUCCCUACAUUUUAUGGCCUAGAAAAUGAGGAUCCAUAUAAUCAUUUGAAUGAUUUUCAUGCCAUUUGUCAAACAUUCAAAUAUGAGAAUUUUUCAGAUGAUGAUGUUAAACUUAGACUAUUCCCAUUUUCUUUAAAAGAUAGAGCUCGUUCAUGGUUAAAUACUUUACCUGCUAAUAGCAUUUCAUCAUGGGAACAAAUGGUAACGAAAUUUUUGAAUAAAUAUUUCCCAGUGCAUAAAACCAAUGCUAUUCGCAGGGAAAUCUCAGAGUUUACCCAGAGAGAGGACGAGCAAUUUUUCGAAACAUGGGAGCGAUUCAAUGGGCUACUCUUGAAGUGUCCACAUCAUGGGUACGAGAAAUGGCACCAAUGCCAAUACUUUUUGGAGGGAUUACUACCAAAUGUGCAAGAACGGCUAAUUGCAACAAGUGGAGGAGAGCUAAUGUCAAAAAGUGCAUCAGAAAUUUGGGAAUUCUUCCAGCGACAAGUGGAUAAUUCCCAACAACGGAGUCGAUCACUCAGGAAUACUAGAAGAAUUAAAGGAGUAAAUGAGGUUCAAAUUGGCGAGUCAACUUCGGGAAUCAAAGAAGUCAAGGAGAUGGUUGAAGGUCUUGCUCGACAAAUAGCAUCGUUAUCGACUGCUAAAUCAACAGAACCACAUGAUCAUGAUUCAUACUCAGAUCAAGCCAAUGCCAUAGGUGUAAUGAGAAAGCCAUCAAAUUACAACCCAUACUCCAACACAUAUAAUCCUGGAUGGAGAGACCACCCCAAUUUUUCAUGGUCUCAAGGAUUCCAACAGAAUGGACCAGCAGCUCCAGCUCCACCAAUGCAACAAAUUCCUCAAGUUCCUCAAGCCUCUCAGCCCCCAUUUAGACCAUACAAUCAGAACCAGAACUACUCUCAACCCAGACCAUGGGAGGAUGCAUUCCAAAAUUUCAAGAAUGUUACUCACUCCACGAUUGAGCAACAAAACCGCACCAUUGAUGGACUACGAAAUGAGUUGAGAACAGGCUUCAAUUCACAAGCUCAAUCAGUUUCAAGCCUUGAGAAGAUGGUGGGACAGCUUGCUUCUUCAGUUCAGACCUUGGCAAUGACUGUUGAGAAAGGUAAGUUUCCAAGUCAACCAGUGCCUAAUCCUAAAGGAGUACAUGAAGCAAGUGACAGUUCACCAUAACAGCAUGGAGAGGUCAAAGCAGUAAUGACCUUGCGAAAAGGAAAGGAAGUCGACAACAAAGUGGAGAUGCCGGUGACAAAAGAAAAUCAAAUUGUACCUGUGAAUGUUGAGGACUCACCACCGGAGGAAAAAGAAGAAACCAACCCACGAGAAUAUGUUCCUAAAGCUCCAUUUCCUCAGAGGUUAGCAAAAGGCAAAAAGGGAAAAUCCACAGGUGAGAUUCUCGAAAUCUUCAAACAGGUAAGUGUUAACAUCCCUUUGCUUGAUGCUAUUAAACAAGUUCCAUCUUAUGCCAAGUUUCUUAAAGACCUUUGUACUAAAAAGAGAAAUAUGCAUGUUCAAAAGAAGGCAUUUUUAACUGAAAACGUUAGCUCUAUACUCCAAUAUAAAAUUCCUUUAAAAUGCAAAGACCCAGGCUCCCCCACUAUCUCAUGUAGUAUAGGGAACCACACAAUUGAGAAUGCUUUAUUGGAUUUAGGAGCUAGUGUAAAUUUGUUGCCUUAUUCAGUAUUUGUGAAACUUGGACUUGGAGAAUUACACCCAACUCCAGUGGUGUUACAGCUUGCAGAUCGGUCCACAAAAAUACCUCGUGGUAUUGUGGAGGACGUGCUUAUCCAGGUAGACAAGUUCUAUUUUCCUGUUGAUUUCAUUGUAAUUGACACUCAACCAAUACAGGAUUCAAGGAAGCACAUCCCCAUUAUUCUAGGCCGACCUUUCUUGGCAACUGCGGAUGAUCACAUUCAAUGCAGGACUGGAAAUAUGCAGUUGUCCUUUGGCAACAUGACUAUGGAGCUAAACAUUUUCAACAUUGCCAAACAACCUCACAGUGCAGAUGAUGGAAUUGUUGAUGUGGAUUUAAUUGAAGCAUUAGUUGAUGAUACUUUUGUUUCAAACCUUAGUGAUGAUCCUUUACAAACAUGUUUAACUCACUUUGGUUUGAAUUUUGAUAUUGACAGAUCGGUCGAUGAGGUCAACGCUCUACUUGACUCAGCACCAUCCAUAGACACUAAUAAAUGGAAGUCAAGAGUUGAACAACUAGCACCAUCAGAGAAGAAACUCAUCCCAUCAUCAGAAUUACCACCGAAACUCGAGCUCAAACCAUUGCCCAACACUUUGGAAUAUGCAUUUUUGGGAGAAGAAAGUACUCUGCCGGUAAUCAUCUCAUCAUCCCUAAAUGACGAACAAAAAGGUAAGUUGUUGGAUGUUUUAAAAGAGCACAAAGGAGCAUUAGGAUGGACCAUAGCAGACAUCAAAGGUAUAAACCCAGUAGACUGCAUGCAUUACAUUCACCUUGAUGAAAAUGCUAAAUCUACUAGGGAAAUGCAACGUCGGUUAAAUCCUAAUAUGAAAGAAGUUGUUAGAACAGAAGUCCUUAAGCUAUUAGANNNNNNNNNNNNNNNNNNNNNNNNNNNNNNNNNNNNNNNNNNNNNNNNNNNNNNNNNNNNNNNNNNNNNNNNNNNNNNNNNNNNNNNNNNNNNNNNNNNNUAAUGAAUUGAUACCCACUAGAGUAACUACCGGAAGGGGUGAAGGCAUUGAUUAUAGAAGUUGAAAUUUGUCCCACUUAAGACUAUUUUCCCUUACCAUUUUUCGAUCAAAUGCUUGAUGGAUUAGCAGGCCCUGAAUUUUAUUGCUUUCUAGAUGGCUACUCAGGAUAUAAUCAGAUUCCCAUAGCACCAAAAGAUCAAGAGAAAACUACUUUCACUUGCCCUUUUGGCACAUUUGCAUAUAGGAGAAUGCCAUUUGGAUUAUGUAAUGCACCUGCUACAUUUCAAUGAUGCAUGUUAAGCAUUUUUUCUGAUAUGGUUGAACGAUUCCUUGAAGUCUUUAUGGAUGACUUUUCUGUCUUUGGUGAUUCAUUUGAUCAAUGUUUACAUCAUCUAACACUAGUUCUGCAGAGAUGUAUCGAGAAGAACUUGAUCUUAAAUUGGGAGAAAUGCCAUUUUAUGGUAAAACAAGGUAUUGUUCUCGGUCACAUCAUUUCGAGCAAAGGUAUUGAGGUUGACAAAGCCAAGGUGGAUCUCAAUUCUAAUCUUCCUCCACCCAAAACAGUCAGAGAAGUAAGAUCUUUCCUUGGGCAUGCUGGUUUCUAUAGACGUUUCAUUAAAGAUUUUAGCAAAGUUUCUAGACCCUUAUGCAAUUUACUUGCUAAGGAUGUACCUUUUAUCUUUAAUGAUUCAUGUCUUAUGGCGUUUGAAAAAUUAAAACAGUUGUUGACAUCAUCACCCAUCAUUCAGGCCCCAAACUGGAGCUUACCAUUUGAACUAAUGUGUGAUGCAUCUGAUUAUGCAGUAGGAGCAGUAUUAGGACAAAGAGUUGAUCGAAUUCCCCACGUUAUUUACUAUGCUAGUAUGACAUUAAAUGAUGCACAAUUGAACUAUUCAACUACUGAAAAAGAAAUGCUAGCAGUAGUGUUUGCAUUGGAAAAAUUUCGAUCAUAUCUCAUUGGUUGUAAAAUAAUUAUAUUCACGGAUCAUGCUGCUCUUAAAUAUCUUCUCACAAAGAAAGAUGCAAAAGCCAGACUAAUUCGUUGGGUGUUACUUUUGCAGGAAUUUGACUUGGAAUUCAAAGAUAAGAAAGGGACAGAAAAUGUUGUGGCGGACCACCUCUCUCGUCUCCAUUUUGACACAAUUACAGAAUUAUUACCAUUGAAUGAGUCAUUUCCAGAUGAACAAUUAAUGAAUGUGGAAGUAUUACCUUGGUAUGCUGAUAUAGUUAAUUAUCUUGUUACAGGUAAACUUCCAGAGCAUUGGACCAAGCAAGAUAAGGCUAAAUUCUUUGCAGAGAUAAAGAAUUUCUUUUGGGAUGACCCAUAUUUGUUCAAGUAUUGUGCAGACCAAAUUGUUAGACGAUGUGUCCCAGAAAGUGAAAUUCAGAAUAUCCUUUCAUUCUGCCAUAAACAAGCUUGUGGAGGCCAUUUCAGUGCUAAGAAAAUCGCGACUAAAGUUUUACAAUGUGGUUUUUAUUGGCCAACUAUAUUUCGAGAUGCUUACACUUUCUGUUCUUCAUGUGAUAGGUGUCAACGAAUGGGGAGCAUUACGCGAAGGAACAUGAUGCCACUAAAUCCAAUUUUAGUGGUUGAGAUUUUUGACGUAUGGGGUAUCGACUUCAUGGGACCCUUUCCCCCGUCUUUUGGUCAUCAAUACAUAUUGGUUGCUGUUGACUACGUAUCGAAAUGGGUAGAAGCAAUUUCAUGUAGGACCAAUGAUCACAAGGUGGUGAUAGCAUUUUUGAAAAGCAACAUUGUUUCACGCUUUGGAUUCCCACGAGCGAUAAUCAGUGAUGGUGGUGCCCACUUUUGUAACAAAGCAUUCAAAGCUCUUUUGACAAAGUAUUCAAUCACACACAAAGUGGCAACUCCGUAUCAUCCGCAAACCAGUGGCCAAGUUGAGAUAUCCAAUCGAGAAAUAAAGUAUAUAUUAGAAAAAACAGUGAGGCCAGACAGGAAAGAUUGGUCAUUAAGACUUGAUGAUGCAUUAUGGGCAUAUAGAACGGCUUUCAAGACCUCGAUUGGGAUGUCACCCUACAGGCUAGUGUAUGGAAAAGCUUGCCACCUACCUGUGGAACUCGAGCAUCGUGCAUAUUGGGCUAUCAAGAAAUUCAAUUUUGACAUGCAGCAAGCCAGCUCAGAAAGAAGAUUACAGCUGGCAGAACUUGAAGAAAUUCGCAAUGAUGCAUACGAAAAUGCCAAGAUUUACAAGCAACGAAUGAAAGUCUUCCAUGAUAAGCAAAUUAUGAGAAAAUCGUUCACUCCAGGUCAGAAAGUGCUUUUAUUCAAUUCUCGCUUGCACCUAUUACCAGGUAAGUUACGCUCUCGUUGGUCUGGUCCCUUUAUUGUUCAUACUGUUUUUCCACAUGGGGCAAUUGAAAUUAAGGACCCAAAGAACGAUGUCACGUUUAAAGUUAAUGGUCAAAGAUUAAAACCGUAUCUAGAGUACCAACCACAUGACGAAGACACCGAAAUAAAUUUGAGUGACCCACCAAAUUUGAAUUGAUUUUUUUUCUUUUCGUUGAUUUGAUUUUUUUUUUCUUUCUUUUUAUUAUUAUUCUUUUGCUAAUUGAAAUUGUUUUUGCAUAAGUGUGUUUAUUUUACCAUUAAGUUUUCUCUUAUCAUUUUUAAUCAUGAGUCUCAUACUUAGACCGUUCCUCCUGAACAUUCUUAAACCACUUCAACGUGUCAAAACUCAUCUCAAAAGGCAGAUUCAAUUUUGUAAAACACAACGCAUUUGGGCUCUACAACCACCAGAGUUAGUAGCCUAUGUUGAGGAUUUAUAACGCCAACUCAGAGACAUUGAGAGAAGUGUUUACGACAUCCAGUUAGAGCUUGAGGUAAAUUCAAUAAGAGGACGAUUUUAAUUUUCUUUGUGUGUUUUAAUUUGUUUUUCUGUUUGUGUGCUUUAGUUUGUUACCCCGGUGAAGUGGCGGAUAACGGUACUCCGUGACAAUCAAGUCGGUUACUUCAGUUUCCCAUAAUAACUGAUAUUCUGAGGCGAAAGUAUGGACAGAAAUGAGAUUCUAGCGAAGCUUCACAAGCGAUUCCCUUCACUUCCUCAGAAUGCCCUCCUUACGAUCUAUAAAGCUCGGUCCGAACGCAUGCGAUUACUCAUGAGGAAUAACAUACCUGCUGACAUCCGUUGGUUAAUCGAGGCUAAAGUACGAUCGGCAGGUGAGUUACCUCCAAAAUUUAUUGCAUUCAUGCCUGGUUGUGGUAAAGGAAAUUAUGCAAGAAAACGACGAGCUCGAAGAAUUUCUGUUGCUUGUCAUAAGUGUGCCAGAAUGAGUUGCAAUAAAAACCCAUGUUCUUUAGGAAUGGUGUCUGAUAACAGGGAAGAUAAGAUUCAAUUCAUUAGGGAUGGCUUGAAUAAGGAGUCAUUGGAUGAUAUCCUUUUGUCUCUUGAAACGCAUCCCAGUGGAUAUGUGCAAGGAGCGAUUCUCCAGUUAUGGCCAUUAUUCCAGAAAGAGCAUGCACGAUAUAGUCUUGUGAAUCUGACUAUAAAUGACCCUGUUUGCCAGUUUAUAAGAAAGCUGGAUAGGAAGCCUAUCCUCGACCCAUAGAGGGCGUUCAAGCCGUUUCUGGACGUAAAACCAGAGGAAGAUGUGAGCCACAGUCGCAACUACCUGUAAAUAUCCUUUUACUUUAUUGUUAUUUUAUUUCACUAUUGUCUUAUUGUUUGCAUUAUUGUCUUUAAUAAUUUUAUUACUGUUUGCUUUUUCCUUUUUACUGUUUUCUUUUUGACUUGCGAGCCACGUGCUUUACGCGUUAUUUGACACUGACAUAUUACCUCAUACACAACCAUGAUCCACUGUCACCAAGAUUCUUAAAUGUGAUUUUCUUUUUGUCAAGCACUCACAAAUUGUUUUCGAGAAGUAUCACAAUGGCAGCUACUCCCAAUAGACAAUUCAAGAACAUUUGUGUGCUUUCUGGAUUUACCUAUGGCAAACAUAAAGAGUUCGUUGAAGCAGCUAUAGAUCUUGGUCGAAGCAUAGCAGCGAGAAACUUACACUUGGUGUAUGGAGGAGGUAACCGAGGGUUAUCAAAAAUGGUCUCAGAAGCAGCUUUUAUCAGAGGAAGUCAAGUGUUAGGCAUCAUCCCAAGAGUCUUAAAACCAUUGGGCAGUUCGUCUGACUCAUCAACUGGAGAAGAGUUAGUCGUCUCAGGUAUGCAAGAAAGAAUAACUGAAAUGCUUAAUCAUGCUGAUGCUUUUAUUUUCCUUCCAGGAGAUCUUGCAACACUAGAGGCACUUAUCACGCUAGCAUCUUGGGCCCAUCUGCACAUCCACCAAAAACCCAUCGGUUUGUUAAAUGUCAAUAAUUUUUAUGAUGGCUUUAUCGCAUUUCUUAACCAUGCAAUAAAAAACUAUUUCAUUCCUUCUAAUUUGAAAAAGCUUUUUAUUUGUGCUCACACUGCUAAUGAGCUACUUGAUAUGUUACAAGCUUAUAAACCGGAGCCAGACCCCUAGACCUUUGUGUUGGAGCGCCCAAAUAAUGAUGGUAACAAUAGCCGCAGUAAGAAGUACAAAUUAGAUUUAACUCUCCGCUUGUAAAUAUUGUUUUCUGUAUUGCACCACCCAGGUGAUGUCUUCUAAACUCUACUUCUUUCCUUUCAAACAUUGAGGACAAUGUUUCGUUCUGGUUGGGGGGAGGGAAUAGUCGACAAUUGUGGAAUUUUGGUUAAAUUUUUACUAAUUUUUGUUGUAGAAACUAAUUGUUGCUAACUUUUUGUGUCGAAGAUGGCUGAAUAUGGAGUGUAGUGACUCUAGAAACGCAUCUUUAUCGUAAAAAAAAUUAAAAAAACUAAAAAAAAAAAUUUCAGACAUUUUCUUUUUCUUUAUUAUGUUUUUAUGUUUAUUUUUCUUCUUUUUAAUUUCUCCUCUAUAAAUAUAUAUUUUCCAACUUGUGAGUCGAAGAUGGCUGAAUAUGGAGUGUAGUUCCUCUAGAAACGCAUAUUCUUUAAAAAAAAAAACAUUUUUGUUUUCUAUCAUUUUACGUGUAACUUUUCUAAUUAGUUUUUAUGCAUCAUUUUCACAUUUCUGCAUGCAUAUUUUCCUUUCAUGCUUAGAAUAGGUUAGGGGGUAGAAUGUUGUUUAAAAAAAAAAUUGUGUGAUUUGUUUUAACAUUGGAUGACAUGAUUAAUUUCAAAUUUUAGUAUUUGUAUUAUCUUUGGUCUUAAGUGAUGUUACAUUAUGUUUGCUACUCUACAUGUUGAUGUCAGAGACAAAUAUAAGUUGCUUGAAGGAAUGAACAUGUCAUAAUAAGUACCAAGUGAGUUUUUGAGCCUAUUAUUUUUCUUGGAGAAUAACCCUUUUGCCCACUCUUUAUAGAGCUUAGCAGUUUAUUAUUUUACACACGAUCUCUAAAUUGCUUUCGAGUUAACCCUUAAAAAAAUUAUAAAAUAAAAAAAAAGAAAAAGAAAAAAGAGUGUGUUGCUACAUUUGGAGGCCCAUCUAACUAGUAGAUAUGGAAAAUUAUUUAGAACCCUAAAAGACGAUGGAGAGGCCAUCUUUGAUCCGUUUGAGCCUUUCAAGCCAUCCCUUUUAUUAAAUAUCCAUAGUUAACCCUUUUGAGCCUUUAAAAAAAAAAAAAAAAACCUUUUCUUUGUCAACUUAUCAUCUUGACCCACUCCGAUUUGGAGUAUUACCCGAUAUCUUAUAAGUUCCAUCACCUAUUUAUGUUUAAGAAAAUGUAAAUAAUUAUUUUGUUCAGUGAAGUUAUGUCAAAUAAAAGCAAAAAAAAAAACAAAAACAAAAACAAAAGUUGUUGUUUCAAAAGAAUAAAAAUAGGUGAAAUCCACCUUGCAACUUCCAAAAAAAAAAAAAAUUCUCUGCAUUUUUCUCAAACAUACACUUUGUUUUCCUUAUUUUCCUUCUUUGUUAGCCAUGUCCCUAGCCUACGUUACAUCCUAAUAAAAGUCCUUCCUGAUUUUAGGGAACUAUAAUCUGAAGUAGAAGCUAGUUAUAUGGGCUACAAAGAUGUAGUGGUGCAUAUAAAAUAAAUAAAUAAAUAAAUAAAUUGGGUUGAUUAACAGUUUUUAUUUGACUUGAGAUCGUAUUAUUUCUAAGCUGAGGGCAUAUUUAUUUCAUCUUGGUGAGAGCAUGUGAUAUCACUUCUUUAUUAUUUUCUCUCUCAAUUACCAUUCAUUGGAGUGACUAUUUUUAUUGGGAUUAAUUUAUUUGUGAGAGUGUCACUACUUCCAGUGAGAUUUUGGGGUUUGACAUGUCAUUCUUGAGAGUAGCUAUAACAAAGUCUACUGGGCUAAUUCAUGUGGAUGGUUGAUGUUGGUGUGAUGUUGCUUUAGACUGGAGAUAAUGCUUAUACUUUUAUUUGCUAUCAUUAAUCUGAUGGAAUAAAUACGAGUGUUUCUAUUAAAACAAAAAAAAAUUAUUUUGAAUUUGAAUUUUGUUUUCGCUUUAUUUGCUAGGGACUAGCAAUAAGCUGGUUGGGGGGUGUGUUGAGUGUUAGAAAAUGCAUAUUUAUAAAGGAGAAAACUAUCAUUUUACAUUUUAAGUCUUACUAACAACCCUUACUUUUAUAUAUUUAACCUUCUUGUGAUUUAAUUACAUGUGUUUUAUUUUAAUUAAGUAUUUUAUGUAUUUUAGGGGCAUUAUAGUCAUUUCACAAUAAAGGAGAGAUCAGACGGCAAAACGGACAUCACUUUUGAACUCAGGACGGUCGAAAACCUUAGGCGGAGCAUAAAAGGAAAAAUGGCACUAUUCACAUGUACGGUACUAUUCACGUGUACGGUACUGUAUACGUUACUGUUCACGACACUGUUCACAUAGACGGAUGAUGACGUGGCAUUGACCGAUGAUGUGGCAUUGACUGAUGAGGUGUCACAAUCCUGUUGGACUAAAAUUCUUAUGUACUGUUGAUGGUGACGUGGCAGCAUAUCAGUGGACGAAAAAUCUCGCGUACGGUGCAUGCAUCACACAGGAUUAUUUUCAACCAAACUGUGUUACUGUUCAUCCGGGUCAAACCGCGUUACUGUUCAAAGUCGGGUCAAACCGUGUUACUGUUCAUCCACGUGGUCAAACCGUGGACUGUUGACUGAUGACGUGGCGCAAUCCUGAGCGUCCAAACUGUUUUUAAUCCGAUGGCCAUGAUUUACUCCAUGUAUCUAUAAAAAGGGGGCCUCUCCCCCCUAAUUUGAUAUCUCUGAAUCCAUUUUCUGUAAUUCCCUCUCCAUCUUGUAUUUUCUUCGUAUUUUAAUAAAUUCCCAUUUUGCCCCUAGUUCAACUAUGAGCGGCUAAUUUUCUUUCAAGCUUGGGUUGAAGGUGAAGUCUCAACAUGUGUCAUGGGCUUAAUUUGGUAAAUUUAUUUUCUCUUCCCCUCUAGUUUUUGUGGAUGUUUUGACUUCUCGUCGACAAAUAAUAAUAAUCUUGUCUAGAUACCGCCUUGGUUACACCGGCUCUCUAGUAUAAGGUUAUUAUUAUUUGGCACGAUAAGCCCUUAGCACCAUAUUGAUUAGAGCGUGGUUCAUGAGGUGUGGAUUCCCCCCUCAUGAUUUAAUUGGCAUUAAUACGGAUUAUUUAGCCCAUGAUGCAUGUUGAUACGGAUCCAGAUACCCAAGUACGUCAAUUUAAUCGAUUUUCUCUACAAUUUAUUCUCGCCAUUCCAAUUCCAAUUUUAGCAUAUUUUAAAUCACUUCCACCACAAUUCCAACCACCCAUUUACAAAAUUAAUUCUAUAUAUAAUUAAAAAUCCACCUCCUCGUGGGAUCGACACUCGUCACCAUUGAUCUAUACUAUAAUAGAUUCGUGCGCUUGCGAGUACAUUAAAAUUUGCACAACAACAGGCAACACAAAAAGAAAUGUGGUCUUAGAAUGCGAAGAAUGGACAAGUGUCCUCAUGCCUUUUUGGGUUACCUUAGUCCCAAGUUAUAAAGGAGCACAUUUUAAGGAAACACAUUAGAGAUAUAUCCAUUGCCGUCACACACACACAAAAGAAAAAAAAAAAGGAUUUCAGACCUGCAACAGAGGGUAUCUCAUGGAGAAGGAGAGAAACUUAAAGACUAAAGCGUGACACUUUGGUCCUUUUUAUAUCUCAACUUUAUUUUUAUAUUUUUCUUGUUGUAUUUUCACUUUGAUGAUGUAUUUCAUGGCAAACACUUAUGUUUUUACUAUUUUAAAGCUCAUCAUGAGUCAAACUCUAAUAAUGGGCAUGCUUUUGUUGAGAUAAAUACUACACCUUUUAAUAAAUUUUUAAUAACUAGCAGGCUGAAAUCAAGGUUUGAUAACCAUUCACAAAUUUUGAUAUUUAUCCUUUUUUUGGUGGGGGGGGGGGGGCGCGGGUAGAAAUAACUCAUUUGCUUUAAGAAUGAUAAACACAACAUUUUUCUCAUAGCCUAAAACUUUGUUUAAUGACAAACAUUGAGUGGGUAAACUAAACGUUUUUCACCACAAAGUUUGGUGUCUUAUAUUGAAGUCAAUUGGAAUAUUUUCGAAAACAUGCAAACUUUUGGCCGCAAAAUCUAUAUCAUGGCUAGAAAAUUGUGGCAAAAACACCAUAUUCUCAAAUGAAUUAAACUUCUUGUAAAAUGCACGCAUAUGGCACGCAACGUAUGGUAGCACUAUUAAAAUAUCCUAUUAUCAAAAAAGUUAAAAUAGGAAAUAAAUAAUCCAAGACCUGCAAAACUAGUGUUCAUACAUAAGAUUUAUUAAAUGAUUUAUAAUGGUCCUUUAUUUUUCAAAGUUUUACAUAUUAUUUGCUUACGAUAUAUAUUAAUCCACUCAAAAGUGGAUUAAGCUGGUCAACUAGAUAGUUGCUAAGAAGAAUGAUGAAUAUAUACAGGUAUAUAACUAAUGACAAAUUGCUUUAUUGGCUACAACAUGCUAGAAAUUCACUCCUCCGGGGAAGAAACAAAAUUAUGGUAUGGGACUAAAUGGCAAAAGGCACAAUAUGAAGAGGUUGAGCCUCCUGUAUGGCGAGGCCGAAUUUUUCUGCCAUGUCCAAUGGCAAAUCAAGCUUCCAAUUAAAAGAAUUACUGAGUGAACCUCACAGUGGCUAUAACAUUGUGAUAUCCAAUGGCAAAUCAAGGAAAAUUCACCGCCCAACUCCAAAGGGGAUCGACUCAAAAUUUUGGCCUAUGAAAUCAACAUCUGAUCCUAAGAACCUUUUAGGCAUAAAAGAGUGAGCGUGGUCCCAUGUACUUUCAUAUCUGCUAGUAGCCUAAACAUUGACCAAAACUCUUGCACCUUUUGGUACUAUGAAGCCUAUGAUUUCUCCAUCUUCUGAGGCUUUGCGAGGAAGUAACAAGGGAAUUGGUGGGUGCAAUCUAAAGGUUUCUUUGACAACUACUUGUAGAUAAGGUAACCAAUUAAGUGAUGUCUGAUUCCUUAAUUGCUUUGCCUUUGCCAACUAUUUGUUAUAACUACAAUUUUAAUUUAGAUAAAGCCUCUGGGUUGUGGAGUAGUUCUGCCAUUGCCCAUUUUGUUGUAACUGAAGUUGUAUUAUUCCCCGCAGCAAACAAAUCAUGUUAUAUCAGCUGUCCUAAUUAACUUGUAAUUUCUACAAGAAAAUAAGAAAAGAUAAAUAAGGUAAAAGCUCAUUUAGUCUCUAUAUUUUGAGGUUAGUGCCUGUUUAGUCCCCAUAUUUUUAAAAUACCACAACACAUCCAUGCUAUCACUACUACAAAAAUGACUUUUACUGAUACUUUGGUUUUGAUACUUUAAAAAAAGUGUCAGUAAUUACCUAACUAUGCACCAUUUUCCGCUUUUAACAAAUAGGUGUCACAAAUUAUUGAUAUUAGUGUGUCAGUAAAUUAAAUAUCGGAGAUCACUGAUACUAAUAUAUCAGAGAUUAAAAAAAAAAUAAUUUGUUUUGAUUUCAACUCGAACCUGGAACUUCUAAAACUCUAAAAGUUAUAAAUAUAGACCACAAACCACUGAACCCUAUAGAUUUAAGUUAGAGACAUAAUGUUAUAUAAAAGCAAGACCCUAAUUCCCCUUCUUUAUUGUGCAAGAGAGCCCACGCCGCAGUCGCUACCUAAUUUCCCUUCCCUUGCUUGACUGCUUCUUCUCUAUCGUGAAAGAUGGAAAAUGACCACACUAUCGCUGCUACGAAAUGCCCGCACCCACCCUGCCACCACUAUAACUUCUGUUCCAACGUACCGACGAUGCAGCUUCUAGCCGUUCUCCAUUUGCUUUGUUUGCUGCCUCUGGUUUCGUUCUCUCUCAUUUUCUAUCGUCAGCCACACAAGGUAAAAAGCGUAAUUCAAUCUUCUUUUAGGCAUGGGUAAGAGGCAUUAUAGGCAUUAAAACUGCUGAGAGAAAAGUUUCAUACUAGCACAGGCACUUUGCUCUCUUCAAUCUUUGUACCUUUCAUUUUUCCUUUGAAUUUCAUUUCUGGUUAUUCAAAAUUUUUGAGUUUCUUUUUUAUUUCCACCCUUUAUACAAACUCAUCUUCAAAUUUCUGGCCUUCCCCUUUUGGCCAUUUUGCUUUCGGAUUUUACACCAGUGGCAAUGGCUUCAAGGUUGGAAUAUGGCAUAUUGACAGCAACAACCUAGCAAAUAAAAUAAUUGUAUGGACUGCUUGACGCAAAGACCCGUGGUCUCAUCUAGUGUUGCUUUGCAGUUUUCUAUAAAUGGCAGCAGAGUCCUGCUUCGCAACUCCAAUUGCGAAGUCCAGUUGAUAGUUGAACCUACUCAAAGAGAUGUGGCUGUUGCAAUGCUUGAUUAUGGUAACUUUUGUUUUAUUUUUUAUUUAAAAAAAUGAAAAGCAGAUACUUUGUUAUUUAUUUACAGGAAGCAAUAGCAACAAAUUGAAAAGGGGAGUUUUCUCCUUGUGAAACCCUGACUGAAGAAUGUUCAAUAACACAAGAAUGUUCUUUAAUUUCUGGCUUUUGUUAGUCUUUUUAACGCAAGAAUAUUCAAUAAUAAUACUCAGGACAUGCUAUGGAGGGGAAAAAUAGAGGAGCAAGCUGAUUUGCAACAAGCCCUCGAGCUUCAAAGUAGAAGAUUAGUGGGGCUGCAACUUCUUGAUGUUCAAAAGCACAUCCUCACAGGGCUCUUUCUACUGGCAGUCCAAUUCCUUCCCCCACUCACUCUCCCAUUAUUUUCUAUCAAACUCUUCUCUUUCCUCUGCUUCACAAUAAUAGUACAGAACCUCUACUAGGUACUAAUCUUCAUUUGUUUAAUUUUUAAUCAAAUUAAAGAGACUAAGAGUUUCAUUGUUUUUUUUUAACAGAGAAUGGUUAAAGUCCUUGACCACGCGAAUGCAUGUUUUACUUCUUAGUAGGAUGAUUAUAUUUGAUUUGAGAAGUGUUAUUGCGCAUGAAUGCAUGUACAAGUUUGCUAGAAUUUGUGUUGAAAUAAGAUCAGAAAACAAAACUUAGGAAUGUAAGGUCUGCUAGUUGAAUUCUUGGAAAGCUGAUUAUUAGGAUCAAUAAAUGUUGUAAUGCUUUCAAGGAGUUUGCAUUGUUUAUUAACAAGCUCUUAUUUCCACUGUACAUCAAAUUUUUAAUAUCAUCUUGUAACUAUCCGACUCUUUAUAAUAUUAUGUGUUUUCUUACUGGCCUUUACAUAGGUAGGCUACUAUGCAUUAAGCAUGUAUGUGCUUGUUUUCUAUAUGUAUUAUGUUAAUAUAAAAAUAAAUAUUAGCCAUGAUAACAGAAGUAGAAAGAAGAUAGUGGGGCAUAUUGUUGAAAGUUUAUGAAUUUGUCUCCACCUCUGGCUUCCGAAAUUGGGUUGUUAAGUGAAAAUAAUAAGGUUAAUUGGUCUUUCUUUUAUUUAGUUAUUUAUUUCUAUCUUUUCAUGUCGAAUCAUUUAUUUUGUGCAAAUGUAAAAAUCAUAAUAAAAUUAUUAAGUUUUGUGUGCUGAUUUUGGGAGUUGGUAUGCAGGGAUUGAAUGGAGAAAAAAGAAAGAGAAAUGAUGAUGGGAAUCUUUAAAUUGGAAGCCUAGAUGGUAUGAAAAGGAUAAGAGGCUUCUAAUAAUAUUUCUAUCUAAUUUUUCUUAAUUGUCAAGUGUUUCUACUAAUUUUUAUUAUAAUACUUUUCCGAGGAUGUUCUGGAAAGCACUUGUCAUAGAUCUUUAAUUCUUGUGACAGAUUAUAUUUCUAGAGACAAUUUGCAAUGAGGGAGACAUAAUUGAAAGAAAUAUGCAUCUUAAAAUUUAGCAAAGCCCCUACCAUGCUAAAGCAUAUGGCUACUUUCUAGAACUACCAAUGUCUUGUUUAAAUUUAAUUGUAUUUAUUUAUUACUUAAUAUGGUACACCAAUUGCUUAUGUACUACUAAAGAAACUGGUGUCGCGCAGGCCUAAUUUUUAAGCUGGAUUACAAUAUAGUAUAUUUAUUUAUUACAAUAAUUGAUAUUUUGGUAUACUAAUUGAUUUUAUGUACUUGCAGAUGAGGAAAAAAUGAACUCACGGAUUGAUAUUGAGUAACCUUGUGCUUUUUUUUGUUGGAUAAUGUUUAUUGAAACUAAUUUAAUAAUUUGUUGUCAAAAACUUAGUUUGGUACUUAUUAUUUUUUUUUCUCCAAACAGUGUAAUUGAAUUAUGUUAAUUUAAGUGAUGAGUUUGGGAUAUUUAUUAUGUGAAUUGUUUUGCAAGAUUUGGUAUAUGUAAUAUGUUUUGAGCUUUUGUAUUGUAAAACAAAUGAGAAAAUAUAAUUAAAACAAAAAUAUACUAUUAACCAAAACUAGCAUAACAACACUAAAUUCUGACACUAAGUAUACUAGUCACAUAAAUCAUUAACAUGUAAAUUGUAUCAUUAAAUACUAACAAUAUAGUGUCAUUGUUUUGGCGAUACUAUAGUGACACGAAUUACUAACAUAUAAAAUAGUAUUAUCAAAUACUAAUAGUAUAGUAUCAUUAUUUUUGUGAUACUAUAAUGACACGAAUUACUGACACCAAAAUCACUGACACUAAAAAUUAGUGUCAGUGCGUUCUAACUUGAGCAUUACUGACACAAUUAAUAAGUGUCAGCAAAAGUAAUUAUUGAAACUAAGUUGGUGUUAAUAAAACUUAUUUUUGUAGUAGUUUAUUAAAUUGUUGGCACUCCUACCGUCGCUUUUUAUUCCUCUUGGCUUAACUUUCAUAAUAUUACUCUCUUACAAUAAUGUUUAUUUUUUGGACAUUAAUAAAAAAAAACUAAAUUAUCAAUUUCACAACCACAAUACCAUGCUUUUAAGUUGGCAAUUCAAGUAUUCAAGUUAAAUUUAGUUUUUAAUUAAAAAGGAAUUUUUUUAAAUGCUUUUAAUUACUGCAAAUCUGAUGUUCAUGCAAAUCUGAUGCCACAAUACCAUGCUUUUAAUGUUUAACAAAGAAAAAUUUUUAAAAAUUGAAACGACCUGCCCCGAAUCUUCUCGGGCGAGUCAAUCUAGUCUCAUCAAAACGGACUUAAUAAUAAUCUAAUUAGUAAGGAUUCUGCUGAAAAUUCAGAAGAGUCUCCUUUAUAUAUAUAACACUCCCAAUCUACAAAUAUGUAAGACAAGCACUCCCAAUAUAAUUCAAUAUACAAUAAACUCCAGUGAUCAACAUCCUCAACCAUGCCUUCAGAAAAAAAAAAGUCUCAAAAGAUAAUAUUAUAACUAAUAUUAAUAUCUCAGUUUAUUCUUAAUCCCAAAAGAAUAAUAUAACAAAAUUAUACAAUCCCAACAGGACGAGAUAACCAAGAUGUCCUAACAAAAACAUCUAUUUCUUCUAACACUAUCACGUGGCCAAGACUCAAAAUAUAUUUACAGUCGUUGGGUCGAUCUGGUGUACCUGCAACCUCCUGGUGGGAGGGGGGAAAUAUAAUAAAAACGGGGUGAGUUUAAAACUCAGUGAGAUCAGUGAGUGGAUAAUAGUUUUUGAAAAUUUAUUCUUACUUUAAAAGAAAUAAUCAUAUCAUUUCCAAACACGAUUUCAUCAAACCAUAUGCAAGAAACCAAUAGUAAAUCAUUUAACAUUUAAAUCAGAUUACUAACCAUGAAAAGCAUAUAUAAUAUCGUACUAAAUAACCAUGGAAAUCAUAUCACAAUAUCAUAUAGAAUACACAAAUUUGAAAAUCAUCACUAAACAAGUACCUAGGGGAAUAAUCUCGUCGUAUCCGGACCUCAACGGACGGGCAAUGACGUACUAUCUGGGUACCGUCACGCCCCGGAGCUACAUGGAUAAACAGAAAAAUACCAUCUCAUAUCUCAUCAUAUCUAUCCAUGCAAAAUCUAAUCCCCAAAGGACAAAAGCGCCCAAGCACACGGCUCAAAGCCUCUGUGUGUACUCAGACGGGCCCCAAAGGCUUGUAGCUCAUCUGUAUCAUUUGUAUCUCAAUAUCUGUCUGUAUCUCAUAUCUGUAUCUCUGUAAUCAUCAUACCGCAUGCAUAUGCCCCCAAAAGGCAGAAACGCCCAAACACACGGCCCAAAGCCUCUAUGUGCGUUCAGACGGGCCCAAAAGACCUCUAUCUCAUCUCAUUUGUAUCAUUGUAUUUGAAGGGGAAGGGUACUGUCUAAUGAUUUCAAAAACAAUUAUUAUACUCAUAUUCACAUACCUUUUCACCAUAAUUUAAAUCAUACCACAUUUCUUUUCAUUAUCACAUCUAAAUCCACUUUUCUCAUCUUUAAAAUACUAUUAUAUUUUAUUCAAUGUCGAUACGAAAAACCAUUAACCAAACAUUUUAAUAUAAUAUCAAUGUGUGAAUAAAAUUCAUUUCGAGAAAAUCAUUAAAUCAGAACAUUUAAAACACUUAUUUCGCAAACAUGCAUUACUAUCAUAAUUAACUAUGAAAAUAGAUUUUGUAUAUUCCACUCAUAGUGACGGUGUUCACGCUCGGUUAUCGUCCACAUCCGCGGACCGGUUCUCGCUCGCGGAUCCUCCUAAAUUAAGGAAACUCCAUAAUUAUUUUCCGUAAAUCGUAAUUAUGACUAAAUUUAUUCAAUAAUAAUCGAAAUGGAAAUUUAUUCAAUAAUACUCGAAAUGGACAUCUAUCCAUAAUUUACAACUCUCAUGUCGAUAAAAUUACUAAAAUGCCCUCAGGUCCGUAAAUCAUUAAAAUACUCUGAAAUCGUAAAUUACCGAAUUACCCUCGGAAUCGUAAUUACACCCAAUCCUCAAUUCUUGGAAUUACUAAAAUAUCCACAGGCUCAGAAAUUACAAAAUUGCCCUCAUACUGUGAAAUUACUGAAAUACCCUUGCCUAUCAAUGGUCACCGUAAUUUGGUCAACGCUAGCCAGGAAGCACGAUUUAGACACUUUUGGCCAAGCUAAGUUCAAUGGUACCGGCAGUGAGCUCCAACGCGUGGCAACAACGCCGAAACCUAGCUCGACAGCUGUGAAUUUCCAACAAUUGACCGGCGGCGAAACGAUGACUCCCGGUGGCUAUGGAUGGUCGGAAAUGGAAGUGGGAGUCAUGAGGAACAAAAACCAAUUGGUGGUGUCACCCAAAACCAGUGAAAAUCCUAGUGGAGCAAAUCGAAACAGUCGCGGGUUUUCAAGCUUUGUUCGCCGGCGUUCUGGUUGUUUUUCGGCAAUGUGAAUGGCAGGGGUAUGAUGGCCGGUCUUCAAGCUUCAGAUUGGUACCAAGCUUGACCGGAACGGUGGCCGGAAAUGGAAGUUACGACUAUGUCACGUUUGCGGGUCGGGUCAGGUUUUUCGAGUUAGUUGAUAGCUUUUGUUACUCUCACACGUGUGUGUAUAUGUUCCUUGUUUCUAGCUUAUUCUAUUCUUUUUAAUAAAAUCCUUAACCGCCUCAAUUUCAUUUUAUUUUUCAUAUAUGUUACAAAAAUGUUUGAAAUAACAAAAUAAAAAUGACAAAAUUUACAAUUGGCAUUUGAUUUGAAAUAUUUAUUGAAUAAUCUCAAAACUUAUUACAUUGCUCAGAACUGCACCAUUGAAACAUAAAAGCCAAUUAAUUAUAUUAAACUCAUAACAUAAACUAAAAGUAUCUAAUCGUCAAUAUUACAAGUCUUUGAAGUUUGCAGUGACUUUGACUGCAUCAACCUUUGCAAGCAUUCCAUGAGGUACAAAAGAAGUAUAAGCUUACAUGUUUGCAUUAAGAAGAAUUAAGUGAGAAUCUUGUGUUUUGAAAACUGAACUAAAAAAGAAGAAAAUUAAAUUCCUAAACUCAAUUUGGAGGCAAUGUACAAAACAAUUUAAUUUUGGCAGUAAGAAAACAAUAGGAAAUUUAAUGUACCUUCAGUCAUAAGACUCAAGCAAUGAAAUGUGUAAUUCAAGUGUUCUCCUUACCAGGCUCUUCCCCUUAGAUAAGUCGAUUUUUUGUGGAGGAUAAUAGCUUAUGUUCAUAAGUGGACCCUAAAAGAGAAAAAUUAUCAGCAUUCUUAGUUACAUUAACCACAUGAAAGCUAAAAGAGAGUAGUUUAGCAUUUGGGUUUGUACAUUUCUUUUCUUACCUCUUUCGAUUAGCCCGAUCUCAGGUGAGGUUCAUAAUCAAUUGGUAUUCUCUAUUGUCAAAAUGUGAAAAAAAAAAAUAAAGCCGUCAAGGGCUCGCUCAGGUUAUUUGACCUCCUAUUAACACCACCAAGUCUAGUUGCAAAAAACCUGCUCAUUCAUUUGCAGAGUUAAGUUCUAAGAAUGGCCAAUAUCACCUUCAUAGAUAAUAAAUUUUUAACCUUAAGAGUAAUGAUGUUUGCUAGAUCUCAAUGCACAAUCGUUCUCAAACAAACCUAAAAUGUAUCUGUAGAAUCUCAGGUGCUAUAGACUGAUAAAGCAACCCAAGACUCUGCCCCAAGAUCUCAAGCCAAUAGAACAAGAUGCAGCAAGAUGUUUUACUGAAAAGCUACGACUAAGAUGACCCUAUGGAACUAGACAAUUAACUGAUUGGAAUUAAGAAUCAAAAGAAGUAAAUGAAACAGAGAAAAAAAGAAUCUUAACGUGGUUCAGCUAGAUUUCUCUAGCUUACAUCCACGGGAGGGAAAGAACACAGCUUUAUUGAUUUCUUUUAGAUGAAUUACAGAGUAAUGCUUAGAUUCCAAGAAAGAUCACAACUAGCUUUAUAUAACCAGCUUCCUUCUCUCUCUUCAGCUCUCUCUACUCUCCAAUCCGUUGCUUCCACAUCAGCUGUUCCAUAACAGCUUCAGUUAACGAACCCAGGAAUCUUCAGCACCUCACGUGAGUUCCUCAUGCGUUUAACGACUUCUAACGAACUUUGCAAGCUGAACACAAGCACGUGAUAUAAGCGUGCAUCACUUAAAUCUAAACGACAAACCCAUACGUCGUUUAGAAGUGUAUUUCUUUUACUCUUCAAAACGCAGGAUCCUGUGCCGUUGAGCUUAAGUGUUUCCAGCUUCUAAAUGCAAAGUCUUCCGCCGUUUUGGUUUUCUGGAUUUGCUUUCACAAACAACAAUUCUCCACCUUGAAACAAAUCAUCCCUGGUUUCCCCCUCCAUUUCCAGAAUGAAUUACCAGCAGCCAAGACCAACUAUGUCCAAGCAAACCUUGAACUUAGCUGUAGUGACUACUUUUGUUAACAUGUCAGCAGGAUUUCUGUCUGUAUGUAUCUUCACCAUUCUGACCACACCCAUGGAAACUACAUUUCUAAUGAAAUGCAACUUGAUGUCGAAGUGCUUUGUUUUCUCAUGAUGAGCUGGGUUUUUACUCAAGUAAAUGGCACUUGAGCUAUCACAGAAUACACCAACUGUCUUCUGACUCAUUCCAAGCUCAGCUAUCAAGCCUUUCAUCCAUAAGGCUUCCUUUACUGCUUCAGCAACUGCUGUAUACUCAGCUUCUGUUGUUGACAAUGCAACAACAUGUUGAAGACUUGCUUUCCAAUUAAUCAAGCAGCCAUCCAGUAUGUACAAAUACCCUGUGAGAGAUCUUCUCCUGUCUAAGUCUCCUGCAAAGUCAGAAUCAACAAAUCUACAGAUCCCUCAGACUUGAUCCCUGACUUUCCAUAAACCAGCCCAUGGCUCAAGGUUCCACUUAGGUAUCUCAGCACCCACUUUACAGCUCUCCAAUGUUCUUUUCCAGGAGACACCAUAUAUCUGCUUACUACACUUAGAGCAUAGGAGAUAUCAGGCCUAGUUAGAACCAUGGCAUACAUCAUGCAGCCAACUGCAUUAGCAUAGGGAAUCUUAGCCAUCUCUAACUUUUCUUUUUUUGUCUUAGGACACUGCAAACUGGAGAGCUUAAAAUGUGUUGCUAUUGGAGUCAUCACAGGUUUACAUGAGGUCAUCCCAAAAGUUUCUAGUACCCUCUUCAGGUAUUUCUCUUGGGAAAGGAACAUAAUGCCUUUACUUCUGUCCCUCUUGAUCUCCAUGCCCAGUAUCUUCUUUGCUGACCCCAAAUCUUUCAUCUCAAAUUCAGAGCUCAGCAAACUCUUCAAAACUGCAAUUUCUUCUCUUGACUUAUAAGCUACCAACAUAUCAUCUACAUAUAGUAACAGGUAUAUGUAGAGAUUUGAACUUAUUAGCUUGUAAUAUACACAGCAAUCAAAACUGCAUCUCAGGUAUCCAUGUGACAACAUGAACUCAUCAAACCUGAGAUACCAUUGCCUUGGAGAUUGCUUGAGCCCAUACAGUGAUCUCUUUAGCAAGCAAACAUGGUUUGGUUUUUCAGAGUCUACAUAACCCUCAGGUUGAGUCAUAAGAAUUUCUUCCUGUAGUCUUCCAUGUAGGAAUGCAGUCUUGACAUCGAGUUGAUCAAGCUCUAAGUCAUGAACUGCAGUCAUUGCUAACAAUACCCUUAUGGAGGCAUGUCUGACCACAUGGGAGAAUACCUCCUUAAAGUCAACUCCUUCCCUUUGAGUGUACCCCUUAGCUACCAGCCUAGCUUUGUACCUGCUAGGUUCACUAGUUGUGAGGCCUUCUUUGACUCUGAAAACCCACUUGCAACCCACUGUCCUUCUGUUACCAGCCUUCUCAACCAAUAUCCAAUUGUGAUUCUUCUUCAGGGAGGCUAUCUCUUCAUUCAUAGCUUCCUGCCAUUCAGAUUUGUUUGAGCUUUGAAUUGCUUCAGCAUAACUCUUGGGCUCAUCUACAUUAAUGUCAUGUGAAGCAGCUAGUGCAUAUGCUAUCAUAUCAUCAUAUCCAUAUCUCUGUGGUGGUCUGAUUUGUCUCUUUUCUCUAUCUUUUGUUAGCUGAUACCCUUGUACUUGAGUCUGCCUUUGAGAUUGUGGUUGAGGGUCACUGUAUUAAUCACGAUCUUCACUGUCUUGAUCUGAACUUUCACCCCUCUCAGAUUUCUUUGAAUCAGGGUGCUCCACCUUAAGUUGGAUGUUAUCUUGCACUUGAGGUUUCUGAGUUUUCAACCCAGUAUCCUUUCUGACUUCCAAAACAGCCUUCUCAUUAAAUGCCACAUCUCUGCUUAUUAUGCACCUUGAAGGUUCUAGAUCAGUACACCAUAGUUUGUAUCAUUUAACUCCAUCAGGAUAGCCUAGGAACUGACCUUUAAGAGCCCUAUGUGCUAGCUUCCCUUGAUUUACAUGUGCAUAAGCAGGGCAUCCAAACACUUUAAGAUUGACAUAGCUUGCUGGUUUUCCAUGCCAUAUUUCAAAUGGAGUCUUAAAGUCUAGAGCAGCAGAUGGACUCAAAUUCACCAGAUAGCUUGCUGUUAAUAAGGUUUCUGCCCAAAGGCCUUUUGGAAGCUUUGCUUGCACCAGCAUGCACCUCACCUUAUCCAUUAGGGUCCUGUUCAUCCUUUCUGCCAAUCCAUUCUGCUGAAGUGUGAACCUCACUGUUUUGUGCCUUGCUAUCCCCUCAUUUGCACAAUAGCUGUUAAAUUGCUGAUUGCAGAACUCAAGUCCAUUAUCUGUCCUUAGUUUCUUAACCUUCUUUCCAGUUUGAUUUUCAACAAAGGUUUUCCAUUCUUUAAAUUUGCUAAAGACUUGAUCUUUGUGUUUCAGUACAUAGACCCAAACCCUUCUUGAAUAAUCAUCAAUUAUUGACAAAAAAUAGCUAUUACCACCUAAUGAGCUGGUCUGUGCUGGUCCCCAUAGAUCAGACUGUAUGUAAUCUAGGAUGCCAAUAGAUUUACUAGUAGAGUGUUUGAAACUGUGCCUUGUGGACUUCCCAAAUACACAAUCUUCACAAAAGUCUAACUCUUCUAUCUUAUCCUUCCCCAGAACCCCUUGUUUCUCAAGUUCUUUUAACCCCUUAACACUCAUAUGCCCCAAUCUUAGGUGCCACAGCCUGGUGCCUUCCCCACCAGUGCCAACAAUCACAUCUGUUAUUCCUGUAACUGCCUCACCAUCUAGGACAUAUACUCCAUUUCUUUUUUAUCCUUUCAUCACUAUCUUAGAGCCCUUCAUGAUCAACAAUCUACCAGAUUCAAGCUUAAGACUAAACCUAUUCUAAUCUAUCAAACCUAGUGAGAUUAAGUUCCUCUUUAAAUCAGGAACAUAUCUGACCUCUCUAAGUUCCCAAAUUGUCCCAUCAUGAAGCCUAAGACUCACAUUUCCCAUGCCUAUGACUUUACAUACAGCAUUGUUACCCAUCAUUACUUUUUCCCCAUCUAAAUCAUGGUAAUUAGAUAAGUAAGUUUUAAAUGGGCACAUAUGAAAUGUGCAACCAAAAUCUAGUAUCCAUUUACCUCUCUGGAGAUCCUCUAUAGCCACACAUACACCAGCAGAUUCAUAGCCUUCUUCCUCCACUAUAGUUGUAUCACCAUUUCUUUUUUUGCUUUUGUUCUUCAGUUCUUAACAGUCUCUCUUGAAGUGGCCUUCUUUGUUACAAUGAAAGCACUUCUUGUUUUGUGACUUGGACUUGUCUUGCUUUUGUUUCUUCUUCUUUCCAUCAUUUUUGUUAAACUUACCCUUAACUGAUAACCCUUCAGAAUGCAUCAUAUUCCUAGAUUUUUCUUGUAGCCCUCUAGUAUUCAAGGCAGUCUUAACCUCAUCUAAUGAUAAAGUUGAUCUUCCAUACAUAAGGGCAUCAACAAGAUUUGAAUAAGACUGAGGUAGAGAGCUCACCAGAAGCAAUGCCUUUCCUUCAUCAUCUAGCCCCUCAUCAAUGGUUUCAAGUGUGUCACACACUUGAUUGAAUUCAUCAAUAUGAUCAUCCAAAGAGGACUCUUCAGCCAUCUUCAGUGUGAACAUCCUUCUUUUGAUAUGUAACCUAUUAGCCAAAGAUUUAGUCAUAUAAAUCUUUUCUAAUUUUGCCCAUAAGUCUGCAACAGUCUUCUCCUUGGCAACCUCCCUUAUCAUUGAGUCACCAAGGCUUAAUAUGAUGGUGCUUCUGGCCUUCUUGUCUAUCUCGGCUGCCAUUUGAGGUGUCUUGGAGGAUGAUUCUUCUUUCCCUUCCUUCUUGGUGACAGGUUCAAGUGCAUCUCUUAACCCAUGUGUUAUCAGCAAGGCCUCCAUCUUCACCUUCCACAUGUUGAAAUCAUUCUUGCCAGUAAACUUCUUAAGAUCGAUCUUGGUUGAAACCAUACUUGUCUUUGGUUGUAGAUUCAGCUCUGAUACCAAUUGUAGAAUCUCAAGUGUUAUAGACUGAUAAAGCAACCCAAGACUCUGCCCCAAGACCUCAAGCCAAUAAAACAAGAUGCAGCAAGUUGUUUUACUGAAAAGCUAUGACUAAGAUGAACCUAUGGAACUAGACAAUUAACCGAUUGGAAUUAAGAAUCAAAAGAAGUAAAUGAAAUAGAGAACAAAAGAAUCUUAACGUGGUUCAGCUAGAUUUCUCUAGCUUACAUCCACAGGAGGGAAAGAACACAACUUUAUUGAUUUCCUUUAGAUGAAUUACAGAGUAAUGUUUAGAUUCCAAGAAAGAUCACAACUAGCUUUAUAUAACCAGCUUCCUUCUCUCUCUUCAGAUCUCUCUGCUCUCCAAUCCGUUGCUUCCACAUUAGCUGUUCCAUAACAGCUUCAGUUAACGAACCCAGAAAUUUUCAGCACCUCACGUGAGUUCCUCAUGCGUUUAACGACUUCUAACGAACUUUGCAAGCUGAACACAAGCACGUGAUAUAAGCGUGCAUCACUUAAAUCUAAACGACAAACCCAUACGUCGUUCAAAAGUGUAUUUCUUUUACUCUUCAAAACGCAGGAUCCUGUGCCGUUGAGCUUAAGUGUUUCCAGCUUCUAAACGCAAAGUCUUCCGCCGUUUUGGUUUUCUGGAUUUGCUUUCACAAACAACAGUAUCCAACAGCCAAUCAUCGUAUGCACUAAAUCGCGCACUUCUCUGCAAAUUCACCAGCUGGAGCAACAGAUAAAGCUAAUUAGGUAUUCAUGGAUUGAUUGAAGCAAUGUGAAUGGCAUAACAGUCAAAUAAUUAAGCCAGCCUCACCAAUAAGACCAGCGGCCACGUUCGCUUGAGCAUCAGCCUCAGAGUUCAGGUUCUUCCAAAUGUGCAAAGAAAAACAUCAGAAACUUGUGCAAGAAAAGGAAAAACAGCAGCGAGAACUUUUAUAACCAACACAUGGGAGUCAAUGGGAGGAUAAAGACAUUAUCUUGUACAAAGCCAUAAGAACCGUAAGGCACAAAAACUAUAGUCACCCUUAGAACAUAAGCUAUCUAUAUGGAAAGCAAUUUAUCCUCACCCUCUUGGCCUCCCCAUAUAGUUCAGCCAUGCCCUGGUGAAUGGUCUUCCAUGAACCAACAACCUGCAUCAUGAAACAACCUGUGCAAGAAAAGCUAGGAAAAGAAGAAGUUAAGGAACCAUCGAGAUAAAAGUCAGAAUAUAGUGAAACAUUGUCAUCAAUGAGCUAAUCAUAAAAUCCAAUUUUUUUUUAAAAUAUUUUGUAAAGGUAACACAAACCUUCGUACAGACAAGUUUGGAGUCUCCCGCACACGGAUGUUGUAAAAGCCGUAUUGAAGGGCAUAUUUCAAUCCCAAAAUCAAGUCUCGAUAUUCAGCAACAUUAUUUGUUGUUAUGCCAGGCCCUCUUGCGAUUUACAAAUCUAUUAAAAAAAAAAUGGUUAAACAGAUAAAUGUGUUAAAGAAAUAAACGGAUUCACAAUAGUGAGUGUGACUGUAUACCAAACUUCCAUCAUCAGCACGGUGGCUACACUAGGCAGUCUCGGAUUUCCUCAUCAAAUUCAAUAACACAGGAACGUUGCAAAUACGUAACCAAAUUGUAACUAGAUACGGUGUUGAAGAGCCCUCCAACAAAGGAACCACCAUAAUGCAAGCGUUAACUUGGUGCACAAACUAAAAGACAUUUUCCAAAUACUUCACAUUUUAGCUAUGUCUAUUGUAGCAACUAUAGGAUGGUAACACCUGCGUAAGUACAAAAGAUGGGCCAGAAGCUGGAAAAGGACUUGUAAUAAAGUCACUCUAGCAAAUGUAAUAUUUUCAUCUUUAUGCAGAAAUGAAAAUAUACUUACACAACAGGAUGCUGCUUGGGCCUCAGCGUCAUGAUCCAACCUGACAUGCUUUCUCAAAGGAUCAGCUAAAACAGACAUUGAACCAAGUUCAUGCUGCAUUAUAUUAAGACUAAUAUGAAAAAUAAAUAAAUAUGACUAAGAAAAAGCUCACCAAUAUGUUCUCAAAAGCAGAAAAGCUUGUUCACCAAAAAUGGGUAAAUGCAGGAUAAAGGGGUGUUUCAGGAUUCAGUCUUACACUUUAGCAAUUCACAUGAAGUGGCUACUCUUACGAAUAGAGCACCAAGGCUAAGCAAUUGCACUCAUCAAUCCAGUAGUUUUGUCAUAGCACCAGCCGAUGGUAUCUUUAUUUAUUCUAAGGCUUAAGAUUUAAGCAUAAGAAAACCAGCACACAGAGCAAUUAUAUUACUGCAUAUUUUGCGUCAUAAACCAUGAGCAAUUCAGCACAAAUUUAGAUAAAACUCAACCAUUCGAAGAUAAAAAAAGGAGAUACAACUGAAAUAUUUACCGAGCCUCUAUUUUUUAGAGAAAUGGUUUUCUCCGCUAUCUGAAGAAUCUCGUUUGGGCAACCAGUUGGAAUGGGAAUGGCUCAGCCACAUGCAUCAUUUGAUAAAAGCACUCCAGUCCAGUCGCCUCCUCGUAGUGGCUCGUCAACCACGCUGUCCCUCCCUCAAAACAAUACUACUCUUCGAAUGCCCUUCCUUAGGUUGGGGAUAGACAGCAAUGAGUAUUUCGCUCCAGCAGUUGCCUUCUAUUGGUUCCUAUCUGUUCCAGUUGGAAUUUGAUUUAGAAUGGCCCCAGUGAAGAAAUGAAAAUAUUGCAAAUUCCAUAGGAAAAGGAGAGGAGUGUUGUUAUGCAUGAUAGAGUGCGUGUAAGUUCGAUGCCCGUAGUUGUUUCCCCUUAAAUUGCACGAGAUAAGGAAGACGGGAUAUCAAGUGGGAAGGCUGUGAAGGUUCAGUCAAGUCUCAUAUAUAUAUAUAUAUAUAUAAGUGAUUUAAGUGACGCAUGUGACAAGUCAUGUGCCUCACUCACCACCCCAGACAACAUUGAGUUAAUGCCGUAUAUACCAAACGAGAUACCAACCGACAUGUCGUUGAAGACUAUACGACGAGGCAGAUACUUUCUGACUAUAUAUCUGACUUGUUGGACUCGAUUAUAAUUUCUGAUUUUAGCUUCACUCUUCAUCAACAUAUACAUAUGUGUGAAAAUACGUAGGUCCAGACCUCCAUGUUUACGAAUUUAUAAGCUGGCUUCCUCGGUGCUGACGUCCAAACUUGAGCAUGACAAUAGAUAUACACACACACUUUAGCUUGGUAGUCCAGAGUCAAAACUUUUCUUAUCUCUUUGAUUGUGCGGGAAAAUUUUGAGAUAUAACAAGGUCGGUCCAGCUAUAUGAACCAGCUAGGUUUCGAUGAAAAUUUUGAGAGUACAUGAAAAUUUUUAGUGUACAUAAGAAAUUUUAGAGGGCAUGAAACUUUCUUAAGAUAUGUUGCACUUUGAUGUAUUCAUGACUAAUUGUUCCAGUGGAAGAGCUCGAAAGGCAGAGGAAAUUAUAAAAAAUUGUUCUGUGGAAAGAGCAUGCUAUGUUUGAUGAAGUAAACUCAUGUGCUCUAAAACUUCUGAAAUAUUAAUGUUUCUUAAUGCUGGCAUGAUCUUAUAGUGGAUACUUAACCAAGGUACUCUGUUGAAAUAUUAUGUUUCCUUGCAAGAUUUCAUAUCAUGAUUUGAUUGAUUUCAGUCAAGAACAGCAUUCUUGGACGGUUUAAGAUCAAUACGAAGCAAACUCGCAAGGACUUGUCUCUUGAUUAGCUAGUCUUGUCGCUUAACUUGUAUCGGAGUGACUGGACGUUUAUUCAUGGUGUUGAAGGUAUUCUACCUGAAUAAUAUGUCGCAAUCAUCUCAGAUCAGAAAAUCAGAAAAACUUUUGUGGCUUUGUCUUCUCUGUUUCUUCGUAUUUUUGGCUUUGUAAAUCACAAAAGCUAUGCCGUGAGAUGUUUUCUUCAGAGUUUUUGAUUUUGUUAGUGAAGUUUUGGUUCAUAUCUUUCUACCAGAAGCGUCUCCUUUGAUCAAUUACUUAGCUUGCCAAAAGACACAGACUGGUAAAAGGUUGACAGAAGCUUGAUACUGGGGCAAUAUUUUGACUUGUCUCAUUUUUUUCCAUUCUUGCAUCUAACCAUUUUAUGUGCUAUCCGGGGAAAAAAAAUUGAAAUGGGAGUAAUCCCAAGUUUAGACUGUGAAUUCAAAAUAAAAUGUGCAUUCUAGGAAGCACGCCCUUUGACUUCAUCAGUUCUCAAAUCCUCAUUGCCAUAUCUACAAGGUCUUGAUUGCAAAGCAUCCUAAAAAUUUCAUAGGUACUCAGAGUUGGCUGGGUUAGGUGGCUUACUACUGCUCUCUGAAAAACUGAGUAAGCCUCUUUAAUUCGUCUAGCCUCUGUUAGUUGAUGAGAAAAUGACUAUAUCAUAAAGUCGAGAAUUCGGACCAAUGCCACACUUUCCCAUCUCGUCCAUCAUCUUAUAUGCAUCCUCAUUGACCAACACUAAGCCCCAAAAGAGCAUUGCAAGUAUGCGCCUCCUGUUCAAACUCUUCUUCGGCUGUUCAAAAACUUCAAGAACUUCACUUAACCUCUACUAGACCUCUAUCAAUUAGUCAAAGUACAGAACAUAUGCAAUUCUUCGCCGCCAUUUUACAAAACACCUCAACCGGCUCGUCAUCCUUCUCAGCCUCACAGUCUGCGCAUUGUGAGAUUCCUGAUAAAGCACUUGACUAAAAUGCUAAAUUACAUAAUCCUCUGUUCACCACUUCUAAGGACUUGCAGGAAAAUUUUUAUUUUUCACAUAAAUAUUAUCUAAUAAAAUAUCUGAUGUUAUGCAGUAAAGUCAUCCUUAACAAAUGACUCCUGAAAUUGUUUGACAUUAAAACCAUUUUAGGUAACUCGUUAGUUUAUAUGUACUAAGAAACUCAAGCACCCACUUGCACCAGUAUACAGAGAAACCAAAAAGGUAAAAUAAUUUUUUUAUUUGAAAAAAUAAAGAAAAAGAAAGAAUGAAUAUAAGUAUAAACAUAUUAACGUCUUAUUUNNNNNNNNNNNNNNNNNNNNNNNNNNNNNNNNNNNNNNNNNNNNNNNNNNNNNNNNNNNNNNNNNNNNNNNNNNNNNNNNNNNNNNNNNNNNNNNNNNNNUUCUUAAUUCCCACUUCACUCAGGAAAAGAUUUUUUUAUUACACAAUCACUACCUCUCAACUUUGUUUCAAUAAAAUCUCUUUCAAAUUCUACAAACGACUCUUUUUCUUGGUAAUUCUUACCGAUUGAAACCCAAUAAAAACAAUUUCUAGCAACAGGCAUUCUUUCUAGGGCUUCUCAAUCUUUGUUCUUUGAAUCUUUUAAAAUCCUUUCUUGCAAAUUUUCAAAACCCUCUUCAAACAAACAAUCAAAACACACAAAAUGGGGACAUACAGUUACAAACUCGAGUGUGUUAGGAAGACAAAGUUUGUUAUCAAGAGAAGCUGUGGUGGUUUCGCUGGUGUAGAUUCUUGUUCUUCUGAGCCGCUUCUGUCAUGCCACCAUUCUACUGUUCGGAACAGAAGGUGCAUUUUUUGCAACCAAGCCAUGGAUGGUUCUUUCGGUUUAUCUUUUGAUUAUAUGCUGCCAGGAUUAAGGUACAGUGAAGAAGAAGUUUUAGUUUUGAAGAAAAGAAACACAAAGGCUUUGUUAAGGAAGAGGAAGCUCCAUCUUGUUCUAGAUUUAGACCAUACGCUGCUCCACUGUCGAAAGAUUAAAAGCCUCUCAUCCGGAGAGAAUAUUUGAAGAAGCAAGUUCAUCCUUUCAAUGGCACUUUAUUCCAGAUAGAUGAUGACAAUUUGGUGAAGUUGAGGCCAUUUGUGCGCACUUUUCUUGAACAAGCCAGUAGCUUGUUUGAGAUGUAUGUAUGCACGAUGGGUACCCGAUGUUACGCUAAGGCAGCUGUCAAGCUCCUGGACCCAGAUUCCAAAUACUUCAGUUCCCGGAUCAUCGCUCGUGAAGAUUUCAACGGAAAAGAUAGGAAGGACCUGGACCUAGUACUGGGCCAAGAGAGGGGCAUUGUUAUUCUUGAUGACACUGAGAGUGUGUGGAGUGAUCGCACAGAGAACUUGAUAGUUGUGGCAAAAUAUGACUACUUUAGGGAUAAAGAAUUGAAAGGCGAUCACAAAUCUUAUUCUGAGACACAGACUGAUGAAAGUGAGAAUGAAGGGGUAUUGACAAACGUUCUGAGAGUUCUGAAAACAAUACAUAGGUUGUUCUUUGACAGUGUCUGUGGAGAUGUUCGGACUUACUUACCGAAAAUUCGUAGAGGGAUUCUCAAGGGAUGUUCUUUACUUUUCAGCGAUUUUGAGGAUUUUAUACGAAGCAGUUCAAGGGCGGAGGAGAUGGGAGCCACGUGCACAAUAGUAAUUGACUCAGUCACGCAUUUGGUCUCUACGGAACCUGAGGAUUGUCUCUGUCCAGAGCAAGAGGAGAAGUUCUUGGUACAUCCAAGGUGGAUAGAUGAUUGUUAUUUCCUCUGGCAUAGGCAGCCUGAAGAUGAUUAUCUCCCCUGAUCGUGGAACAAUCUUCGGUUCCACAUUUUAAGCCAUUCUUUGAUUCAUUUAUGUAAUGUAAUACUGCUAUUGAUUCUACCACUCAUGGCUUCAUUGUAAUACUCUACAUUAAUGUUAUGCGUUGAAAUCAAAGAGUGCCAGCACUGUUUAAUUAAUUUUAAUCUUUUCAUUGAAGAUGUAAUUAUACAAUUUUCAAGUUCUUCUUCUGUUUUAACUCAUUAAUUAAUUGGAAGCUGUGAUAGUGUUUGUGAUGACUUUAGUAGAAGUAGUUCCUUGAGAUUUCAGAAAUAUCUGCAAUAGUUCUUUCUUUGGCCACCAUGAUAGGAUUUCUGAUGAAGUUAGUUUCCUGAUCGCGUUGAAGCUUUUAGAUGCCAUUGCCCAUCAGGCCUCAUAUACCUCUGAUUAGAGCGACAAGCCCAGGCUUUGUAAUCAUUAGGUCUCUGAGACAGAACUUUUGAACCAUAUCUCACUAUCAAAUUUUUAAAGACUAAAUCUAAUUGUACUCUGAAAUUUCUUUCUCCAAUCAACUUAUAUAGAGCCCGAUUCGAUUAAUUCUGGCUACCUUUACCCUGCCUCUUCUGCACAUCUUAUUGCAUGGAGCUUGUUCUACAACAUGACAGCCAUUGUCAAGAACUAAGCUAAAUUUUGAAAAUAUCAAGGUGUAAUCCUGGUAAGAAAACAUACCAGUCGAGGCUGUUUGUGAGAAAUUAUUUAUUGAUGGAUCAAUUUUGUUCCUAUAUAUGUUGAUUUAUUCCAUUGCUCCACAUUACACAUUAUCAAUUUGAUGUUUACAAGAACAAAAUUCAUUCUUUGAUGUUUGCACAGUCCACAUUUUGGCUUUCAUUGGUAGUGAAUGAUAAAGAAAAUGGACUGGUAAAUGGUAAAUGGUGUGACUGUGCCACUGUGGAGCUUCAGGAACAACAGUUCUAAGUUGUGUUGACCCUUCUGAGUUGUGUUUUCUUCUGUUCAAAAUGAGCUGAUAAACAGGGGCGGAGCUAGGGGAAAAAUUCUACAGGGGCCAAAUUUAAAAUUUUAUUUUUUUAUGUUAUUAUAUAUGUAAAAUUAUAAUUCUACAGGGGCCAAUAUAGAUAUGUUAUACUAAUUUUUCACAUUUUCUUUAGAAACCCUAAAAUUUAUCAAAAUUCUACAGGGGCUGUGGCACCCUCUAGCCUUAUACUAGCUCCCCCCCUGCUGAUAAAUUAUUCCAUGGAGGUCCUAUUUCAUGGGGCUAAAAUGCUUUGUUUUAAUAAAAUGAAUUCCCUAAUUUUCUUCUGCUACAACCAUGUACACUAAAACUUCGACUAAUUUUAUUUUCUAAUGAUGAAGCAUCGAAACCUUGCUUGAUUCAUUGCUUCCUUACAUUUGUAUGACCUCAUUUCUGUAAACUUUGUGAUUCAAUUGCUUUACAAACCAAUUAUACGUUACAUCUUUUAGUUCUUAGAUGUUUGAGCCUUCCACAUUUUGUUAUUGUGCUGCCUUUGCUUGCCCACAUUGACCAAAAUGGCAAGGCUUGGAAUGAUUUCUGUGCAUUCUUUAGUUGAGGCAAUUGUUUUUGGUCUUAGCUGCAUUCUUGAGUUUUUUACGACAUAGAAUUGCCUGUCAGAGUUCAUAUUUUGUGCUUAUUACUGUUUGCUAAUGGCAUGUGAUGUAAUAGUCUUUCACUGAAACGUUGCUGUUUUCUUACAUUUCUCUAUAAACCUCAUUCAUUCUUGGCAAAUUCUUCUGUUUUCCCCACUAUUCUAACAAAAUCAUGUACAACUUAUUAUCAAAUCCAGCAAUUGCAGCUUCAUUCUAGGGUUCUCCAUUUUCUCUAAAGCAUAUAUUGCUUCAUUAACCCUUCUAGCUCCUCAAAAUCAAACCAAAUGUGCAUUUGUUUCACAACCAUUUUCACUUCAUUGCACUCAUCAUGCCCAUUAUUCAUUUUAAAUUGCUAAAUUCACCUGGAUAUUGAUCAAUUCAACCAUUAUCAAGUGUCGCUUACCUCUUCAAAGUGAAAAGAUUCAUACCCAUUUUAAAGACCUAAAUCAGUAAUUUAAAAUUUUAUUUAAGAAAAAAAAACUAAUUGGUACAAAGGCACCCAUUUCUCUCAAAUGUAAUCAGAGCAUUAAUUUGGGCAUUGUUAAUGUUUUUAGAAACUUGAACAAGCACCUCCCUUUAUAUAACGGAACAUAUUAUCCAAAAUAUGGAAAUAAAAAAAAAUAUUUUUUAUUAUUUCAAAAAAAUAGAAAAAAAAUUAAGUAGCGUCUUAUUUUUAAACAAUUAGAUUUAAAAAGAAAAAAGAAAAAGUUUUUACUUGCAGAGAAAGAAAAAGGGAAAUUUGAAACUCAACAAAAUCGACCGUUAACCUCUACUAGGGUUAGAGAGAACAGUCUUGGUGCGCGGUAUUAACGGCUUUAUUCACAUCUCUCAGUUAUAAAGAUUUUAACCGCGUGUUUGCUUAAUUCCCACUUCACUCAGGAAAAAGAAUCAACUAAAAACUCUCUCAACUCUUUGCUCUUUCAGUUUUUGUCCAACAAAACCCUAAUUCUUGUAAUUCCUCAAUCCCACUACGCUUAUUCCUUUGUUCCGUUCAUAAGCAUUUCGUUAAAUCUUCUCAAUCUUUUUGCAAAUUCCCAGACCCUCUUGAAAAAUAAUUAGAACCCACAAAGAGUUUCGUCCAUUUCCCAGAUCAAAAUGCCUACGAUUGGUCUGAAACGGACCUAUAGUUUUCUUGAAGUCGCUGGUGGAAGUAAUGUUAAUCUCAAGAAGCAGAACACAUUGGGAGAUAAUUCUUCGAUUUCUGGUUCGAACAUGUCCGUUGAUUCUGAAAACAGAUUGCGGGCUGCAAUGAUCCGGACUAGGUUUGCUGAGACUAUAUUGAGAUGCCAACAAAACAUGAUCCUGAAAGAAAGCAACAAAGCUGGGAAGGAAAGAUUGAAAAAGGAGAAAGCUCUUACUGAAGCUCGAAUCAGAGCUGCUAAGAUGGAGUUGAAGAAGAUGCAAAGGCCGAAAGAAAGGGAAAUCUCCAAGCUUGCGAUAGAAAAGAUUCAAAGAACCGUUGAAUGGAACGAUGCUUUAUAUGUUACUCAGGAAUUUGAGAAGCUAAUUGGCGUUCAGACGGGUCCCGUUAGAUCGUUUACGCGCGAUUGUUUUCGGUGGUAGCUUAAACCCUAUUGGACAUAAUAUUAGGGCUCUCUUUUCGGUUUCUUUUUUUGUACAUGAAUAGAAAUUUUUAUUUCUAGAAAAUUGUAAACACACCCAAUUUUUUUGUAAAGUUGAUGUUCAAUUUAAUAGCUAUGCUUUGCUCCCAGCAAUUUUGUUUCGCAAUUGCUUCAUUCUAUCAUCUGUUUUCAGAAAUUAACAAUGGAUUUCUAGAAGCCUUUUUGCGUUCUGAACUUUUGAUAGUUUAAAUAUUUUCUAUGAUAGUAUCUACUUGAAGUGGGUUUCCUACUUAAAUUUGGGUAACUCAGAAAUAAGCUUCCUAAAUCGAUUGGGAAAGAAACGCGUUAAAUCAUUAACUUGGGGAAGUUAAAGUCAGGAUUUUUGGCGCGCCGAUUCUAGUCAUAACCCUAAAAAUGACGGUCACAACUUCAAAUUUUUACCCUACCCUUUUUCUUUUUCUGCAAGUAAAGGUCAUUAAUUUAGAAGUUUAGGCUAUUUCAGUUAUAAAUUUUCAACUUUUAUUCGCUUUUCUACUUGUGAACAUAAAUUUUUUGUACGUGAGUGGCCUUUUUAAAUGAAUAAGCAAAAGAAGAAAUUAAUUGGUAGAAAUAAAUAAAGUCCAGACCAGAUUUUAGCUGUGCUCUGCCUCUUUCUCUGAUUAGUAGUCCAGAAUUCAAAAUCUUUAGCUAAAGGCCCUCAAGACUCUUCUUCUUAUAUUCUGAAAUGAUACAUCAUUAUGCAAGAUUUUGACUUGAGCCAUUUUCUUCUUUUUUCCUGUUCAACUAAACAUUUUCUUCUUUUAGAUUUUUUCUCCCUCGGUGCUUGGCAUUGGAUAAUUCUUCAUCAAGUCCUUCUUAACUGACAGGGCCAAAAGCUAUAGAUGACUAAUACUGCUCCUUCUCAUUCAAAAUCUCCAAAACGCCACUCUUGAUAUUCCUAAGAGGCUUUUUCUGCGAAUAUUUUUGCACAAGCUUCAAUUCAGACACUCUUACGAGUUAAAGUGGAGACUUCCAUCUUCUGAGAUGUAUCCUUCUAGAGAAUGUGCGUGUUUUGUCUUUCAAGGAAAACUUUAAUGCUUUUAGCUGUAGAUUCCAAAUUUUUGGUUUCCAUCUUAGCCAAUUCAAGGGCUCUCUUUUCUGUUAUCAUUAACAGCAUUUCCAUCUGCAUAACCUACUCUCUGUAAUGAAGCUGGCAUUCAGACAAUUUCUUUUGCUUUUCAAGCUCUUGUGCCAGAUCGGAUUAGCUGAUGGUCUACAAGACUCACAGAUUCUGUCCUCUUCGAUUUGGUUGCUACUUAUCAUUCUUCAUCUCCAAUUGCUUAGUCACGGGAAGGAAAUCUUUUCUUCAUUCUUCUUGGUGAAUUUUCUCACUUAAAUGCUUGGUUUAAGCCUGUGAAAAAUUUCUUAUCUUAAGACCAUAAGAAGUAACACACAUUGAACUGUAGAAUGUAAGCCUCCCAACUACAUGUGAUGUUCCCCUGUCCAAAUCCAAUUUUAGUUUAUAACACACAUAGAGAACAUAUUUGAAAAGGGUUUGAGUACAUUAAUACAUAUAAUGUCAACAAAUGCAGAAAUUCAAUCCUGACGUGUGUAGUUUUACAAAAUCCAUUUAAAGAUUAUAAUUAAUGUAUAAAUUGAUUGCCAUGUCAUUAUGUAUAAAUUGAUUACAAAAUCCAUCUAAAGCAAGUAUCUCAGGCCACAAUGGAUGCACUUGCUAGUGUUUCUGGGUAUGAAAUUGAGAUUCCCUCGUAUCUUCAUGAGCAGGCAUUUUAUUUUCUUUUAAUCGAGCUUCAAUCAUAUUAUGAAAGUUAAUGCGAGUAAAAACAUGCUUUACCUCUGCAAGCUGAUGCAUUAGGUACUAAUUAAGAUGACUCUUUUGCCGUACAAGCACUGGUUUGUCUCUUAAUUUAAUCUGUGACCUUAUCUUAUCAAUAAGUAUAGGGGGCGCAAAGAACAAUGGUCAGUUAAAAUCAUCAUGAUUGAUUCAAUGGCAACACACUCAUAAAUUUAACCCCUCUUUAGAAUUGAAUGAGCAAAACAUUCUCCAGGUGGAGAUUUUUCUAUGAAAAUGAUUAAAAAGUUGCCUGUUAGGAUCAGUUAACAGAGUCUGAUUCUGAAGCUUCAAAGAGAAACCAUUCAUGACUCAAUUAAUCAAACAGCAAAUCCAAAAUACUGAAAAGAAAUCAAGAAAAAUAACUGAAAUUUUUGUAACCAAGCUUCUCAUUGACAAUGAUGAUAGUACACAAAGACUACAAAUCUCGCAUCAAGAAAAAAAUCCCUAGUUUUACAAGUAUAUCUUAACUCAAAGAAUUACAAGAUAUUGCCAAUGCUUCAGGCUUAGGGAACCAACUUCGAAUUGAUUAACUAGUAAUAUGUAACAAUUAAGAAAUUUCAAACACAACUAUACACCUAUUUCUAAAGCUAAACACAUAUAAUUCUACAACAUAAACCCAAAAGGACAACAUUUUGGGUGAAUCUGGUUCUGAUAUGGUCCCAUGAAAGCUAACAACACAAUCAAAGCAGUAACCCUGAACUGAAAGAAUCCCUCCGAGAGCCAAAAUUGUGAUGAAGAUAGAAAUUGAACCAGCAUUACUAGAACAAGUGAUCCGGCCAGAAGCACCAAAUGGGUAUUGACUUCUGUGGGUUUUACAAUGCUCAACUCAACAGAGAAAAUCCGAGGGGCGGUGACUAGAAAGAUCAUCACGGCCAGCGUUACAAGAAUCAGAAUUGGUAAUGGCAGAGGAUCUUGCCCAAACUUGCCCAAGAUAGUAGAGAUUCUUCUGCUUCCGCUUCGUUUUCUGUGAAUAGUACCCAUCAAAAUCAAGAAUUCAAAAUUCACAAAAACCCUUUUCUCUUUGAAGCCUUUAAAAUGAAUGAAUGUUGCAAGUAAUCGUUUUCUUGGGUUUCAAUCGGAAAGAAUGAAUGAUGAAGAAGAAGAAAGCAGAGUUGAAGAAUGCAGAAUUUGGGAGAGAUUUUUUGGCAACGGCAAUUAAUUCUGUAAAUGUAUUUCUUUUCCUAAUUGAAGUGGCCUUUCGGUAUUUAUUUGUUAUUCUAAGAAAUGAAUUGAGAAAUAACGCGGUUAAAAUCUAAACGCUACCUGACGCUAACUGUCAAAAAAGGGUAAUUUUUAAAAAUCUCCCCUGAGAUUUGGGCUUAUUACAAGUAGAUGGCGAGAAUUUGUUUAUUUGUAAAAAACUCCCUACCGUCAGUUAACUUUAACAUUGACCAGUAUUUGACUGUGCAAAGACAAUAUUACCCUUAACANNNNNNNNNNNNNNNNNNNNNNNNNNNNNNNNNNNNNNNNNNNNNNNNNNNNNNNNNNNNNNNNNNNNNNNNNNNNNNNNNNNNNNNNNNNNNNNNNNNNAAAUUCAGAUUUUAUUUUUGGUAAUUCCCUAAUUAAAAUCGAUUUACCCUUUUCUUUUUCACCAAGUAAAGACCAUUAUCGUUUAUUAAUUUUACCAGUUUAGGAUAUUUCAUUUUUCUACAAUCCGCGUUCACCUUAAUAAAUUGUUAAUUUUUUUUCCUGUCCUGCUUCUGUUUUUAACAAUUUUUAUUUUUUUUUAAUUUAUCUGAUUGUACAUGAACAAGCAAAUGAGAAAUUAAUUAUAACUUAAAGAAGGCCUAGAAAUUGAAUCAAUCCGUUGAUUUGUUUGUUUGUCUUUUCUAUAUUUCUUCAGUUCCCUUUCCCCACUUCAACUUUUUGCAAUCAAGGGCUUGUAUGCACUGGUAGAGAUUUCAUUAAAACAUAAACUGCAGAAUGGUAAUUUCCCAGUUCCAUUUGAAGCUUCUCUGUUUGUGCAUUGGUUUAGCUUCCAACAAACUGGUUGCUGGUGAGAACUUACUGGCCAGGAUUUUGGAAACUGGCUGGCUGCAGGACAAAUGAGAUUGUGAUUUUGGAGCCUUGUUUGAGUGAAUGCACCGACAGAAUAUCACUUUGAUUGUUGCUGAAAAAUAUGCAGAGGAGAUUCAAGGCAGAACACUUCGUUCUUCAGAGAAAACAUCAUCCAAAAUCCUCGGAAAAUCAUAAAUACCAUCUCAGAUAUAUUUUCAGAAAAUAAGCAAAUGUAGGAUUCUAAACUCCAUGGUUUGGACAAAUUCUAACGCCACAGCCCAGCCGGAAACAGCCAAGCCAAGUGCCAUAGGACAGUGCAAUAUGGACUAAAGCUUAGAGAACUGAUGUAUCUAGCUAGGUUUGAUUUGAAAGUAUAUUGUACUAAUGCAACUCUUCUCAUUUAAUAGGCCUGAAAUAAGCAACAUUAGAUGACCACUUACAAUGUGCAAUUAUAUAUACAUUAGAUGACCACAUAAUCUAGUAACAUUUUUAUUAUAUGUCAAAAAAUCUGCAUAAGAAUGUAGCAAACACCUAACAGAACUACUGAAAGCAAAUAAUAGCUAUUAAAUUGAACAUCAUGAAGAGAUUUACUGAUACAACUCUGCAACUCAGAGUUUAUAUCCUAGAUUUACACUUUUCGAGUAAGUGCUGACUCCAGCAAAAAGAAGCAAAAGAAUUGAAAUUAAUGGAGAAACAGAGAUAGCAGGAGAGACGGAGAGAGAGAAGAAGAAAUAUUUGCCAUUUUCUUGCUUUCUAUGACGUGUUCCCCUCUACAUAUAUCUUUUACCCCUCAACAUUACACGUGUAACUAACCAACAAAUGAAUGAUUCAAAGAAAAAACAGUCACAACAAAAUAACAAAAUCACAGCUGCCAUCUUUUCCAUUCUCUUUGUGCCUUCUCGAAUAUUCCUUAGGUAAUGUAAUCUUUGAGGUAUGUUGGUGCCCUGCGCAUACGAGCUGGACCUUUUGUGUGCUCCUCAACCAGCUGGGCUUCUUUCUCUGUUUCCCAUGCUGACUUGUCAUUAAUCUCGGGCAAGGUUGUAUCAUUUACGCUACCACUUAAAACAGUCGUGAGUAAAUGAAAUAACAGGACAUGUACGAAGGCCAAUUAGCUUCUCAAAUUCCUGUGUAACUUGGAAAGCAUCAUUCCGUUCAACAGUUAUUUGAAUCCUGCAUUUAGCAAGCCUAGCAAUUUGUCUUCCUUUUUGCCUUUGCAUCUUCAACUACAUCUUAGCAGCUCUGAUAAUUUUUUCUCGCGAUUUCAAUAAUCGCAGCACGUAAAUUUUUUUCAGCAUCAAGAGAUAUAUUACCUUCAGCAGCAGCUUCAGGAACAAUGUAGGCGGGUUUCUGAUCAAUCUUACGCAUUCUGAUUUUGACAGUGAAAGGAACUACUUAAUGGCCAAAAUUCAGAAUGCUGGUAAACACUUCGUGUAUUUGAUAAUUUGAGGUUUUCUUUUUCUUUUUUGNNNNNNNNNNNNNNNNNNNNNNNNNNNNNNNNNNNNNNNNNNNNNNNNNNNNNNNNNNNNNNNNNNNNNNNNNNNNNNCUCUCUGUUUUUUUUUCCCCCUUCAAAAAACCUUUUCUCUUGAAGCCUUAAAAUGAUUGAACGAUGCAAAAAAAUCGUUUUUUUUGGGAUUCUAUCGGAAAGAAUAAAGAGAAGACAGAUAGAAAUAUUUCUCAGACUAAAAUUGAGUAGAGAGUUGAGAAAGAUUAUGUUAAGUAUGUAAACGUAAAUCUUUGAUUUUCUGAGUGAAAUGAGCUUAUUGUAAGAAAAUUUGGGGGGGUGGGGGGGGUGCUCCAAUUGAUUUUUCAAUUUUAUUUUAAUGAGAUUUUUUUGAAUCAAGUAUUGAAUUGAGAAAAAAAGAAGAAGCGAGGAGAGAUGCCUUUUUUCAAAAAAAAUUAACGGUCUAUUUUGCGCGCCAUGACUAUUCUCUCUAAGCCUAAAUUAACGGUCUAUUUUGUUUUAUUUUCAAUUUUUAUAUCUUCUUAAAUUAAUUAAUAUAGAUUUUACCUUUUGUUUCUCUAGAAGAAAAAAACUAAAAGAUGCCUUUUUUCAAAAAAAAAUGCUUUAGUAUUUACUUUAUUACUUUUUUUUUCAUUUUGUUUUCUCAAGAAAAAAUAAAAUGUUUUUUUUUAUAAUUCUAUUUUAGAUUUAGAUUCUAUGUUUUGUAAAGAACACGUGCCUGUUUGAAUUUCUUUAUUAUAUUUCGAAUGGGUCUGAUUUUCUGAAUACGUAAACAAUUAAGUUUACUUUGUUAGUAUUGAUUUUUUUGUUUAAUUGCGUAUUUUUUAGUCCAAAUUAAAGUUUAAUGUUCAUUUUACUCUUUUUGUGAUUUGUCCGUCCUAACGGAAGGAAUGCGUGUAAUUCGCACAUUGUUGUUUUACAUGGGAGUGAUGUGGCAAACUGGCAAGUGUUGAUUCUUUUGGGUGUUGGAUGAAAAUAACCCAAAAUUGAAAAUAAAAUAAAAAUAAAAUAGCAAUCGUUUCCAUUUCGAAUAGAAUAGAAACCCUAGAGCGAAACUAAUAUGGCUUUAGUAUAGCCAGCCAUUGCCCGUCGCCGGAGCCACCACUGCUGCUGCUGCCGCUGCCGCUGUGUCACCGUCGCCCUCCGCCAUUCCUCGUGAAGGUUAUCUCUGUUUUAGUUUCUUUUUUCAUUUUAUUUCAAAUUCAUAUUGUGAAAUUUGAGGUCUUUGUGUUGAUUUAUUUCAUGAAUUGAGCUGAUUUUAUGCUAAUUGAUCAGAUUGUCACAAACCCUAGAAUCCGUCGCUGCCGCCAUCGUUGAAGGUUUGCUGCUGCCAAUAUUCUGACUUUCAUGUAACAUCUUUUGCUUGUCAGUUAUGAAAUUGUUGUUGAGAAUUUUAGAACAUAUGAAUUUAUUUAUAAAUUUUUAAUCUUUAUGUGUUUUAAGUUAAAUUGAUUUGCUGUGCUGUAAUUGUACGACUAGGUGUUUGAGAAGUGUUUAUGAUUUUUUAAGCUACCUGAUAUAAUAGGACUUGAUAUUAUUGUUUUUUUUUUCCUAGUGUUAUGUAUGUGAUGAAAAUGAGAAAAAAAAGAAGUCAAAAUUAAAGUGAAAUCCCCAAAAAUCCAGGUUGCCCAGAAGAAAAAUGAUUCAUUGUUUUGGGUUUAUUUGGUUUUCCGAGUAAAUCAAACCGAACCCGAAGUGUGCAGUGUAGGCUGCAAUUUGGUAUAAAUAUCAGAAGAACUGGCUUUCCUUUGUCGAAAACCCUUUACCUGAGACGGGCGUGAAAGCCUUGCGGUGUUGCUAUUUGCAGUGCAGACGGUGAUGGGGAGGAGGAUAUUAAAUGAUGCUUUGAGAGCAAUAGUGAAUGCAGAGAGGAGGGGCAAAGCUACUGUUGAGUUGCAGCCAAUCUCUACUGUCAUGUCUUCUUUUCUUAAUAUCAUGAAAUAUCGAGGUAACCUUCACCCCUCACCUUCGUCUUUUUCAUUUUUUUACUUCAUUUUGUGAGAUUAUGGGAUUUUUAAGACCUCUCAAACUCCAUUCCUUACUCUUUUGAAUAUUUUUUUUUCUAAAGUAAUUUUAUACAGAUUUCUACUUAAAAGUUACUUUUUCUAGGUAAAAAAGGUAGACCUGAUGGUACUUGUUAGCGGGUUCAUUUUAUUUCUCUCUACUGUUUGCAUCAUUAUCCACGGGUAAUGUUUAGAUGGUAGAAAAUAUAGUCAUGCAGGUUUGUUUUUGUUUCAGUUUAUGGUUAUGUUCUAAAAUGAAUAUUUGUUGGAUGUAUGGUCUUGAAUGGAAAAGAAUAAUAGGUGAUUGAGUUGUUCCAUAAUAAGUUUCUAAGUUGGGAAUCUAUAAAGAAGGUUGAAACAUAAGUGUGUAGACUUUUGUAUAAAACUAUAAAUGGAGAAAGUUAACCACAUACUUAGUUUGACUAUUUUUUCCUUUUACCUUGUUUUGGAGUGCCAUGAGGUGGCUACAGAGGACAGAGAGAUUUGAAGCAGGUUCAUGGAUGUGAUAAAGCAAUACAUUGUAUUCAUUAGCACGAUUUGGUCUCUUUGGUUUUCGACUAUUUUCUCAUCCCUUAUUCUUUUUAGGGGAUGAUAAUACCUGCAUGCAAACGUUUAAGUAAAAUAAUCAAAUCGAAUUUCUAUACAUUUUCGUCCACGAGGCCUUGGGUUAUAUUAUUUGAAUCUAAGAACAAAAUUUAUUUAAAUAUACAAAUUGAAUCUGACUCUUAGUUAAGAAAUGCUAUUUUCACUCUUUUAUUAUGCUCAUGUUAACAUCAUUGGCUCAUCACAUACAUAUCUACCAUAUUUACUUUCACGAGCAUGCAUAGCAUGCAACACCUUAAAUUUUGACUGAAAACACUCUGCCAUUGGUUAAUAAAUUUAAGGGAAAGAAAAGGAGGUAGGGUUGCUUCAUGAAAUUCUCUACGAUAAAAAAUGUGCGUCUGAAUUGCUGCAGAAUAUUAAUGAAAAUGUGUGUGAAAUGCAGCAUACUUUCCUGGUUUAAGCUUGCACCCUGAUUGUAUACGGAAGGUUGUUGAUGAACGUGAAUUUUGGACUGAACAAGUUGCCUGCCUUCAUUUUAUAAAUGCUUCUAUUCAUGUUCUGGAUCAUGCCAUAUAGAUUUCAGAGCAACUCCUUUGGAUUAACCUUCAUGUAUUUGGAAGUCAUUUGCUGGUCCUUCUGACUAAUUGAUUGCAAUUUUGCAAAUACAUUUGUCAAGGAUGAGGUACCUAGGUUUGUUUAUUGUUUUCUUAUGGUGUUUGCUGAAUGGAUAUGGUUCGUGGUAAAACUGCUGUUCCUAAUAAUUUCUAACCAGUAAGUGUUUGUUUAAGCUGCUUAUGAGAUGUUUUGAUUUCUUUAUCUGCUAGAUCUAUUCAUAUGAAACAAAUAAAAUAGGACCAUCUAGACAGAAACUUAUCAUUUCUAGACCUUCUUCAAUGUUUAUUUGUAAAGAGUUUCAUUCUGUUCUUUAAUUAUUUUGCAAUAGAGGCUACAAAAUGUACACAUAUCUUUGAAGUUUACUGGCUAUUGUUUAUUCUAGAUGCAGUGUGCAG
rnacentral:lncRNA from 1 species